GUAGACGAAUUAAGGGAGAGAUUCUGAGUCUGUCCCACUAAGUUGUCAUAAGAUGAACCAGAUCCACUGCCUGGAACGCCUUGUUUCUCAAAAAACUGUUGUCUCUGGUUAUACCUGGAAGGCGGAGGUGGAAGGCUGACAGGAGAUUGACCAUUGCCAGGAGACUGAGGAUUCCCCAGAGACUGAGUAUCCCAAGGAGCAGGAGGUAGCCCAUCUAUAGAUUUGCUUCUAGGAGCCGGUUCAUCAUAUACAGGCUUUCCAGUGAAUAUAGGUGAUGGAGUUGUGUUUUGGGAAGAAGGGUGUGAAGGUGAUAGUGGAGUCAAUCGUGAGGUGGAGCUGGAAUGAACUGGAGCGGCAAAAGAUGUGGAUUCUGAUGUUGCAGAGGAUCCUUCAGAUUUGUAGGCUUCUCCACUGAGAUAAUCAAUCACACCAGGACCUAGAGUGAUUGGCCUUUGCGAAGACGGUGGAAGAGGAAGAAGUGGGCUGACUUGCACAGGUUCAGCCUUGGCAUUGGCUGAUCUCUGGCCCUGUCCUUGUGAAUUAUCUCUUGAUGACCUGCAAUGCAUCUUACCGAAUUUUACUAAGAGGAUAAGAAUAUUAAAAGUAAAAAACUAACAGAACUUGCAAUAUUCAUAUUCUGAAGCGCACACAUACAAGUAAAAUUGGUAGAAACAAAAACAAGUGAGAAUGAAAUGACAAUGCAAAUAAAACUUAGAAGUGUUCCUCUAACAAUCACCUGUGCGCUAGUUGGGAAAAUUCAUCCUCAGACACAUCAUCCUCAUGGUUCACAUUCACAAGUGGCACAACUGAAGAUUCUGCUCCUCUUACUGUAGUUGUAGUUCCUUUCACAAUAUCGUCAUGCCGAGAAAUUACACGCUGCAGAUCAUCGUUCAGUGCCAAUCCCUGACAUAGAAGCUCCUCAUCUCUGAGAGGAGAGCAACCACAACUGUCACUAUUGCAUCAAAUGUAUGAGUAAAACUCAAAUCCAUAUCAAAUCACUUACGCAGUCUCAUUCACAAGAAGCCUGACACGCUUUUGGUAUGAACGGCACUGAUCAACAAGGUCAACAAUCACUUCUUCCUUCAAACCCUGCCAUAGUAUUUCAUUUUGACCAUUUAUGACCAUUAAAUUUGCACACAUUAAAAGCCCGGAUGGUAAUAUUACGAUUUUGGUUCAUUUUUUAUUUUUAGUAAAAGCCGAAGAGGAAUUGUAUGGAGAAAAUAGGGAGAAAGAAAGGGCUCAGAUGGAUGAGCAUUAAAAUGAAUAUGGAACGGUAUUUAAACCACAAAUUAAAUCAAUCUCAACUAUUCUAUUUUCUCCUUCAAGUUUUUAUUUCACCCAUUCCCCUUCAAUCAUCCAUACCUCCUCCCUUCUACAAGCACAAGAAAAGUGCAGCCCUUAAAGGUACUAAUUUGCGAGUAAUUAACCACCUAAUUCCAACUCUGCUAAAAGUCCCAACUUCAAAAAAUUUUACAAUCACAGUAAUUGACACCUCUGGAUAGCUAGCCUUAUAAAUAAAGUUUUGUUAUCAAUAUAUCUCCUCAAAUAAUUUACAUACAGUGCAUAAGUAAGGAAAAGUAUGGACCAUAAAUAUUCUCCACAAUUGACCAUAUACAACUUUCAGAAUUUUCUACUGUGGGCACAUAUGAAACUUUCACCGCUAGAGAACUCCACACACAAAAACAAAAAAAUAGAAUCAUUGGCCUCUCAACAAAAAAAAAAUUCUAGAAAAACAUAAAUAAGAAAUUAUCCUUUAAUAAUACCUUUUUGGAAAGAAAUUAAUCAGAAGUAAAAAAAUAAGGUAGAAAAUAUAUUACCUCAGGAUUCUUAGCAUCCAAGGCAUUAAGCAUUUCCAUCAACACAUCUGCAAUUCCACGAGCAUACUGAAUCUCUGGCAAGCUGAUUAAAGACAGUUCCAAUCAGGAUGGAUCUAUCAUAGCUUCAAUAAUAAUUCAGACAAUUUUUACCAAAAAUAAAAAAGCAUCCCAAAGCAUAAAAAACAGAUAGCAUCUGUUACAAUAUCAUUAUGUUGGAAUUGUCUGUAUAGGUAAUUAUGGGGGAUUCGGGAAAGAUGGAAUAACUAUACAACAACAACAAAGCCUUUUCCCACUAAGUGGGGUCGGCUAUAUGAAUCCUAGAACGCCAUUGCGCUUGGUUUUGUGUCAUGUCCUCCGUUAGAUCCAAGUACUCUAAGUCUUUUCUUAGGGUCUCUUCCAAAGUUUUCUUAGGUCUUCCUCUACCCCUUCGGCCCUGAACCUCUGUCCCGUGGUCACAUCUUCGAACCGGAGCGUCAGUAGGCCUUCUUUGCACAUGUCCAAACCACCGUAACCGAUUUUCUCUCCUCUUUCCUUCAAUUUCGGCUACUCCUACUUUACCUCGGAUAUCCUCAUUCCUAAUCUUAUCCUUUCUCGUGUGCCCACACAUCCAACGAAGCAUCCUCAUCUCCACUACACCUACGUGUUGAUGCCUCACCGCCCAACAUUCUAUGCCAUACAGCAUUGCCGGCCUUAUUGCCGUCCUAUAAAAUUUUCCCUUGAGCUUCAGUGGCCUACGACGGUCACACAACACGCCGGAUGCACUCUUCCACUUCAUCCAUCCAGCUUGUAUUCUAUGGGUGAGAUCUCCAUCAAAUUCUCCAUCUUUUGCAAGAUAGAUCCUAGGUAGCGAAAACGGUCGCUCUUUGGUAUUUCCUGAUCUCCGAUCCUCACCCCUAACUCAUUUUGGCCUCCGUUUGCACUGAACUUGCACUCCAUAUAUUCUGUCUUUGAUCGGCUUAGGCAAGGACCUUUAGAUUCCAACACUUCUCUCCAAAGGUUAAGCUUCGCAUUUACCCCUUCCUACGUUUCAUCUAUCAACACUAUAUCGUUUGCGAAAAGCAUACACCAAAGAAUAUCAUCUUAAAUAUUAAGUUUGUGAUCUUCGCUAGAUUGCUCCGGUCAUUAGUGUGGAUAAGUAUGUAAAUGGAUAGAGACAGGAAGCAAACACAAGAUGUACGUGGUUCACCCAGAUUGGCUACGUCCACGGAGUAAAGGAGUUUUCAUUAAUUGUGAAGGGUUUACAUAGUAUAUAGGUUCAAGCUCUCCUUUAGUGAGUACAAGUGAAUGAUUUAGUACGGAUGACAUUAGGAAAUAUUGUGGAAGAAUGAUCUCGUAAUCACGAAACUUUUAAGUACCGAAGUGUGGUAUCGUCUUCACUUGCCUUAUCUGUGUCAUAGGUAGAUGUGGCAUCUUCUUUGGAAGUACUCUUCCUCCCUCCAGGGGUGGUAUCUUUAACUGGUGGAGAUGCACAAGGUAAUGUAUCAAUUUCACUUGACGCUUACUUGUAGUUUCAGGCUUGGUCAAGCGCGAUACAAACCAUGUAGUAGGAGUCCCCCAAGUCGCCGAGCUAGGGGAUCUGCUGAAAGAGGUGACAAACAAGGUAAGCAAUCAGAGAUCCAAGCAAUCAGUCCCAUAUCAGAAGUUUGAUUUCGAGUUCCGGCUGAUUGUUAUCAUUCUCCUUAUCUUGCAGGUAGCAUGAAGGAUAAAGAGAAGAAAAUGAGAAAAGGUGAUAUGAGAUAUUUUUGCUUUUGAAGAAGUAACUUUCCAUAGGCUUAUUCUUGAACUGAGCUGGAGGGUUUUCUUGUUUCCGCCAGAGUAUAAGGCCGACUGAAGAAUUUGAGGGUCAAAACAAGUCCAUCAAAUCUAGAGUACGUUCGACCCUGCUGAUAUGGGAUACUUUUGCCGUUGGCAAAGUAGUGGAUGUAUCGACACGUGUUCUGUUGCGCUUGUCUCCACAUGCUUCCUUGUAUCCUUCUCACUUGCCCUAUUUGUUCCUCAGGCAGAUGUGGUAUCUUCUCGGGAAGCAUAAGAUGUUGAAGAUGAGUACUCGAGAGCAAUGGGGUUCCAGGCAGUCAGUUCCGGACUAGAAGCUUGAUUCCAAGUGUUGACUGAUUGCUAUCUUUCUCCUUGUCUUGCAGGUAUAACAAGGCCAAAGGAAAAGACGGGGAAAAAGCAUGAUAUGGGAUACUCUUGCUUUUAACCCUGAUGAUAUGAGAUAUUCUUGCUCUAGUGUAGCUUGUUUGUAGAGGUAUUCUCGGGGGGAAAGAAAGCUGAGUAUUCCGAGAGGCUUCGUUGGGAGUGCCCUCUCAGAUAUGAGGAAGGGUUGAGCAUUUUUGCAGGUCUGCCUGUCCGUUGAGGAUGAAGGUCGACAUAUAUAGGAGUCUCCCUAACAAGGAGUAAUACUAUUCUUUUACCCUGCUUGGUCAUAGCACGGUAGUGGGAGCUGCCAACUUCACGUGUUUUAACUCUGUCAGAGCACUUUGAAAAAAUGGUCUGUGGUAUCUGGAAAGCUGAUGUUACGUGUGAAGAUUACAGACAAGCUUUAUCCAAGGAGAUCUAGCUCUCGAAGUUGAGAAAGCGAUGUGAGGAUUACAGACAAGCUUUAUCUAAGGGGCUCUCGAAGUUGAGAAAGCAGUGGCUCUUCGGUUUUCUAACAAGCAAUCCUGUCGGGGAUCUGUCUCUCGAGAUUCGGAGAACGGUGCCUCUUCGAUUUUUGAGAAAGCAAUCUUGCUAGGAGUCUGGCUCUCGAGAUUCAGAGAGCGGUGUCUCGUCGCUUUUUGAGAAAGUAAUCAUGUUGGGAGUCUGGCUCUCGAGAUUCGGAGGACGGUGUCUCUUCGAUCUUGAAGCAAGCAAUCUUGUUGGAGUGUUUUCUCGAAUGUGAGUAAAGGUUAGGCCUGUUUGCUAGUCUACCUUGCCACGGAGCACAGAGGUUGACCCACAAGGACUUUCCAAUUAUCCAGCAAUGGUCCUGUUCUUUUACCCUUGUGGGUAAUAAUAUGGUAGCUAGACCUUCAAAAUUUAUGUGUCUAAACUUUGUUAGUGCUGUUUCUUUGCUAUUCUUUUACCCUUCUUGGUCAUAGCGAUGUAAUGGGAGCUGCAAGCUUCACGUGUCUAAACUUUGUCAGAGAUUUUUGGCAAAGUUAUCUGUGGUACUCGUGAGCUGAUGUUGCGUGUGGAAAGUGAAUGAUUGAACAGUAACAUUCACGUGCUUUCUACUUCACUAGAAAUCUUUGACAGAAUGCCCGUAAUUUCUGCAAAGUUGAGUGUGCAUGUGACAGGUGCUGACAAGGCUGAAAAAGCAGGUGCCUCUUCGAUUUCUGAGAUCGACCCUCGUGGUCUCUGAGCAGCCCAGCUUUUGAGAAAGCAAGCGCAUCUUCGAUUUCUGCGAUCGACCUUCAUGGUCUUUGAGCAGCCCAGCUUUUGAGAAAGCAAACGCCUCUUCGAUUCCUGAGAUCGGCCCUCGUGGUCUCUGACCAGCCCAACUUUUGAGAAAGCAAACGCCUUUUCGAUUUCUGAGCAGACGCCUCUUCGAUUUCUGAAGCUCCAUCGAGUGCGGAUUUUUAUAAAGGCUGGUAUUAAGUUCCAAAGCACACUUGAAUCUUCACCAGUAGAAGCUCCCUUCUUGCAUUUCUAAGAUCUUGAUUUGUCCGACCUCUUUUCUCUUCAACACCUUUGAAAAUGUCUGGCCCCUCCAACCGUCGUUUUGACUUGAACCUUGUUGAAGAGGCAGCCAUGCCUUCUCUAGACAACAUAUGGCGCCCAUCCUUCUUAUCUCCUACUGGUCCUCUUACCAUUGGGGAUUCCGUGAUGAAGAAUGAUAUGACCGCUGCGGUGGUGGCCAGGAACCUUCUCACUCCCAAAGAUAACAGACUACUUUCUAAACGGUCUGAUGAGUUGGCUGUUAAGGAUUCUCUGGCUCUCAGUGUUCAGUGUGCAGGUUCUGUGUCUAAUAUGGCCCAACGCCUAUUUGCUCGAACCCGCCAAGUUGAAUCAUUGGCGGCUGAAGUGAUGAGUCUCAAACAGGAGAUUAGAGGGCUCAAGCAUGAGAAUAAACAGUUGCACCGACUCGCUCAUGACUAUGCUACAAACAUGAAGAAGAAGCUUGACCAGAUGAAGGAAUCUGAUGGUCAGAUUUUACAUGAUCAUCAGAGGUUUGUGGGUUUGUUCCAAAGGCAUUUAUUGCCUUUGUCUUCUGGGGCUGUACCGCGUAAUGAAGCUCCAAAUGAUCAACCUCCGAUGCCUCCUCCUUCUAGGGUGCUGUCCAGUACUGAGGCUUCGAAUGAUCCCCCUCCGGUGCCUUCUCUUUCUGGGGCUCUGCCGACUGCUUAGACUUCUCCUAAGCAACUUUUGUGAAGGCUCCCUCUUGUUUGUUUAUUUUGAUUCGUGUAUAUGUACAAAGAAGAUAAAUGAUUUGAAGUCUAUUGUUCAAUUUCUUAUUAGCACAAAAUUCAAUCAAGCAAGGAUGAAUUCUUUCAUAAAUUACAGUUACGGAUCAUGACAUUCAACAAGCAGUAGCUGAAAUAAUUGUACAAGCAUAAAAAAUAUAUGCCGAUUGACAUCUCUUACUAAAGAUUAAGACCCUAGGACUGACGGGACUUAUAAUAGUAAGGAUGUAAGAGACAUCCUCAUGUCAAGGGGAGAAUUGAUGAAUACUUGACAAGGUUAAGGCCUUUCAGAUAUAUAGUCAAAUUUUUCUGCAGUAUUAAAGCAUGCACAACACAUUCAAAUUUGAUAAUGAGAAAGGUAUAAAAUUUUUUUUUUUUUGAAGAAGUUGAAGAAAUAAAAAAUGAAAGAGAAACAAUCGAAUCGCCAAUUUAUGCAGUACAACAUAUGUAGAACAUGUCAUACUGAGGGUUUUAAUCCUGGGACAUUUUCCAAUUGCCUACAAAUAUUUUUAACCUCUCUCAUGCAAUCAACACGCAAGUUUAUAGUUGUGACAAACAUGCAUGUGAAGGAAACAAUAAUUGUUUGAACAGGGAAUAAAUACCAUACUCAAAAGGCCCAAAAAUGUAUGUUUCCAAGAAAACCAUAUUCUCAGCUAGUACCUAAGGCCCGAUGCAUCCGACUGGAGAGAAGCCUGAAUGGCAGCAUCAUCAUAUGAUGUAACAGGAGAAACUACUGGCUGGGUCUGGGGCGGAGUAAAUAUUGGUACACUGUUCUCUUCUCUUGGUGGAAAUUCAACUCCUGCAGACUGUCGGUUAUUCAUUAAGAGAGUUAGGGUGGAAGAAGAAACAGAAUAAAGAGAAAAUAAUUAAAAUCCACAGUUAUACUAAAUAUUGAAUAGCAAGCUUUCCCAUAACUGUAGGAUUACAUCAAGGCUCAUCCUUAAGUCCUUACCUUUUUGCGUUGGUAAUGGAUGAGUUAACAGGACAUAUUCAAGAUGAUAUUCCUUGGUGUAUGCUUUUCGCAGACGAUAUAGUGUUGAUAGACGAAACUCAGGAAGGGGUAAAUGCAAAGCUUAACCUUUGGAAAGAAGUGUUGGAAUAUAAAGGUCUUCGCCUAAGCCGAUCAAAGACAGAAUAUAUGGAGUGCAAGUUCAGUGCAAAUGGAGGCCAAAACGAGUUAGGGGUGAGGAUCGGAGAUCAAGAAAUACCAAAGAGCGACCGUUUUCGUUACCUAGGAUCUAUCUUGCAAAAGAACGGAGAUUAGAUGGAGAUCUCAACCAUAGAAUACAAGCUGGAUGGAUGAAGUGGAAGAGUGCAUCCGGCGUGUUGUGUGACCGCCGUAUGCCACUGAAGCUCAAGGGAAAAUUUUAUAGGACGGCAAUAAGGUCGGCGAUGCUGUAUGGCACAGAAUGUUGGGCGGUGAAACAUCAACACGUACACAAAAUGGGUGUAGCGGAGAUGAGGAUGCUUCGUUGGAUGUGUGGGCACACGAGAAAGGAUAAGAUUAGGAAUGAGGAUAUCCGGGGUAAAGUAGGAGUAGCCGAAAUUGAAGGAAAGAUGAGAGAAAAUCGGUUACGGUGGUUUGGACAUGUGCAAAGAAGGCCUACUGACGCUCCGAUUAGAAGAUGCGACUAUGGGACAGAGGUUCAGGGCCGAAGGGGUAGAGGAAGACCUAGGAAAACUUUGGAAGAGACUCUAAGAAAAGACUUAGAGUACUUGGAUCUAACGAAGGACAUGACACAGGAUCGAGCACAAUGGCGUUCUAAGAUUCAUAUAGCCGAUCCCACUCAGUGACUUGGAUUUUCCAAGUCUCCAACCGAGAAGUUUUCCUCACUCGGAAAAUUAAGGGAACACUACCCCAACCUACCUACAUGCUCCACUCAGAAAGCUUCAACAUACAAGCUUCAACAAAAGAAAAUUCAAAGAACUUAGCGAAGAAGGCUUUGGUGUAUUUAACACAAUACGUUGAAAUGAAGGAAAACUUAUUUAUUGAUAUCCCCGAUAAGCUACAAAUAUGUACAUAUACAUGAGUCAAAAUAAACACACAAGAGGGAGCCUUCACAAAGGUUGCUUAGGAGAAGUCUCAGCAGUCGGUAGAGCCCCAGAAAGAGAAGGCACCGGAGGGGGAUCAUUUGGAGCCUCAGUACUGGACAGAACCCUAGAAGGAGGAGGCAUCAGAGGUUGAUCAUUUGGAGCUUCAUUACGCGGUACAGCCCCAGAAGACGAAGGCAAUAAAUGCCUUUGGAACAAACCCACAAAUCUCUGAUGAUCAAGUAAAACCUGACCAUCAGUUUCCUUCAUCUGGUCAAGCUUCCUCUUCAUGUUUGUAGCAUAGUCAUGUGCGAGCCGGUGCAACUGUUUAUUCUCAUGCUUGAGCCCUCUAAUCUCCUGUUUGAGACUCAUCACUUCAGCCGCCAAUGAUUCAACUUGGCGGGUUCGAGCAAAUAGGCGUUGGGCCAUAUUAGACACAGAACCUGCACACUGAACACUGAGAGCCAGCGAAUCCUUAACAGCUAACUCAUCAGACCGUUUGGAAAGUAGUCUGUUAUCUUUGGGAGUGAGAAGGUUCCUGGCCACCACCGCAGCGGUCAUAUCAUUCUUCAUCACGGAAUCCCCAACGGUAAGAGGACCAGUAGGGGAGACGAAGGAUGGGCGCCAUAUGUUGUCUGGAGAAGGCGGGGCUGCCUCUUCAACAAGGUUCAAGUCAAAACGACGGUCGGAGGGGCCAGACAUUUUCAAAGGUGUUGAAGAGAGAAGAGGUCGGACAAAUCAAGAUCUUAGAAGUGCAAGAAUGAAGCUUCUACUGGUGGAGAUUCAAGUGUGCUUUGGAACUUAAUGCCAGCCCCUAUAAAAAUCUGCACUCGACGGAGCUUCAGAAAUCGAAGAGGCGCCUGCUCAGAAAUCGAAGAGGCGUUUGCUUUCUCAAAAGCUGGGCUGCUUAGAGAUCACGAGGGUUGAUCUCAGAAAUCGAAGAGGCGUUUGCUUUCUCAAAAGUUGGGCUGCUCAAAGACCACGAAGGCCGAUCUCAGAAAUCGAAGAGGCGCUCGCUUUCUCAAAAGCUGGGCUCCCCAGAGACCACGAGGGCCGAUCUCAGAAAUCGAAGAGGCACCUACUUUUCCAGCCUUGUCAGCACCUGUCACACGCACACUCAGCUUUGCGGAAAUUAUGGGCAUUCUGUCGAAGACUUCUGAGGGAAGUAGAAAACACACAUGAAUCUUACUGUUCAAUCAUCCCACUUCCCACACGCAACAAUAGCUCAUGGGUACCACAGAAAAACUUUGCCAAAGUUCUCUGCCAAAGUUGAGCACGUGAAGCUUGCAGCUCCCACUACAUCGCUCUGACCAAGAAAGGGUAAAAGAAUAGCAAAGAAACAGCACUAACAAAGUUUAGACCCAUAAAUUUUGAAGGUCUAGCUACCAUAUUAUUACCCACAAGGGUAAAGGAACAGUACCACUGCUGGAUAAUUGGAAAGUCCCUGUGUGUCAACCUCUGUGCUUCGUGGCAAGGUAGACUAGCAAACAUGCCCAACCUUUACUCACAUUCGAGAAAACACUCCCAAUAAGAUUGCUUGCUCCAAAAUCGAAGAGGCACCGUCCUCCGAAUCUCGAGAGCCAGACUCCCAACAUGAAUACUUUCAAAAAAAUCGAAGAGAGGGUAAAGGAACAGUACCAUUGCUGGAUAAUUGGAAAGUCCCUGUGUGUCAACCUCUGUGCUUCGUGGCAAGGUAGACUAGCAAACAUGCCCAACCUUUACUCACAUUCGAGAAAACACUCCCAACAAAGAUUGCUUGCUCCAAAAUCGAAGAGGCACCGCCCUCCGAAUCUCGAGAGCCAGACUCCCAACAUGAUUACUUUCUCAAAAAUCGAAGAGACACUGCUCCCCGAAUCUUCGAGAGCCAGACCCCCAGCAUGAUUGCUUUCUCAAAAAUCGAUGAGGCAUCGUUCUCCGAAUCAAUCGAAGAGGCGCUCGCUUUCUCAAAAGCUGGGCUGCUCAGAGACCACGAGGGCCGAUCUCAGAGAAAUCGAAGAGGCACCUACUUUUCUAGCCUUGUCAGCACCUGUCACACACGCACACUCAGCUUUGCAGAAAUUAUGGGCAUUCUGUCGAAGACUUCUGGUGAAGUAGAAAGCACAUGAAUCUUACUGUUCAAUCACCCACUUCCCACACGCAACAAUAGCUCAUGGGUACCACAGAUAACUUUGCCAAAGUUCUCUGCCAAAGUUGAGCACGUGAAGCUUGCAGCUCCCACUACAUCGCUCUGACCAAGAAAGGUAAAAGAAUAGCAAAGAAACAGCACUAACAAAGUUUAGACACAUAAAUUUUGAAGGUCUAGCUACCAUAUUAUUAUUACCCACAAGGGUAAAGGAACAGUACCACUGCUGGAUAAUUGGAAAGUCCCCUGUGUGUCAACCUCUGUGCUUCGUGGCAAGGUAGACUAGCAAACAUGCCCAACCUUUACUCACAUUCGAGAAAACACUCCCAACAAGAUUGCUUGCUCCAAAAUCGAAGAGGCACCGUCCUCCGAAUCUCGAGAGCCAGACUCCCAACAUGACUACUUUCUCAAAAUCGAAGAGAGGGUAAAGGAACAGUACCAUUGCUGGAUAAUUGGAAAGUCCCUGUGUGUCAACCUUUGUGCUUCGUGGCAAGGUAGACUAGCAAACAUGCCCAACCUUUACUCACAUUCGAGACAACACUCCCAACAAGAUUGCUUGCUCCAAAAUCGAAGAGGCACCGCCCUCCGAAUCUCGAGAGCCAGACUCCCAACAUGAUUACUUCCUCAAAAAUCGAAGAGACACUGCUCUCCGAAUCUCGAGAGCCAGACCCCCAGCAUGAUUGCUUUCUCAAAAAUCGAAGAGGCAUCGUUCUCCGAAUCUCGAGAGCCAGAUACCACAGACCACUUUUUCAAAGUGCUCUGACAGAGUUAAAACAUGUGAAACUGGCAGCUCCCACUACCGUGCUAUGACCAAGCAGGGUAAAGGAAUAGCAUUACUACUUGUUGUUAGGGAGACUCCUAUAUAUGUCGACCUCCAUCCCCAACGGACAGGCAGACCUGCAAAAAUGCUCAACCCUUCAUCAUAUCUGAGAGGGCACUCCCAACGAAGCCUUUCGAAAUAUUCAGCUUUCUUUCCCCCCGAUAAUACCUCUGCAAACAAGCUAUACUAGAGCAAGAAUAUCUCAUAUCAUCAGGGUUAAAAGCAAGAGUAUCCCAUAUCAUGCUUUUUCCCUGUCUUUUCCUUUUGGCCUUGUUUUUACCUGCAAGACAAGGAGAAAGAGAGCAAUCAGUCAGCACUUGGAAUCAAGCUUCCAGCCAGGAACUGACUGCCUGGAACCCCUUACCUGAUUACUUACCUGGCAUUGCUCUCGAGUACUCAUCUUCAACAUCUUAUGUUUCCAGGGAAGAUUCCGCAUCUGCUUGAGGAACAGAUAGGGCAAGUGCGAAGGAUACAAGGAAGCAUGUGGAGACAAGCGUAACAGCACACGUGCCGAUACAUCCAUUACUCUGUCAAAAGCAAAAGUAUCCCAUAUCAGCAGGGUGGAACGUACUCUAGAUUUGAUGGACUUGUUUUGACCCUCAAAUUCUUCAGUCGGCCUUAUACUCUGGAGGAAACCAGAAAACCCUCCAGCUCAGUUCAAGAAUAAGCCUGUGGAAAGUUACUUCUUCAAAAGCAAAAGUAUCUCAUAUCAUCUCUUCUCAUUUUUUCUUCUCUUUUAUCCUUCAUGCUGUUGCAAGAUGGGGAGAAGGUGAACAAUCAGUCGGAGCUCUGAUUGCUUACCUUGUCUGUCACCUCUUUCAGCAGACCCCCUAGCUCGGCGACUUGGGGGACUCCUACUACAUGGUUUGUAUCGCGCUUGACCAAGCCUGAAACUACAAGUAAGCUUCAAGUGAAAUUGAUACAUUACCUUGUGCAUCUCCACCAGUUAAAGAUACCACCCCUGGAUGGAGGAAGAGUACUUCCAGAGAAUAUGCCACAUCUACCUAUGAGACAGAUAAGGCAAGUCAAGACGACACCACACUCCGAUACUUAGAAGUUUCGUGAUUACGAGAUCAUUCUCCCACAAUAUUUCCUAAUGUCAUUUGUACUAAAUCAUUCACUUGUACUCACUAAAGGAGAGCUUAAACCUAUGUACUUGUGUAAACCCUUCACAAUUAAUGAGAACUCAUCUAUUCCGUGGACGUAGCCAAUCUGGGUGAACCAUGUACAUCUUGUGUUUGCUUUCCUAUCUCUAUCCAUUUAUAUACUUAUCCACACUAAUUACCGGAGCAAUCUAGCGAAGAUCACAAAAAGCGACCGUUUUCGCUACCUAGGAUCUAUCUUGCAAGAGAAUGGAGAAUUAGAUGGAGAUCUCAACCAUAGAAUACGAGCUGGAUGGAUGAAGUGUAAGAAUGCAUCCGGCGUGUUGUGUGACCGUCGUAGGCCACUGAAGCUCAAGGGAAAAUUUUAUAGGACGGCAAUAAGGCCAGCGAUGUUGUAUGACACAGAAUGUUGGGCGGUGAAGCAUCAACACGUACACAAAAUGGGUGUAGCGGAGAUGAGGAUGCUUCGUGGGAUGUGUGGGCACACGAGAAAUGAUAAGAUUGGGAAUGAGGAUAUCCGAGGUAAAGUAGGAGUAGCCGAAAUUGUAGGAAAGAUGAGAGAAAAUCGGCUCCGGUGAUUUGGACAUGUGCAAAGAAGGCCGAAUGACGCUCUGGUUCGAAGAUGUGACUACGGGACAGAGGUUCAGGGCCGAAGGGGUAGAGGAAGACCUAGGAAAACUUUGGAAGAGACUAUAAGAAAAGACUUAAGAGUACUUGGAUCUAACGGAGGACAUGACACAAAACCGAGCGCAAUGGCGUUCUAGGAUUCAUAUAGCCGACCCCACUUAGUGGGAAAAGGCUUUGUUGUUGUUGUUGUUGUAAGCUUAUAAGUAUUGCUGGCCAAAAUGAUGGAAAUGUUAUUUUGGACCUAUUAAACAUCAUCAAAAGGUAGAAAGGUAAAUGCGUUGAAAUCUAAUUGUGUGAAAGCUGAGGCGUAGUUGCCUCUUUUGUCAGACAAGGCAAGGCAUAAGCCUCUCGGACAUGAAAUCUUAUAGGAAGCAAAUAAAUAAUGCAAUACUAAUAAGUUGAAGUGCUAGUGAGUAACUGAAGUAUAAUAAGAAAUCCCAAUAUGACCACAUAUAAGUUAUAACAGUCAUUCAAGCAUAACAACCAAUCACAAAAAUAAAAUACUCAAUUGGUCAUACAAAUAUUCAAAACCCCAAAAGAUAAACUCAGUUCACCACAAUACUUGUGAUGAAUAGAAACUAACAUCACUAUCAUACUGGUCCAACAGACUGAUGUGAUAAGGGACGCAUAGCAGUGACUUGCACUAGAGGAGAGUUUGCAAGAUCACUAUUACUUCCAUUGUUCACAACAUUUACUAUCAUCUGUCAAAGCUGAAGGCACUUGGGCUGAACAUGUUUACCCAUUAAUCUUAACUUAACUAGGUCAUAUAAUUAAACAGAAAUGUUUAAAAACAUGGCCUAUUAAGCAACUCAAAAGAAAGAUGACAGCAAAGAAUGUCACUGAUUGGACCGGGUCAGACUGGUGAUAUCAUAAAUAUAUAACAACAUGAUUCUAUUCUCUAUAUACUAUAUCCAUUCUUCGACAAAUGAAAGAAAUAUCCUAUAAGGCAGUUUUAAAAGGAAAUACUUUUUAGAAGACGGUCUACUUUGAUUAGUAAAUUGAAAAUUAGUAAGAUAGUUCCAUGGGAACACAGCACAAGUACAAAUGCAGUGUACAUAGUACAGAUUACAAACAAAAGCUUAACAUGAGUAUAACAAAGAUGUGAUAAAACAAUUACCCUCAAUUCAUUAUAUGCUGCAUAAUACUGGGGAAAUCUUCCCCUUGGUCCCCCAAAAGCUUCUUGCCAUGUAUCUAUCAAAAUAGUAUCUUUUCCCUAACAUUCAAGUCUGGCUGCAUAAUGGAAUUAGAAUAACAAAGCAGAAAGAAAGUUAGUAUCCUAUUCAUGCACAAACUGGAAAGAAAAAAGGAAGCAACAAGUUAGUGAAAACAGAAAACAAAAGGUUGGGAGAGAAAUGCAGCACCUUCUUCUUUACUAUUUUGACCAUUUCAUGCAAGAUAUCACGCUCAACGAUCUGCUGAAAAACAUUCUCACCACAGUUCUUGCUCACAGUCUCCAAUGCCUGCAUCGAAUAAUAAAUUAGGAGAAGGAAAAAGACACCAUUGCUCAGAAAUGGCUUGUUUUGUGCUGAUGAUAGGCUAAUGCAAGGCAAUCAUUGAACCACAACAGGUCCAUCAUAAAUCACAAAUUUAUUGACAUUUUCACAUGUAUACAUAUUUUGGGAUGGGAAGGGUACCACAAGCUUUACAUCAUGAAUUUAAAAUUUUAAAAGAAAGAUGCAAAAACAUGACAAGAAAUAACACAAAAAAUACUGAAAGUCUCACAAAGAAAAGGAAUAGUACUAACAAAAAGAGCCAGGAGUUGUAUUUUUGGAUUUUUGCUGCCCAGGCGCUUCGUAUCUUCAAGGCCUCUUUUGCUUGCCUGAAAGUUCAAACCAGUUCAUUGGCAAAACAAAGCAUUCCGAAUAUUUAAAUUAGGAAAGAGAUUCUAUGGGAAAAAUAAUCCACAACAAUAGAAAAUAAAGAGGAUAGUCUUCUGCAGAGUUUAAGAGCUAAGAAAUGUCCAACAUAUAAAAGAAAGCCCGAUACACCAAGAUGCUCAUGGAAUCUAUUUGAAAAAUAAAUUACUCCUUCUACGAAGUUUCCAGUUCAUCCCAAAUCAAUGUAGCGAAAGCAUUCUACUACCCUGUCAAUUUUUUAAAGUGUUACUUUUCAGGAGGACAUGAUUUCCUUAUGAGAUGAGCCACAUCUCCCUUUCAGGAGGAGAUCUCCUCUUCUACCAGGAGCCAAGUAUUAAACUUCGUGUGUAUGUGCGUGCACAUGUAUAUAUGAAUACAUAAUAAGCUCUGAGCACUUUAAAGUUUCAACCAACGACUACGAUAUCAAUAUUUCAGAAAAGAUUCAACGUACUCAACAAUUUAAGAAAUGCGAACUCUAAACGGGUGGAUAUACCUAUAUAUAAUAUUCAAUCUAAAAAAUGAAAUUGAGGGAAAACAAAGUAAUCAUACCCAGGGUCAAUAUUGAUAAUAUCACAUAAUUUGCCCAGUCUGGGCCAAUCAACAUAUCACUUGUUGCCCUCUCUGCACAGGCCGCACCAUUACCAGCCAUGUCGUAAUCCCCUUCACGCAAGUCUUUUUCCUUAAAACUUCCUAAAUCAGAAGCCAAAAACAAGUUCAACUACGCGCAAUUCAACAUUUGUGAUGUAAAAGAACUUAAUAAAUGCUAGAAACGGAAGAUCAUAAGACACCUGUAUCACUAAUUAGCUCGAUGUCAGUAAUCUUGUUCAAUUCCAAAAGUUCCACAAAUUAUUUCUUACCCACCAAGACAAAACCUAUGAAAAUCCCAAUUUAAUUACGAUAAUUGAAAACAGCGGAACUAUACAAAAUUGAUCCAGAAAAUAUUAAAAACCCGAAAUCGCAAACAAAUAGGGUCUAUAAACAAAUUCAACUAUCUGCUCAUCCCCAUCACAAAUACGUAUCCCAAAUCAAAAUAACAAACAAUCAGAUCGUCAACAAUGUACGCUUAACACCAAUACAAGUCCCACAUCAAGAAACCCACAAAAAUUUGUGCCCAUAAAACACAGACAAGCAAACCCAAUUGGAUAUUAGUACUAAAAUUGAAAAUCAAAAUUCGAAUUAGCAAGAUAAUGGUCCUGUGCUUAAAGUUAAACCCAGUUGACAAAACGAUCAGAGAAUAAGGGAAAGGAAUGAGAGAUUUAUGCGACCAAACCAUUGCUGAAUGUUUACUUGCUUGAUGCUGCGUGGUUAGGCUUAGUCGACCUCACUCCAUCUUCAUUGCUUUGCUACUUGAAAUGAGGGAUUCCAAACAUAUUGGCGAAGCCGGCCAAUGUACCCUUCAAUCUGUUGGAAAUUCAAAUUAAAAGUCAUGUGAUGUCUAACUAUCUGUCCAUGUGAUGCUAGCUUUUCUUUCCAUGUUGUAUCCCGCAAAUAUAAACAUCAUUACUCCUCCAUCUGUUAACCGAAAGCUGAUUUAAAGACAGCAUAGAUGUGGGCUGCUGUGUGCUAGCCGAAAGGUUGUGUUUGCAAGCUGGAAGGAUGCAAUGCAUGUGUGUGCCAACUAUCCAAAGUUGCUGCAUGUGUUUGAAAGGGUGGAAGGAUGGUAAACACCAUCAUUCAUUACAUGUUGUUGUAUUGUUUAUCAAUUUCUGUUUUGUAUAAAUAGGCCUUCUUGCUAGGCUUUAGAACAUCAAUUCCAUUCCAAUUCCUUUCUCAUUUUCAGCUUGUAAGCUAUUGGUUUUGUAAACUCUCUUUUCAUAUAUCAAAGUCCAAGUGUUUUGCCGAAGCUUGUCCCUCCUUUCUCUAUUUCUUUGUCCAAUUUUAUUGAGAGUGCAAAGUGAGAGGUGUGAUAGAGUUUGUAAACUUAUCAUCCACAUAUUUUGGUAUUGAGUUAGUAAACUUUUCAAUACCAACAAUUGGUAUCAGAGCCAGAAUACCAUUCUGGCAAGUGCAGCAGUUAUGGCAUCCAACUUAGUGCAGCUCCAAGUUCCCACAUUGAAGAAAGAAAAUUAUGAAAGAUGGUGCAUCCAAUUCAAAGCAUUGUUUGGAUCACAAGAGCUAUGGGAAGUUGUCAGUAGUGGGUAUGUUGUACCCACUACCGAGCAAGAAGCCACAUAUACUGCAGAUCAAAGGAACACUCUCAAGGAUUUACGAAAGAAGGACCAGAAGGCGUUGUAUCUUCUCUAUCAAGGAUUAGAAGAUUCAACGUUCGAGAAGGUUGCAGAAGUAACAACGAGCAAGCAAGUAUGGGACACACUCAAUACAAUCUACAAAGGAGUAGAUCGAGUCAAGAAAGUGAGGUUACAGUCACUUCGAGUAGAUUUUGAAACUGCUCACACGAAUGAAGGGGAGAGCAUCUCCGACUAUCACUCAAGGCUCAUUGUGAUGGUAAAUCAGAUGAGGAGAAAUGGCGAGAGACUCGAUGAAGUACGAGUUGUGGAGAAGAUACUCCGGUCACUUACAUCUAAGUUUGAGCAAGUGGUGACUGCCAUUGAGGAAUCUAAGGAUUUGGAGGCGAUGAGCGCAGAUGAGCUACUAGGAUCCCUCCUAGUUCACGAGCAACGCAUUCAGAAGAAUGCAAGCCCCACAACACUAGAGCAAGCUUUGGAGUCAAAAUUGAAAAUUGACAAACCAAAUAAAGGUCGUGGGCAGUGGAACUCACGUCGUGGGAGUUCAUCCAACCGUAGCCGAGGACGAGCCCGAGGAAGAGGUCGAGGCUAUGAACAAAACCGAGGUCAAUCUCAAGAGUGGAGAUAUACCCAAGGAAAGGCGUAUAUCCAAUGUCACACUUGCAAGCAAUAUGGACAUUAUGCAAAUGAAUGUUCAUAUAAAAAUGGUGAGCAUGUCAACAUGGCAGAAUCAAAUGGAAAUGCUGGUGAGGAAUUUACAGUCUUACUAGCACACCAUGAUAUCAGUAGCCAACAAGAUGUUUGGUAUUUAGACUCUGGUGCAAGCAACCACAUGUGUGGAAAGAAAGAGUUUUUUGCAGAACUCAAAGAUGGGCCUUAUGGAUCUGUGAGUCUUGGUGACUCUUCAAGGUUACCAGUUGAAGGCAAAGGAAAGAUCAAAAUCAUCCAGAAGGAUGGUAAAGAAGAAUACAUCUUCGAUACCUACUACAUACCAGGUAUGAAGAGUAACAUUCUGAGCAUUGGUCAACUGCUCCAGAAAAGGGUAUGUUAUACAUAUGGAGGAUAUGUUUCUCACUCUCAGGAAUGCAAGGAGAAAGCUUAUUACAUGUGUUCAAAUGUAAAAAAACCGAAUGUUCCCGUUGAAGUUGAACACAAAGAUUGGGAGUUGCAACAUCGAUGUAAUGGAAGAUGAGUCAUGGAAAUGGCAUCUUCGAUUUGGCCAUCUUCAUUUCAAUGGCCUAAAGUUGUUGUCAAGUGGAGGAAUGGUUCGUGGUCUACCCCAGAUUGAAGCCACAUACAAAGUAUGUGAAGGUUGUGUGCUUGGCAAGCAAGCACGACUAUCAUUCCCUGUUGGUGAUACAUGGAGAGCAAAGGCACCACUGCAGAUGGUACACACGGAUAUAUGUGGUCCAUUGGAUCCUAUGUCUUAUGGAGGUAAUAGGUAUUUUAUUACUUUCAUUGAUGAUUUUAAUAGGAAGACUUGGGUUUAUUUUCUCAAGGAGAAAUCGGCUGCCCUAAGAAUCUUCAAGGAGUUCAAGGCACUCACAGAGGCUGAAAGCAACCACAAGCUUGUGGCUGUGAGAUCAGAUAGAGGUGGAGAGUACACCUCUAAUGCUUUCCAAGCAUACUGCAAGGAGCAAGGAAUUAGGCAUCAACUGACUGAUGCCUAUACCCCACAGCAAAAUGGGAUAGCCGAAAGAAAGAAUCGAACCAUCCUUGACAUGACAAGGUCCAUGCUUAAGGAGAAGAAUUUACCAAAAGAAUUGUGGGCAGAAGUUGUAGCUUGUUCGAUUUAUUUGUUGAAUCGAUGUCCAACAAAGAGUGUCAAAAGGAUGACACCACAAGAGGCUUGGAGUGGAUACAAGCCGAGUGUUGCACACCUAAGAGUUUUUGGUGUGUUGCAUAUGCUCAAGUUCCAGAAGCCAAGAGGAGAAAGCUCGAUGAUCGAGGUGAGAAGUGUGUGUUUGUGGGCUAUAGUGAAGAGUCCAAUGCAUACAAGCUCUACAAGCCACUAACUGGCAAACUAGUGGUUAGUAGAGAUGUCAUCUUCAGUGAGGAAGAGGCAUGGAAGUGGAACAACAAAGAAGUCAGUAAAGAGAAGAUCGUCUCCACUGAUUUUGAAGAACCAGAAGUUGUACCACCUGUUGAGCAAUAGCUUGCUUAAACAAUCACAACAACUCCAGUGCACAGAAUUGCAAGGAGUGGUCCUACAUCUAGUGAAGAAAGCAGCUCCUCAACUCCAGUGAGGCUAAGAAGUCUUACCGAGAUAUAUGGACAAGAAGAAGAAGAAGAAACCAACCUUUUCUGCUUGUAUGCAGACCACGAGCCUCUCUUAUUCAAUGAAGCUGUGGAAGAAGAUCGUUGGAGAAUAGCCAUGGAGGAAGAAAUCCAUGCCAUCGAGAAGAAUGACACUUGGGAGUUGACAAAGCUCCCACCAAAUCAGAAGGCUAUUGGUAUCAAGUGGGUGUACAAGAUCAAACGCACUGCAGAUGGGAGUGUGGAUCGAUACAAAUCAAGGCUUGUAGCAAAAGGCUACAAAAAAAAGUACGGAGUGGACUAUGAUGAAGUCUAUGCUCCAGUUGCAAGACUUGACAAGGUAAGAUUGCUAAUCUCUCUUGCCGCUCAUCAUAAAUGGAAAAUUUAUCAACUAGAUGUCAAGUCAGCCUUCCUUAAUAGAGUUCUUGAGGAAGAAGUGUACGUGGAACAACCAGAAGGCUUUCAAGUACAAGGAAAAGAAGAUAAGGUGUAUCGUUUGAAGAAGGCGUUGUAUGGCCUCAAGCAAGCACCACGAGCUUGGAACUCAAGGAUUGACAACUACCUUCACCAAAAUGGAUUUCAGAAAUGUCCAUACGAGCAUUCAGUUUACAUGAAGAAUGGUGCAAAAGGGGAGUUCUUAAUUAUUUGUCUCUAUGUAGAUGACUUGUUGUUUACAGGAAACAAUGAAGCAAUAUUUUGUGAGUUCAAGCAAUCCAUAUUCAGUGAAUUCGAGAUGACUGACAAUGGAUUAAUGUCAUACUUUCUUGGCAUAGAGGUGAAGCAAGAAAGUGACGGUAUCUACAUCUCUCAACAAAAGUACAUGAGAGAUAUAUUGGAGAAAUUCAAUAUGGAUAAGUGCAAUAUUGUCAACACUCCAGUUGCAACUGGAUUGAAGCUGUCUAAGGAAGGAGAAUGUGAGUUUGUAAACUCAACCGUGUACAAAAGCUUGGUUGGAAGCCUAAGGUACCUUACAAUCACAAGACCUGAUAUAGUUUAUGGUGUUGGACUCGUGAGUCGAUACAUGGAAACACCAAGGGAGUCUCAUUGGCUGGCUGCCAAGAGAAUUUUGAGGUACAUAAGAGGUACUCUAAACUAUGGUUUAUUUUAUAAUUUUGGUGAAGAUGCAAAAUUAUUUGGUUAUUCAGAUAGUGAUUGGGGAAGUGACAAAGAUGAAAGGAAAAGCACAACUGGCUAUGUGUUUUUUCUAGGAUCAACAACUUUCUCAUGGACUUCAAAGAAGCAAUCAAUUGUUGCUUUGUCAUCAUGUGAAGCUGAGUAUGUUGAUGUAGCCUCAACAGUGUGUGAGGCAAUUUGGUUAAGAAAUCUAUUGAAGUCAGUGUGUCAUCCACAAGUGGAAUCGACUGUGAUUCAUGUGGAUAACAUGUCUGCAAUCAAGCUUGCAAAGAAUCCUGUUCAACAUGGAAGGAGCAAACACAUUGAUACCAGGUUCCAUUUUCUAAGGGACCAUGUGAAGCAAAAGACAAUUGAGCUUGUCUAUUGUCACACGAAGGAACAAGUGGCAGACAUCUUCACUAAGCCACUACCAGUUGAAUCAUUCCGACUACUACGUGAAAUGCUAGGCAUGAAGGCGUUUUAAUUUGAGGGGGCAUGUUGGAAAUUCAAAUUAAAAGCCAUGUGAUGUCUAAUAACUGUCCAUGUGAUGCUAGCUUUUCUUUCCAUGUUGUAUCCAACAAAUAUAAACAUCAUUGCUCCUCCAUCUGUUAACCGAAAGCUGAUUUAAAGACACCAGAGAUGUGGGCUGCUGUGUGCUAGCCGAAAGGUUGUGUUUGCAAGCUAGAAGGAUGCAAUGCAUGUGUGUGCCAACUAUCCAAAGUUGCUGCAUGUGUUUGAAAGGGUGGAAAGAUGGUAAACACCAUCAUUCAUUACAUGUUGUUGUAUUGUUUAUCAAUUUCUGUUUUGUAUAAAUAGGCCUUCUUGCUAGGCUUUAGAACAUCAAUUCCAUUCCAAUUCCCUUCUCAUUUUCAGCUUGUAAGCUAUUGGUUUUGUAAACUCUCUUUUCAUAUAUCAAAGUCCAAGUGUUUUGCCGAAGCCUGUCCCUCCUUUCUCUAUUUCUUUGUCCAAUUUUAUUGAGAGUGCAAAGUGAGAGGUGUGAUAGAGUUUGUAAACUUAUCACCUACAUGUUUUGGUAUUGAGUUAGUAAACUUUUCAAUACCAACACAAUCUACCACAUCGCUAAUGGAUUGGGUCGCUAUUUUAUCCAACUCUUCCACAUCGCCCUCGUACACCAAACGAGUGCCGCAACUCUUCACCAAGCAGGGGCCUGAGCUUUUGAAAUGAAAAAUUAACUGACUGAAACUGUUUUGCCACUCUGUACCAAAGCUUAUACCACGAGACACAUAGAUCAGCCAAAUAUGAUCUGACACGGGCUGGACAUCCAAAGAUAGGAGAGGCGCAGGGUACUCUUCCUUUCCAUUGACUUCCAAAACACCAGAGAGCUCCCAUCCGCUCCCAUAAACUUCAAAUACAGCGCACAGAGCAUAUCCCAUCCACUUGUUAUCACGCCAUUGCCGAGUUAGGUCAACGCUUACUUCUGAUCCCAUACUUUGACGAGUGAACCACCUAGGAAUUUCCUUUCCAGGCAUGACAAUUUCACAUCUAUCUCCUGCAUAAGGGACUCCCUGUACAGGUGAAACAGUGAUGUUAAGCAAUGAGAGAGAGAGAGAGAGAGAGAGAGAGAGAGAGAGAGAGAGAGAGAGCGAGAGAGCACCUUAAGAUAUCUUUGGAGCAUAGUAAAUGUAAUAUGAUUGUAGCUUUCUUUCUCAAGCAUUCCAAAGCAAUUGAUGAGAUUGAAGCAUGACGAAUUCAAUCUGUCCAAAUUUGAGGGACAUUCCAGCAUUUCCAGUUUAGUACAAUCAUCUGCAGUUACUUGUAGUAAACCUACAUCUGAUGAAAGAACUGGAAGGUGUUGAAGCUUCCUGCAACGACUCAAGCAUAAAUUCUCAAGUUUAGAGAGUUGGCUAAUGCUUGUAGGAAGAUUAACAAAAUUGUUUCCACUUAAGUUCAAUGAUACCAAAGAUGAUAAGCAGCCAAUAUCAUUGGGGAUUGCUCCUUCACAAAGAUUGUGACCACUUAAGUCUAAUUCCAUUAAAGAACAAAGGCCUGAUAGAGGAGGCAAGAACAAACUGAUGGGAUGAUGACGGCUCCCUGGCAUUAAUCUUAAAAGGAGCGAGAUAAGCCAUGGUCGUUGUGAUGGCCCUUCCAUUCCAUGAAAAAUCAAUGCUUUAAGGUUUUUCAGAAGGGCAAUGGAAGAUGGACAUUCCUUUAUAGCAGUUCCACUUAAAUUAAUCUUCUCCACAAACUCUAAUUUCCCGAGGCUUUCUGGCAAUUUGGCAAGAUUUGAGCAUCCAGAAUCAUCAAGAAUUUUAAUAGCCCUCAAAUUUCCAAUGGCACUAGGAAGACAUUUCAGAUUUUUGCAAUCUCUCAAGUCCAACAAAGAAAGGCUGGUUAGAUGUUCAAGUGGUGAAGGUAUACAUUCAAUACCAGUCCCAUCUAAAGAAAGCUUCCGUAAAUGCUCCAUAGGUUCCACAAAAUUUGGAAUCUUUUUAACGCUUGAGCAGCCAGAAAGAACAAGAACUUCUAGGUGCUCCAUCUCAAUCUCAUCCGGAAGAAGCUUGAGACUUUUGCAAUAUUUAAGAGUCAAGAAAGUAAGCUUUUUGAGAGUUCCUAUGGAAGAGUGAAUCUCAUCUAAACUUUCGCAUCCUUCAAAGUCUAAUCUCUCAAGAUUCUGAAUCCCUUCAAAAUCAGGGGUUCUAGUCAAACUUUUGGAAUGACUAACUUUAAUGAUUUUCAACUUGUCAAAAUUCUGUAAUGUUUACAAGAAAUGUAGAAUAAUUAGAUCCAGAAAACUCAAAUAAGGUAAUGAAAUAUAUACUUUAACAAAUAAGGUAAAUAAUAUUGUAGAUGUAAGUGCUUACCUUUUUUCCGUUCCAGAGCUGUUCAAUUCUACUAUGACACAUGAUCAGUUCAACAAGCUCAUCCGGGUCGAAUCCUGAUGGGAGAUAUUGUAGAGGAUAACCUCUCCAUUCAAGAAAUCUCAAGGAAUUAGGGAGACGGUUGAGGCCUUCAGGAAGGCGCAUGUUGUGGACUUUGAGCAAUCUAAGAUUAACCAUCUGAGAAAAAGCUUCAGGAGGGCAUUCCACCUCUUUUGUUUCCAGCAAGUCUAGGACAAUGCCUUCAACUGUUGGUGUCCCCUGAUAACCAAGAAUAAAAAAACAAGUGAAUUGCAGUAUAAUAUGCACAUUAUAAAAGUAAAGGAAGAUGAGUAAAACAAACUGUUUUUUUUUUUUUUACGUGCCUCUUAAUCGUUAGAUUAAUUUACAUUUGACGUAUUAGGUAAGCUCUUACCGUUUUUUCCUUCAAAACAUGAAAGAUGUCCUUACAAUUGUUUGACCCUUUUUUUGUAACAAAUCAUGCAUCCGCACCCUGUUAUCUGAAAUUGUUGUCAGAGACUUCUCCAUAAGGACAUCUAUGUCAAUACCUGGAUUAAAACCACAACUAUCAAGUAUUUCAAAUACUCGAUCUUUGUCCUCCCCUUUAAAGAAACAUGCGAUGUCAAGGAAAAUCUCUCUCCCUUGCGGAUCUAAUCCCUCGUAACCUGUUAUAAGAAUCUUCAUAAUUUUUUCAUCCAAUGUGAAAUCACCCUCUAGUUUACGCAAUUGACUGCUCCGUGCAUCUAGAUCUCUUCCAUACAAAAAAGACCCCAAGACUUCAAGAGCUAAUGGAAGGCCACUGGCAUAGUCCACAAAACUGUACGACAGAGCCUUAUAACUUUCAGGUGGAUUCUCUCUAGGGAAGGCUCUCAAGUUAAAAAGUUUAAGAGCAUCAACUUUACCCAGCUCCGGCACCUUAAAUUGUUUUUCUACACCAUGUGAAAUUAGCAAGCGUUCAUCUCUAGUCGUAAUAAUGAUUCUACUCCCCUGACCAAACCAAGCUGGUUUUUCACAUAGCUCUCUUAACUGGAUACUAUCGUCCACGUCAUCAAGAAUGAUGAGAACCUUUUCUGAAGUAAGAAACUUCUCCAUCUGGCAGCUUCACCGGCAGCCCAGUCUUGUAUAUUUCUUUUCAUAAGGCUAUUGGAAAGCUUCCUCUGUACACAGGCCAUACCGUGUGCCUUAGAAUCCUCUCUAACUCCGUCAUGAAAGCUUUCGGCUUGAAAUUUAUGACGAAUCCUCUCAUAACAUGCUUUGGCAAGGGUUGUCUUACCUAUCCCACCCAUCCCCCAUAUUCCUAUAAAGAGAACAUCAUUUGACUCUAGUUCUAAAAGCACAUCAAGUUCCUUCAGUUUCGAUUCAAUGUCAACUAGCUUUUCUGCAGGUUCCAAUGAUAAAGGUCCUACUUUAUUCCGUACAUUUUCAAUAAUUUGUUCGAUGACAUCUGGUUCUCUACAAGAAAAAUAGACAAUGUCAAGAUAUGACCUAAUACACAAGGAAAUAAAAGAGCCACAGACUAUUUUUGUUUUCGUCCACCUGAAGUCAUAGUACCAAGUGGUCUCUGCGUCCAUCUAUAAGAGGGUGGUUUGGUAUUGGACAAAAUUAGAGACGGUUUAGGAAAAGGGGAGGACAAAAAAGCGUAGCAGUAUUGGAUUUCAAACAUAUGACUUCUUAACUGGAUCAAUUUUUUCCCCUUAGACUCUCAAAUGGACCAAAUAAUGGUAAAAAGAAAGGCUCUCUAGGAUGGAACUGUAGGCAUAAACACAGUCUACAAAGCCUCAAUGUUUAGUCAUUAAGUUGUAUUGGGAUUAAGCGGUUAUGAAGCACCUUCAUUACUGUGCAAAAAGUAAAUGAUAUGAAUUCUUCGAUUUUCCUAUAAGUUAUUGUAUCAGGCUUUAGAAGAAUUGAAUUAUAAAAAAAAUAGCAAGAAUGAAGGGUCAAGUGCUGAUUGCUAAAGCUUUUGAAUUGAGUGAAAGAGAAAAACAAGUAAUGCCAACCUAUUCUUUGAAGUAGACCCUUUGAUUUUUGCCACUUUUUGUAAGGCAUCUUUCCAUUGUUCCAAAAUCACUUCGGCAUUCUCACUCUUUGUCAUUCUUACACUUUUGUUCGAGUUCAGUGAAGCCUUUCCCAAAACUCCCAGACCUAUCUCCAACAUCGCAGGGUUCCACCUGGUAGAAAACUGGUAUAAUUGCCCCUCUCUCUUCCAUGCAUUCAAGAAUCUUUACGAGUUCGUUCAGGCACCAUUUUGAAGAAGCGUAGUUUGGAGAGAUGACCAUGAUGGCAAGCCUCGACUUUUCAAUUGCCGGGAAGAUUUCAGAAACUUUUCUUCCUAUUUCAAGAUCAUUGUCAUCAAAGAAAGUUCUUGUAAUUCCUUGUUCUUCCAAUUCCUUAAGUAGAUGGGCGGUAAAACCUAAGCGCGUGUCGUCGCCCCUAAAACUCAAAAAGACAUCAUACUGCCAUUCAAGAGCUGAAGGAAGAGAUGAAGCGGCUCGUUGGGUGCUCGAUGCCAUUGAAUACAAGCUAACUGGAAUGGUGGUAUUAGUUUUCCAAGCAAAAACAUGACCAGAAAAAUAAUUCAGCAUUCAAAAUAUUGUAUUAGCCAAUAACAUGAACAGAAAUAACCAUGAAUCAGAAAGAUGAGCAAUAACCUGUGUGUAUGUAAGAAAAUGAAGUCACAGAUCAAGUCAGAUCAAGUCAGAGGGGGCAUGAGAGGGGCUACAAGUCUGUCUGUAUGUCGUCAAGUCCAAUCAAUGCUUAGGUACACCAAGUUGCCUAGUGGCCGUCGUCGUCUAACGAAACUUCACCGCGGAGGCUUGAUGGACGUGAUUCAACUGCUGCUUCUAUCCGACGGUCAAACCGCGUAAGCUCUAUUUUCCCACUUUUUAUUUUAUUCGUUUGGUGAUUCAACUGCUCCAUUAUUUUAUUUUUGUGUAGCUCCAUUAUUAUUUUUUAUACUAAUGCAGAGCACACCACAGUUGAAUGUUUCUAACAAACACAAAAUUUAAUUGCAUGCACUUCUUUUCUUCCAGAAACACAAAAUUUAAUUUUCUUUAAGUUGACCCAGUGCGUUUACUUAGACAAUCACCUGUGCACUAGUUGGGAAAAUUCAUCCUCGGACUCAUCGUCCUCAUGGUUCACAUUCACAAGUGGCACAUAAAAAUCAGGUGUUGAAAUUAGAGAUAAAAUGUAGAAGAUACUGUCGGCAAAAGCAAAUAAUUUUUGUUUUGUUUUUUUUUAUUUUUUUGUUUUUGUUUUGUUUUUAAUAUAACCUAAGAAAUAAACUGCAGCUAGAAAUUGAAAGUAAUGAAAUAAAAAUGAAAGAAAGUAAAGAAAAAGUUACUUUAAGUCUGUAGCUAGACGUCGCAGAAGCCCGGUGGCUAGAUCACUGGUUCCUUCAGAGUCAAAGACUCGCUUGUACCAAACUUCUUUGGGAAUGACUUUAGUAGAGACUUCUUGACCUUGAGCACACAACCCCUGCCCUCUAGUUCAAUGUCCACAUUACUGUUUUGAAAAACUUGCUUAACCAUAUAAGGUCCCUUCCACCGAGACUCUUGUCUCCCUGGAAUUAACUUGAAACUGGAAUUUAACAACCACAUCUUUCUACCAGGCUGUAUUUUUGCAACUUUUUAUUCUUUCCCUUGAUAUUUGGAUGUUUUUGGUCAAUCUGGUGGCCUAGAUAGUUGUCAAACAAAGUUGGUUCUGCUUUUGAUUUUUACACUUCAACCGCCCGAACUUUUUGCUGUUGCACUUUACUAUCACACUCACGAAUCACAUCUUGAGUCUUUAUGAGCAGAUGGUUAGUUAAUGAUCUGGUCAUAAAUUUGGCCUUAGGUAAACCAUCUAAUGCAUCAACACGCAUGCAUUCUUUCUUGUCACUUGGAUGUGUGAUGACUUCAAACAAAUUGAAAACAACUGUUUGAUCUUCAACCCGUAGUGUUAAUGUUCCUGCUUCAACAUCAAUAAGAGUUCGGGCUGUUGCCAUGAAGGGUCGUCUCAAAAUGAUGGGUGUUGUCAAAUCUUCAUCCAUGUCCAACACCAUAAAAUCAGCUGAUAAAUAUAAAUUGUCAACCUUAACAAUAACAUCUUCGAUGAUUCCUCUAGGAUAGGUAAUUGAACGGUCAGCCAAUUGAAUAAUGUUGGAGGUUGGCUUCAGCUUGCUUUCACCUAAACGUUUAAAAACAGAAUAAGGCAUUAAGUUUACACUAGCACCUAAAUCAAUUAACGCACUUUAAAAAUCAAAAUUGCCAAUAGUACAGGGAAUAGUAAAACUCCCUGGAUCUUUCUUCUUUGGAGGCAAUUUGUGUAGUAGAACUGCACUGCAUUGUUCUGUGAGCACAAUUUUCUCUGUUUCCACGAGCUUUUUCUUCUUAGUGCAAACAUCUUUCAAAUAUUUAGCAUAAGAAGGAAUCUUGUUAAUCGCUUCCCACAAUGGUAAAUUAUUUGAACUUUAGCCAAUGUCUGUAUGAAGUCUUUUAACUGCUGAUCCUUAGCCUUUGGUAUUAACCGUUCUGGAUAUGGUACUGGAGGAUUAUAAACACGCUCAGAAACCUGUUUUGGGACAGUUUCUGCACUGGUCAGAUUCUGUUUUGAUGCAGAAUUGGCAGGUUCUACCCUUGUUUUUGCAGAUUCUGUAGAAAUUUUCACUGCUGGCAGAUUCUGUUCAGUGCCAUUUUCACGGUUGUCAUAACUUUUACCACACCUUAAAGUCCGUAUUGCACAACAAUCCUCUGUACCUCUUGGAUUAUACAUCAUUUGACUAGGAAACCUUCCUUUUUCUCUGUCUGAAAUCUGUGCAGCUAGCUGCCCAAAUUGUAACUCUAAACUUUUAAUUGAUGCCUCAAUAUUCUGAAAUCUUUGAUUGCUGCCUUCCAUGAAUGUUUGUGUUGUUGCUGCCAGUUUAGUCAUUUGAUCCUCCAAUGAUGGUUUGGAUGGUACAAAAGGUUUUUGUGCUUGUUGGAAUGGUCUUGCAUUAUUUUGAUUGUCACCCCAUUUGAAAUUAUGAUGAUCAUUCCAUCCUGGAUUGUAAUGAGUUGCAUAUGCAUCAUUCCUAGGCCUUUGAUAACUGUUCAUCAUAUUAACAUGUUGCUCGACAAGCUCUGGGUAAGAUUCUUUAUGUGGACAGCCCAAUAUGUCGUGUGUAGCCAUGCUGCAGAUAGUGUAGAUUGUUGAUGUAGGUUGCUGCUGCUGUGUAGAAUUUGCUAUCUGUUGUAAAAUAAUGUCAAACUUUGCAUCAAUUUUUUUCUCCAUUUUUUCCAUUUGUGCAGACAUAUUAGAGGAACCUGCUGAUAACUCAAAAAUGCCCCUUUUUUGUGAAUGUUCUGCUGCCCACUCUUGAGAUUCUGUAGCCAUUGUAUCAAAUAAUUCAAAUGCUUCUCUUGCAGAUUUAUUUGACAAUGAACCCCCAUCUGAUGCAUUAACAUGACUUUUAGAUGUAGGAUUAAGCCCAUCAAAGAAAAUAUUCAUUUGUUUAUCUGAAUCAAUAUUAGCAUGUGGACACUUUAUAUACAUUUCUGUAUAUCUCUCCCACGCUUCAUGAAAUUCUUCGUUUGGCUUUUGAGUGAAUGUCAUAAUCUCCCGCUUGUAAUUUAAUGUCUUGGAUGCCGGAUAAUAUUUGUUCAGGAAUUUUGUAUGCAAUUGUUGCCAAGUAGUAAUGCUAUUAGCUGGUAAAGUGAACAACCAAGUUUCUGCCUUAUCCUUCAAAGUAAAAGGAAAAAGACGUAACUUAAUAGCCUCGACAGAAAAACCCCUGAUCAAAAUAUUUUUGCAACCCACGAUGAAUUUUGCAACAUGUAAAUUCGCAUACUCGUUAGGCAGCCCACAAAAAGUAGGUAAAAUUUCAAGCAUAUGGUGCUUGAUCUCAAAUGAAUCACCAUCUUCAUGGGCAGGAUACACAAUACAAUUAGGAACAUCAUUGACUCAGGCAGCCAAUGACUCUCUGAGUGGCCUGCCUGCAGCAGGCAAUUGCAACGCCAUUGUGAUUUUACUGCCUACAAAACCAGCAAACAAUUCCUGCAGGAAUGUGCCUUGCACUGCACAGUCCCAAACCAAAUUAUUUUCUCUCCCCUGUCUAUGCAGUGUGCGUUCGGGUUCUGGACCAAACUGUGCAAUCUGGGCAGUUCCUGAUCUAGUUUGGACCAUGCAAUUUACAGAAUCUACAAUCACACAAAAGCGUUAAAAUAAUUUGAAUUUUUUGUUGUCUUUUUUUGACGAAAAAUAAUAUAAAAAAAAAUAAUCAGAAAAAGUUUAAACAAAAAUUAUCUAAAAUAGUCCCCGGCAACGGCGCAAAUUUCUUGAUAGGAUUUUUAACGUCUAUGCAAAUAGGGUCAAAAUCACAUGAAAUACUUGCAAGAAUACAAGGAUGUUGUAGUAUAGAUGCUCAUGCACGGUCGUUUUCCUCAAUGAUUAUUUGGAUAAUUUAUGUAGAAACAAUUCCUAAUUAAAUAUUUAGAGUUAAAACUUGAGAAAAGAGAGUUUGAGAGUGGGUAAUAUUAAAAGCGAAUUUUAAGCAAAAACUAAUAUAAUCAAAGAAAAGAGUUUUAAAUACCAAUUUAUAAAGGCACCAGGGUUCCACCAUCACCUAGCAAUUUUAUGUAUUUUUACCAAUUACUUAUAAUUUAGACAUGCCACUUCGAAGGUUAGGUUUUCCUAAUACAUAUUCUCCUCGUGAUAGUCAAGCAAGAACAUAUAUCUAACAUGCAAUCCGUAUGUGAUAUUCAGAUCAAAUAUGAAUAUGCAAGACUCAUUAAGUUUUAUGAAAACCUUUUGAAGAACCAUGCAACCCCUAAGAACGUGAUAUUCGCCUUAGAUGAAAUUACAAUUAUCAAUCACAAGAAGCAAUACUCAAUCCUCCGGUGAUAUUCCGACCGAAUUGCAUCCAAUUACUUGUCUAAACAUCCUAAUAGUGGCCAGUCAUCAAGAUAAUUAGAUAGUUUAAAACAGUGAUCAAUAAUUCAAAGUGUGCAUGCAAUCAAUCAUAAGCAAUUAAAUAAAAAUUACAUAUUCAUGCUAAGGCUCAAGGUUUCGCCCUAGCAAAAGGAAUUAGUUAUGCAUAUUCAUAAUUGAAAUCAUAGAGCUUAUUAUUAAAAAUAAAAGGAAUGAAAGCACCUUAAAGUAGAAAAUCUCCAAGAACCCUAGCCAAGUUCUUUGUCUCUAAAGUUGAAUAAUAAUAAGCGUAGAAAAAAACUAUAGACGGCCAAAGCAAUAUAUUUGCUCAGCCCUUACAAACCCUAAGACAUAGGUUUCUUAUUCCAACUAGGAAACUAAAAAUAAAAUAAAAUAUCUUAGAAAAUAAAACCCUAAUUAAACUAGGAAUCUGCCAAGUACUUGUCCAGCCACGUUUUAGCCUCAGAUCUCCUCCAAAUCCAGCCCAAGAUAGCUUGUUUUAAAUAAGAACGUUCCGAACAGAUCUCCAGAAGGCCACGAAACCAUUCGAGGUCAUCUUGGGCUCCAAAAACGCAAUUUAAGCCCAGAAACGUCAUUUUUCAGCACCGCGCAUCGCUCCUUUAUUUUAUCGCCAAAAAAUAACCGCUUGAUGGAAAAAUCCCAAUUUUUGAUACGAUCAAGCUAAGUGACUCACGAACGUCUUCCAACUGGAAUUACUCCAAAAUUCGUCCAUUUGACCACGUUUUGCUUCAGAGGAAGUCGAAAGUCCUAUAUUGAAAAUACAAUUCAAAGUAUCAAAAUUCUUCUAAAAUAUGAACCAAAAUAUACCAAGAAUAGGGUUAAAUAUAUAAUAUAAAAUUCACUUAUCAAAGCUCCUCAUCUCUGAGAGGAGAGCAACCACAACUGUCACUAUUGCAUCAAAUCUAUGAGUAGAACUCAAAUCCAUAUCAAAUCACUUAUGCAGUCUCAUUCACAAGAAGCCUGACACGCUUUUGGUAUGAACGGCACUGAUCAACAAUCACUUCUUCCUUCAAACCCUGCCAUAGUAUUUCAUUUUGACCAUUUAUGACCGUUAAAUUUGCACAUAUUAAGAGCCCGGAUGGUAAUAUUAUGAUUUUGGUUCAUUUAUUAUAUUUUAGUAAAAGCCAAAGAGGAAUUGUAUGGGAGAAAAGAGGGAGAACAAAAGGGCUCAGAUGGGUGGGCAUGAAAAUGAAUAUGGAACGGUAUUUAAACCAAAAAGCAAAAUCAGUCUCAACUGUUCUAUAUUUCUCCUUAAAGUUUUUACUUCGCCCAUUUCCCUUCAAUCGUCCAUACCUCCUCCCUUCUACAAACACAAGAAAAGUGCAGCCCUUAAAGGUACUAAGUUUCGAGUAAUUAACCACCUAAUUCCGACCCUGCUAAAAGUCCCAACUUAAACUUUUUUUACAAUCACAGUAAUUGACACCCAAUUACUAGCCUCCUCCACCUCUGGAUAACUAGCCUUAUAAAUAAAGUUUUGUUAUCAAUAUUUCUCAUCAAAUAAUUUACAUACAGUGCAUAGUAAAGAAAAGUAUGGACCAUAAAUAUUCUCCACAAUUGACCAUAUACAAGUUUCAGAACUUUCAACUGUGGUAAGAGUCCCAUAUGAAACUUUCACCGCUAGAGAACUCCACACACACAAAAAAAAAACAUAGAAUCAUUGGCCUCUCAACAAAAAUAUUUCUAGAAAAACAUAAAUGAGAAAUUAUCCUUUAAUAAUACCUUUUCGGAAAGAAAUUAAUCAGAAAUCUAAAAUAAGGUAGAAAAUAAUAUUACCUCAGGAUUCUUAGGAUCCAAGGCAUUAAGCAUUUCCAUCAACACAUCUGCAAUUCCACGAGCAUUCUGAAUCUCUAGCAAGCUGAUUAAAGACAGUUCCAAUCAGGAUGGAUCUAUCAUAGUUUCAAUUAAAAGGAUGAUUUUUGCAGCAGAAGAACAACAUUGACACCAUUCAAAUACAAACAUAUAAGACAAUAACAUAUGUUUCAACUCUUCUUCCAGCCUUGAAAUAGAUUUGGAUGACUAAGAACUCCUACUCUCAAGCCUUUGGUGACACGCCCCGAUCCCGAUAUUCCCAAAAUACCAGGAUAAGCACAUGCUGGUUGACACCUGACGAAAGCCAUUUAUUGAAUGCAAAUGUUGAGAAUAAGGAAUAAAUAAGACUUAGAAAUAUAAAAGAAUAAUGAAUAUGCAUUUAAGGAACGCGUUCAGAGAAUACAACUAACUAGAACACUAAAAGAAAUAAUAUAAAAUUCAAAGAAUAAAAGAAUGGGUCCUACACCGAGAGGACUCGAAGAUGCCGAUGCGGAAGUGCCUUGACGUCAGGAUUGUAUGUCUCGAUUCUAAGUCCUGAAGGGGGCGCAAAACAAACAUGAGUGGACCAAGUUGCUAUAUAUAUAUAUAUAAUAAAACAGUUAUCAACAUACUAACCCCCAGGUUUUAUGAAAACACAUAUAUAUCAUGAUAAACAUAUGUUUUCCGAAACCUAGCAUGUCGUGCAAUGUCUCAAAUCAUAACUUGUAUAUAUAAUAAUCACUAGUGAAUUGUCCGAUAACCCCCAGGCCCCAUGCCGACUCCCCGUCUCUGAGCAGACAGUCAAAGGAAAAUACACUUCAAGUCCCAUGCUGGCUCCCCGUCCCUGUGCUAAAUAGGCAGAGGAAACACACUCCAGGCCCUAUGCCAACACCAAACCGUCACCAGGGACGGACCAGAAUCUAUCCCUACGUCCCGUAGCGGAAAUGACCACUAGGUAAGUACAAAAUCAUUGAACAUAUAUAUAUUGAAAAACAACUUCAUAGUAUAAAGUCAUCCAUCAUCUAUACUAUAAAGAGGUGUUCGAAACAUGUUCUAAAUAUUAUAUCGUCAUCCAUCGGAUAUUUAUAAGAACACGGGUUAUAGGAAAAAUAGGAAUAAUUCAACUAGCCUCAAUAAGCAUAUUAUCUCAUAAAACGUUUCAUAAAACGUAGUCAUCAAAUCAUGUUUUUCAUGUAUGCAUUUCUACUAUCAAAACAUGCAUUUUUAGAAGGGGUCCACUCACAGAUACUUAGCCGCCAAAGAGCCACGCAAACUAGCAAACACGGAAACGCCACAAUAAUUGCUCCUAAGCACGUAAAUGGUCCAAUUAAUAAAACUAUACUCAAACGAUUUAAUUUGGGAAAACAGACGUCGAAAACGGAUUCAGAACAUCAAAUUAUCUUAAGAAGGGUCCCGGAUAAAUUUCGUAAACGUCAAUAGAAUAUUCCAAAGAAUAUUCCUUGACGGAAUAUUUUCUGAUGGAAUAUUCCACAAAAAGGUUUGAGCCGGUUAGGGUUUAGGGUUGGAAGGGUUAAAGGGUUUAGGCUUAGACUUUUAGGUGGGUUGGGUUUAGGUUUUUAAACUGAAAGGGUUGCUUUAACAUAUAAGGGCCAAUGGCCUUUAAAACCAAAACAAAUAAAAUAGAAAAUAAAAAGGGCUGGAGGGUUCUAGGCCCAAAGGCCUAAACUAAAAAAGGGUUUGGGGUUUAAAGUGUAUGGGCCCUAAGCCCUCACAGCAAUGGCCCAAAGGCCUUUAAUUAAACAAAAUAAAAUUAAAACAAAAUAAAAAGAGAAAUGGGUUUGGGUUGGGCUCGGCAGGAAAGGCCCGAAGGGCCUAUGUUUGAUGGGUCGCUAGACCCAAGGAAGAAGAAGGCUGGAAUUCGGCCGAAAGGUUCUCUAACUUUAAACGUUCAUAACUUUGUCAAUACUCAACGAAAUCAAGUGAUUCAAAAACAGAAAUCGUAGCCCUCGAAGAGACGAAGAGAAUGGUACCUUGCACGACGUCUAACUCAUCAUGGUUUGGCCGAAAAUUUCCUCGAAAGGGAUGAGUCCCUAGUCGGAAAAUCUAGGGAAAGCUCCCCAAGUUGUUUUCACGUCUAAACCUUCACCAAAUACCAUAUUUUAACAACCUCUAAGCCUUCUAGACUACUAUGAAGGAAGAUCGAAGGGUGUUUUUGACUUACCUUGUCAGAAAUCACGUGCACCGUGACUGUGCACAGUGCCUAGACGAGAGAGAGAUCGCAGGGUGGUGAGGAAGAGAACGAUGAAGGUCAGAUGAUGAAGAUGAUGGUGAAGUUCUCCUGUUGGCUGUGUGUAUGUAUGUAUGGGUGUGUGUGUGAUGAUACUCGGGGAAGGAAGGAGAGAGUGCAGAGAGAGUUGAGAGAAGAAAGAGGGAAAAAGAGAGAAAGAAGAGGAUCACGGGGAGGGAACACAAAUAAAGGGGUUGGGCUCACCAAUUAAGAACUAAAAUUCAUUUUUAAAUAAAAUGGGGGUGGGGUGUAACAUUUGGUACUACUAAAGAACCGUAUAUUUAUUCGUAGAUGAUCAAUUGAAACACCCCACGGAUCAAUUAAUUCAAAUCAUAAUUAAAUACUAAUAGUGGCUUUAAAGAAUGUGUUACAUAUACAGAUGAAAAAGAAGAUUCAACAUCGUUACCAUUCAAAUACAAACAUACAAGACAAUAACAUGUUUUAACUCUUUUUGCAGCCUUGUAAUAGAUUUGGAUGACUAAGAACUCCUACGCUCAAGCCUUUGGUACUACCAAAGAACUGUAGUUUUCUUCCUAGAUGAUCAAUUGAAACACCCCAGAGAUCAAUUAAUUCAAAUCGUAAUUAAAUUCUAAUAGUGGCUUUAAAGAGUAUAGGCGUGUUAUAUAUAUAGAUGAAAAAACAGAAUCAACCUAUCAUAUAUACAGGAUGGCAACUUGUUUGGUGAUAGAUUCAGAACAACAGAGAGAAUUUUUUUUUAAAGAUAAGAUACCUUAAUGGUGUUUGAGUAAUAACACAUACAGACAUUAAAGGUGAAACCUUUUCCAAGCAGAUGCAGACAUACAAAAAGAUAUUAAGCUUAAAGACCUUAAUAUCCAGCUUUGGGUAUUGGCAAGUAUCUGCUAACCUUCCCUUAUACGUAAAAAAUUCUGAUAACCACAAUCAAGGCAACAACAACAAAAACAAAAGCAAAAAUUCCAUGCCUUAAGUAGAAAAAGUUCACUUAUGUUGUAAAACCCAUUCAUAAAGAUUUAGUCAACCAUUAACAAUCAUUCACUGUUGUAUCAACAAAAAAAAAUAGAAGGAAACAAGUUCUUAUGAUUGAAAGAGAUGAUUGUGAAAGGGUUAGGAUAUACCUGCUGCUAUGAAUUAUAGAUUCCAGUGGAUGAGGCUCUCUGUUUUUGAAAAACGUGCGUAUGGUUGAACGGCAACGAUACAUGACAUAGCAAAAAAUUAGAGGGAAAAGGAGUUUGUAUUCAAACACAGUAAAGAGAUUUGUAUUAGAAAUUAGUUUGUAUAAAAGUUAACAAAACAUAACAAAAUUUAAAAAUGGAUAGACAAAUACCUCAGUGUUUGAAUGAAUGGUUGCUGUGUGAAUGAAUGGUUUGAUCUGUAUGCUUGUGUUGGAUCUACAUGCAUAUGAAAAAUUAAAUUAAAAAGUGCAUCACAGAGAAAUGGAAAAACAACCUAGCAACAUAGAGAUAUUCGAAUGAUGUGAAGUGGAAAAGGAACCUGAAGGUGAUUUGGUGAGAAGCAAAUAGUAGGAAAGCAUGAAGAAACACACAAAUGAGCACAGUGCAACCCCUUUAUUUAUAAAGACAGAAAUCUCACACUAACAAUGAACUAAACGGCCUAAACCCACUAAUUAAAAAAUAAUAAACUUAAAAAGGAGUCUAAAUUUUGUUUACUCAUAAACAAAGGAAAAAAAAUUCUGAAAAACACAAAUAUCAAGACAGUGUAGUCCCCUAAUUUACAAAGACUAAGAGCAAACUCUAAUAGUUAACUAAACAAUUUAAAAAUAUCUAUGACAACUUUAAUGAAGGGAAAAUUAGCCAUGACAAUUUAACAGUGUAGCCCCCUAAUUUACAAAGACUAAGAGCAAACUGUAAUACUUAACUAAACAAUUUUAAAAUAUGUAUAGCAGUUUUAAUGAAGGAAAAAUGAGCUAUGACAAUUUAAUGAAGGGAAUGGCAAAUCAAACAAUGAACAGCAAAUUGAAAACAAUAAAUUGUAUAAAUUUACAUAUGUUUUACUCAAUUUUUUUUUUCCAUUAAGCUUUCAUGUUGCUGUAAAUUUAGGCGUUUUCUCUCUGUGUUGGUGUAUCUGCCUAAACUUGUAAAAUGUUGGUUCAUCUUAUGCAAUUUUUGAUAUACUUAACAACCUACUGCCUAUGUGCAAUGGAGCACCACAAAUUUAUCUACAUUAUGGUUGUUAGGACAAUGGAUUAGGUUGUAGGAUAAAUUCGGACAUACAGCUAACCCUAGAGGUGAUCUAAACAAUCUACAAAAGACUAAGAGCAAACCCUAAUAGUUAAGUAAACAAUAUAAAAUAUAUAUGAUAGCAUUAAUGAUAGAAAAAAUAUCUAUGACAAUUUUAAUAAAUGGAAUGGCUAAUCAAACAGUAAACAACAAUUAAAAACAAUAAACUGAAAAAGAGUUAACCCUAAGGUGAGCUAAACAAUCUACAAAGAUAUAUGACAAAUUUAAUGAAGGAACAAAAUAUCUCUAACAAUUCUAAAACAAAAAAAAGGAUCAAUCACACAAAAAUUAAUCAAGAAACAAACAAAUUAAAUCAGUGGAAGACCCUAAUUGAAAAAAAUAGAGACAUAAUCCUAGCACCCAAUUGAACAAUUUAUAAACAUCCAUGACAAUUUGAAUGAAAGAACAAAAUAUAAAUGAAAAUUUUAACAAAGCAAAUGGCAAUUGGAUACUAAACAAUGAAAAAAAAAACAGUGCAUUACCUUUUGAAUCAAGGGAGAAAGUUGAAAACCCAGACCCUGCCAUUCGUCCCUCAGCCAUCCCCUCUUCACCGACUCUGUGCGUAACCCGUUAACCCUAAAGAAUACACACACCCAUGCUUUCCGCUCUGUAUCUAUCUCCCUGUCCAUCUCUCUCUCUAAAAUGGGAGAAAAUCCCAUAGAUCCUAGCAGAGGACCUAGCUAAAUCUAUCUCUCACUCAGUCCAAACCCAUAGCUCCCAUCUCUCUCCAAUCUGUCAGGCCUUGUGUCUCCCUCCUCUCUAGUCGCUCCGUCCCCCUUUCUCCGCUCGCCACAGCCACAACCACACCCAGCUGUCUCCGAGUAAAAAAUAGGAACGAUCGUCUCUCUCCAAUUUGUCAGCCGUGAUGUCCCCCUCCCCUUUCUCUCCCCGAGUCAAAGCUGAAAUGCAGCCAACGGCUGAUAAUCGGUUUUUAAGCCUGAGUGGCAUUUUUGUAAUAAAGCGAAAGUUGGUUAAAAGCACCCUGAGUGGCAAUCUUGUAAAUAAACUGAAAUGUCUUCCAAAACACUGCUCAAUUGUACAAUGCAAUUUCCCCUCCUUCAUUAGACUAAAGUAAUAAUAAUUCAGACAAUUUAUACCAAAAAUAAAAAAACAUCCCAAAGCAUAAAAAAAGAUAGCAUCUGUUACAAUAUCAUUAUGUUUGAAUUGUGUAUAUAGGUAAUUAUGGGGGAUUCGGGAAAGAUGGAAUAACUAUACAAAGAAGAGAAAUGAUUUGAAGUCUAUUGUUCGCUUUUCUUAUUAGCACAAAAUUCAAUCAAGCAAGGAUGAAUUCUUUCAUAAAUUACAGUUACGGAUCAUGACAUUCAACAAGCAGCAGCUGAAAUAGUUGUACAAACAUAAAAAAUCGAUGCUGACUGACAUCUUUAAUUAAAGAUUAAGGCCCUAGGACUGACAGGAUUUAUAAUAGUAAGGGUGUAAGAGACAUCCUCAUGUCAAUGGGAGAAUUGAUGAAUACUUGACAAGGUUAAGGCCUUUCAAAUAUGUAGUCAAAUUUUUCUGCAGUCUUAAAGCAUGCACAACACAUUCAAAUUUGAUGAAGUAUAUAUGAAACAACCAACAUGUCUUCGUUGAUUCUCAAUUUCCAACACAUGUUUGCAAAUUGAAACAUUCUCUCUAUGGUCUUAAACAAGCCUCAAGGGCGUGGUUUCAAUGUUUUUUCCAACCACCUAGAACAUCUCGAUUUUGUGUCUUCUUAAGCAGAUUCGUCUCUAUUUGUUUACUGUCAUGGUUUAGUUCGCAUUUAUUUACUAAUCUAUGUUGAUGACAUCCUUAUCACAGAAAAACAUGAACAUAAAUAACCAUGAAUCAGAAAGAUGAUCAAUAACCUGGGAGUAUAUAGAAAACGAAGUCACAGUGUUCGGGCGAAGAUUUCUCCGGAUAGGGCUCCUCGGCUCUCAGCACAGCUCUCCAAGGGAUUGGCCUUUUGGAUGUGUAGUUAAGCUCUUGCUUGUUGAUGUGUUGCAAGAAGAGGAUAGAGUUAGUUUUGAAAGGUGCCUUUGUAGGGCCUUAAGUGUAGGCCUUGAGACUCGCAAUCAAAACUAACUGAAUGCUAGGCGUGCCACUGCUAUCUCAGUAUAGCAGAUGUAGAACAAAUGUGUUUUAGUCGAUUACUUACCCCCCAAGUUACUCAGACUUCUUGUUAUCAAAAGAUUGUCGUGGAUGGGUUAAGUCCACAUUAAGUUCUUUUUCUUGCCUUAUGACCAAGGACUUUCAGUUCAUAGUCUUGUAUGUUCAAGUGAGGGAAGUCCAAAUCUCCUUAAGUCAUCUACUCGGUUCUUGAUUGGUUUUUAAUGAAGGCAUAUUCAUUUAGGUAACCAGAUGCGAGCACAAACGAGACUCUUAAAAUAGGAAAACAGAUGGAUAUGACUUGAAUACAUGAUGGAGAAUACAUUAAGUAGUAGAUUUAUUAACUUAUAAAACAAACAAAGAGCUUUGAGCAAGAUUUCACCUUGUCGGGCAAGGUUGAACUUCUUGCAAUCACUUCUCUUUUGAGUUUACAAGGUUUAUUUGCUAAGAAGGGAUGAAUGGUAAACAAGUUUACACAAGAGAAUCGAUACUACGCCACUAGGGGUGAUAACAGAGCUUCUAAACUAGACAAAAGAUGGCUUUUGUGGGGAAUGAUCAUGAAAAGAUGGCUAACUACAGCUUUUAGAUGCAAAUCCGGCUUGAGAUAAGAGUUUGUAUGAUUGGUUGAGUGUCAUUGUCUUUGGGGCCUCUUCUUCCUUUUAUACACAGAUUAGCCCGACUAUUGUAGCUUUGCUCUUGCCCAAAAGUAAUUGAAGGGUAGUGAGUCAUCAACUUUUUACUUGUAUUGCCAUUAAAAAGUGCUUUUUGGCUAAUUAUGGGUUAGUCCCCAUCACUUGACACUUAAAUCAUAGGCACAUGACCAAUGCAUUAAUGAGAAGGCGCCAAUUUAUCUCUGGGCUUGAUGCUGGGCUUUGGGCAAGUCUUCCUUUAAUUGGUGUUUUUGCUUCUACACACUUGCAGCCUAAAGUUCAAAUAUUAACCCAAACAAAACUUCUAACCCACGAUCAUAGUGGUCACUCCUCACACCCCAAGCCAGAUCCCUCGAUUGGAUGCAGCUAAUGAAUCUCUCUCUACAAAAGGGACUAGCAUCUUCCCUAAAAGCGUCAUGGAAGACCGAAGUUGUAGAGGGCAGAGAUGUCUCCGAGUUGCUUGGAGAUUUUGAGGACGAAGCCGAGCUUGUAGUUGAGUGUUGGCCUACAUGUCGGACUCCGGCAAUGGUGGUAGAAACUUCAGAGUCUGAGCCCGAAGCGUGGCUGGCUCCAACAAAGAAAAAGAUGCGGGCACAAACUUCCACAGCUUCAAAGUCUUCUACACCAGUGGCUGAGGUGGGUAGGGAGAAACGGAAAGCUUUUAGUAAGUAAUCAUUGCUUCAUUUUAUUCACAACUUCAUGAUGAGAGUUGACAACUCUCUUUUCUUUGAUUCCAAGGCCCCAAGUGACUAAAAAGCCUACCAUCGCUUCAAGGGAUGACCCAUUGCGGGCUGAGAUGUCUCAAAAAGCAAAAAAUCUGCAAGAUUUCACCCUGGAGGAACUUGAGGUACAUCUUGCAUAUUAAAUUUUAUUCCAUUGGGUUCUUCCCUUUUCCUUCUUACUCUCCUCCAUACUAUCUGCCUAUUUUCUGAUUUAGGCCAUAAGGGAAGGAAAGAUCUCUCCGCCCGAGGCCUCCUCACCUCCAGCCCGAAUGGUACAAACUUCUCCCCCUCAGGCUAAGUCUUCAAAGGUAUAUCUUUUCUCUUCUUUUAGACUUGUAUCUUUAACAAUCCCAGAGUUCUAACACUCGAUUUGUACUUUCGUAGGCCAAGGUUGGAGAGGUUGCUUCCUCACUGGGCAUAGUUUUACCUUCAUUCUUCCAGCCUCUCUUCCACUGGUGGUGGCUCCUACUUCCUAGUUUGAUCCAAGCACUGCAAAGUUGUUACACUUUGUAGAAGAUAAUAGUCGCCCAGUAAGUACUUCCAUUAUCCUUUUUAUGUUCAGAGUUCCUUUUUUUCUUCCUUACUUAUCAUCUGUUGCCAUUUGUAGCCUUCCUUAUCACAGACAUCUCACCAACCAGCCGUGUUUGCUUUUGGAGAACCCGUAGUCCCUGAGAUCCCUGUGGUUUCAGAGGUGACUAGCCUGAGGGCUUCUCGGGCAGAGUCUCUUGAUGUAGUUGUUUCUGAAUUACCUAUUUCUCAACUUCAAGUAUAUCAUUAUCUUAAACUUUCGCUUCUUGUUUUCUGCAAAUUGUCUUUUUGACACUUGUUCUCUUUGAUGUCUAAAGGCCUCAGGUAAAGGCCCAGGCAUUAUUCCUUCCUCCUUAACAACCAAAAAUGGUCCCUCUCCACAACUAAAGGAAACAACUCUUCCUCCAUCUCAUUCCUUGGCUCCGAGCUCAACCCAGGUAUAUUGUCCUUACUUGUCUCGCCUUCCGCCAUUCUGAAUCAUAAAUUAUUUCCUUAAUUUUUCUCCAUUGGUUGCAACAGGGCUUUGGGGAAGGCUCAGGCAAGUCUUCACCACGCUUGGUGCACAAAAUAGAACUCCCUCGACCUUCUUUAGCUUCUAGGGUCAUAGGGAUUCCUAUCCCAAGGCCGAAAAAGAAGACUAAGACCAUAACUGCUUCUAUCUCUCAGGUUCCUCCCUCGGUUGAAACUUCCUCCAUUGCUGCACCCUCUGAAGUAGCUGGAGUACGACCUUCUUCUCCUGUACCGGUUCCUUCAACAGUAUCUCUACCCGAGCUUUUUAAAGAAUUCGGGCAACUCAAGACAAAGUUAAGAUCUCCCAAGCAUCCAGGCAAUUCAAAACAAAGCUAAGAUCUCCCAAGCAUCCAUCUGAAUCUUCAGGCCUCCAAGAUCAACGCCGAGUCUUCCGAGAAUGGUUUAGAAGGGAUUUCUCAGCAUCCUUUAGCCUCAAGGCCCUCCAUGAUGUAGAGAAAGUAGUGACCGACAUUUUCAAGGCCGAUCAAUUAUCAAAAGUUCAGUAUGAGUCAUUUAUCUCAUAUUUUGAAAACUUGAAGGCUCUUAGAAAUCAGCAUAGUCGGGCUGAGAGGCAAACCAAUUGAGUAAGGUGCUUCAAGGAGAAACAAUCUAGUACUUUAACUCAAAUUUAGCAGCUAAUAAAUAAAGGCUCAGCCACGGAGGAGAAGAUCAAGAUGGUCUCUUCCAAUAUCCAGAAGUUAGAGGAGCAACUUGCUGUGUUGAAGGCUGAACAUGCGACUCUCAUUGGCAAGCUUCAGCAGCAAAUUGAAGGAGUAAAAAAGGCCAACAUGGAACUUGAAGACGCCGAAUCUCAACUUAUCAAUAGCAGCAUUGUUUUGACGGAGCCUACCAAAAUUUUCGCGCUCAUGUAGACUUAUUACUCCAGAAUAAUUACUCUGGGUGAAGAUGUACAUCUGUUAGGCUAUGAUCAAAUAUAAUCUUUUCUAAAAUAUACUUCUUUUCAUCUUGACUUGUAUCACUUUAAAUUGAAAUUCUUAUUGCCUUUUUUACUUCACCUCUUUUUUGAAAUCAUUAACUUUGUUUAAUAUAACGAUUUCUAACCCUCAAACAGUUGGAUGUCACCUCUUUAAACACUUAAUACUAACUGGAUGUCUUUGUAAGUUUUCUCUAAAUUGGUCGAUUAAUAUUUCCCUUUAUCUUGUGUUUUUCUCUCUUCCACACACCAAUAGUCUUUUGAUUAAGUACCUGACUGCAACUACCUGGUCAUUUCUUCUUUGUUCUGACAUUACUGGUGUUGGGAAAAUAUGGGGUCGGUCCCAUUCUUCCCUUGUAAGGAACAACCUUUGUUCCAAAAGCUUUUGGGCCGUCACCUUAGUCGGGCGGUCGUUCUCAUCAGCUCCUAAACACUGGAGAAUCUCAAUGCUAGGAUUAUAAAAAUUGACUUUUGCAACAUUGGUAGUGGGAAGGAAUGGCCGUGACUCGGCCUCUACCAUCUCCCAAAAUCCAGGUCCCAUAGCGCAUUCUUCGUGAUAAACUGCUACUUGUUGAUGUAGGGUGGAUGGCACCGAGAGACUUUGAUGAAUCCAAUCUCGGCCUAGUAAAGCUCCAUAUGUGGAAGUACUAUCCACAACGAAGAAAUCUAACAUGAUUUGCUUGAAACCCAAGUUAACCUCAAAGGGUCAUAUCCCAUGGGUUUUAAUGAUGGCUUCAGAGUAAGUGGAAACUGUUAAGUCCGUGGGGAUGAGGUCCUCCUCAUUUCUACAUACCCGCUUCAUCUGCUAAAGGGCAACACAUUGACCGCGGCUCAUCCAUCAAUCAAAACCCUCUUGAAGGGCACUCCCUCCAGAUGAGCAGUUACAUAAAUGGGCUUGAGAUGGUUGGCUAGGGUCAAACUCGGAUGACUGAAGACAAUCAUGUAUGUGUACACUCUCUCAGGCUUUCUCUUUGUGGGCUCGGGCACAUCUACUCUGCCCGAUUCCUCUUUUCCCACCUCUUCAACACUAACAUGUGCCAUCAUCGGUUCCGUUGCUAAGUAGUCAUCCUCCAUUAUGGCAGGUUGAUCAUGUUUCAGCACAAAACAUGGCGGAUAAAACAUAUUUUAUGUUUACGUGGAAGUUGCUAGGUUAAGAUAAGUUCUCAUUUUUGCCCCCAAUGCGGCUCAUGAACUCAUCUAACCAGGCCUGCGCUUCUUCUGGCAGCAUCAGCUCAGGCACCCUUUCUUCCCAGGUUAUGCUAAAGUUUGGGAUUUGUUGUGGAGCAUCGCAAAGAGUAUCAACCAACAAUGGUGCGGGCAACCCUCUCUCAGGUGAGAUAGUUCCAAAGCAUAUUGGUUCUAGGCUCCACCUUGGGGUUGGCAUCAUUACUAUAUCCUGUUGAGCUCUCUUAAAGAUUUUGUGUUUCCCAGGAUGGGGGUUCUAUGGCACAUGGUCUUCUUCCCUUUCGAUCUUGCUAUUAGACUUUUUCACCUCCUUCUUGGUUCUCCAAUGGAGUUGAUUUCUUCCAUCAACGAGUACUUUCUCAAACUUUACAUUCUCUGAGGUUUAUAAGGCAGUUGGGACUUUCAAUGAGUUCAUGUGGGCUUUAUGUUGCCUCUGGACUCUCCUAAUCAUGGAGGCUCUCAUUUCUUUAACGGGUCUCCCAUCAUUUCCGACCACAUACCAUUUCCUCCCGAGUCGGGCAUGAUUCUUCUUCGUGACUGGAUUCACAAUUCUACCCUUAACUCUGACAUCUCCACCAGCAUAGCUUGGUUGGGGUGGCCUCACAUCCACCCAUCUUGGCACCUUGGCCUCUUUGUCGUCCACCUCUUCAGAAGCUUCGUAAUUUCUGAAUACUUAUGACAAACCCUUUGGUUGGGAAUCUCCUUCCAACCUUUGGAAAACAUUCCUAGAGGUCUCUCAUUCAGCUGCCCACAUAACAUUUUUGCGUGCUUCCUGCUCUUAUUUCUUUCUUAUCUUGAUCAGCUCUUGAUCAAUAAUGGCUCCUAGUGCUGGGACUUCCAGCUCGUACUCACAUUGGCAUCUACUGCACAAUAUCACUCCCUUGAUUAUGGCCGCCUUGGGUUUCUCGGGCAACUUGAUGGCUCCAUUGGUUGGCCUAUCAACUUGCCUCCGUUAUGCUUUCACCUCACAUGUAGCUUUUCCUUUUCCCUUCUUAGCCCACGUCAAGUUGAUCAUGUUUAUUGGUACUUCUGGGAAGGGGUCAGAGUCAAUCAUCAUGUUGGCCUACGUUUCUCCAGCAACAACUUUCCUUUUAAUAUAAGGUCUUGUAUCCAAUCCCUGAUCUGGACAGAGUUGGUUAUAGAGUGAUUGAAAGUGUAAUGCAGCUUGCAAUAUUUUUUCCUUCUCAGUUCUCCGGCCUUGGGCAGUUUUUUGGCAUUGUCAGACACGAUGACUCUUGCUUGAACCAGCUCCUCAUAAAUCUCCGCUGCCUUGGUUAAAUUAAAGGAAUAACUCUGGUACUUGGGGGGUUUCAUGAGGAGCAAUCCACCAUCAUUCGUGACCACUUUCUAGUCUUUAAUUGGCUGUACUAACCCCUUUACAGUCAAAGGAUUAAAUGGGGUAGUCAUCUCUGCUGCGCAUACGUCCAUUCUCUCUCCUUCAUGACAUUAUUCUCUUCUGGCUUUCCUUCAAACUCCACUUGGUGAAUGGCAGCUUUGCUCUUAUAGAAAAGAGGCACCUUAGAUGAGUGCUUUACUUACUAUUCCUCCAGCAACAGCCUCUCAUACUUGUUGGUCGCAAUCACUAACUCAUUCAGCUCAUUGAAUUGUACAUCAUAAAACUUCUUCAUCAAAGACAAUCUUAACGCCCUCUGAGCAAUGGAUAUGAGAUGUGCAUGAUUUAUGGGGAACCGUCACCUCAUCCUCGUCUUCCUAAACCUCAUCAUGAAGUCUUCUGUAGACUCAUGCUCGUACUGCUUCGCCUUCACAAGGUCAUUGAUAACCAUCUCAGGUUUAACCCUGUAAAACUGCUCAUGGAAUGCCAUCUCCAUUUGCCCCCCAAUUGGCAAUAGAAUUAGAGGGCAACAAAGAAUACCACUGAGAUGCUAAGCCCACCAAGGAGUUCCCAAACAAUCUCAACUUGUAGUUGGGAUUGUCUUCAAAUGCCACACAGUGAUUAAAGAACUUGAAAAUAUGAUCUCUAGAAGACACAUUGCCAUCUUCUCCGCUGAAUGUUGGGAAUGCGGGCAUCUUGAAGUUGACUAGAAAAAGGUUUUGCUCGUCAACGUACUCAGGAUAAGGCUUCUGAUAAGUGCUCCUAAACAGCGGGCGAGCUUGUGGCUGAUCAUUCCGGGCCACCAUCCUCCUCAACUCGGCUAACUCAUCCCUGAGCUGUUAGUGAGUUGUAUUAUCAGGAAGAGUAUGAAGAGGUUCCUAUUUCGGGCUACGAUCAUUGCCCGAGAACGUCUUUUUUCUUGGCUCAGGCUUUCUCCACCUAGCAUCCCCUCCCUUACUGGCUAAUGACGAGGGCCUAUAAGGAAGAGGCUUGUCUGGCUUGGUAGGCUUGCCUUUUCCACUGGAUUUCCCAAUCAACUGGGGCCUCCCAUACUUCGUUCUUUCUUGCUCGCUCUACCCCUACUAUUAAGUGGAAAUAGUGAAGGGUCGGGCAACUCCACUUCUAGGAUUUCCUCCAAAACUGGCCCACUAGUGCCAGAUUCAUCAUUGUUUUUAUGUUUACCAUUCUUCCCCCUGACUUCUCAGAUGAGGUUGGGCUUCUCAAAACAGUUGGUCCUUGUAAAGAGGGAACGUUCUCUAGGCGGUCUGCCAUGUUUGAUUUUGGUAGUUAUUGGGGUAGCUUGUACUCUGUGUUCCACCUGAAGGUUUUCUCCUUCCUUCUUCUUCUUGACAUACAAGACUAAUGUGAUCUCACCGGGCAUGCCAAAACUAUGUUUGGGCGAAGAUUUCUUCGGAGAUGGCUCAUUGGCUCUCAGCACAGCUCCCCAAGGGAUUGGCACUUUGGAUAUGUAGUCGGGCUCUUGCUUGUAAGAAGAGGAUAGAGUUAGUUUUGAAAGGUGCCUUUGUAGGGCCUUACGUGUAAAACUUAAGGCUCGCAAUCAAAACUAACUAAAUGCUAGACGUGCCACUGUUAUCUCAAUAUAGCAGAUGUAGAACAAAUGUGUUUUAGUCGAUUACUUGCGCCCCAAGUUACUCGGACUUCUUGUUAUUAAAGGAUUGUCGUGGAUGGGUUAAAUCCACAUUAAGUUCUUUUUCUUGCCUUGUGACCAAGCACUUUCAGUUCAGUUUUGUAUAUUCAAGUAAGGGAAGUCCAAAUCUCCUUAAGUCAUCUACUCGGUUCUUGAUUGGUUUUUAAUGAAGGCAUAUUCAUUUAGGUAACCAGAUCCGGCACAAAUGAGACUCUUAAAGUAGGAAAACAGAUUGAUAUGACUUGAAUACAUGCUGGAGAAUACAUUAAGCAACAUAUCUAUUAACUUAUAAAACAAAGAAAGAGUUUUGAGCAAGAUUUCACCUUGUCGGGCAAGGUUGAACUUCUUGCAAUCACUUCUCUUUUGAGUUUACAAGGUUUAUAUGCUAAGAAGGGUUGGAUGGUAAACAAGUUUACAUGAGAGAAUCGAUACUACGCCACUAGGGGUGAUAGGGCUGAUUACAGCUUUUAGAUGCAAAUCUGGCUUGAGAGAAGAGUUUGUAUGUUUGUUUGUUUGAUUGGUUGAGUGUCAUUGUCUCUAAGGCAUCUUCCUCAUUUUAUAGGCAGAUUAGCCCGACUGUUGUAGCUUUGCUCUUGCCCGAAAGUAAUUGAAGGGUAGUGAGUCAUCAACUUUUUACUUGUAUUGCCACUGAAAAGUGCAUUUUGGCUGAUUAUGGGUUAGUCCCCAUCACUUGACACUUAAAUCAUAGGCACAUGGCCUAUGCAUUAAUGAGAAGGCGCCAAUUUGUCUCUGGGAUUGAUGCUAGGCUUCGGGCAACUCUUCCUUUAAUUGGUGUUUUUGAGCUUCCACACACUUGCAGCCCAAAGUUCAAAUAUUAACCCAAACACACUGUCUCACAGAUCAAGUCAGAUUGGGCAUGAGAAGGGCUGAAGGUCCAUCAGGAAAAAAAAAAAACCCCUUCAUCUCUGUGUGUUUGCUACAAGUCUGUCUGUAUGUCGUCAAGUCCAAUAAAAUGUUCAUCUUUUCCUGUAAAGAAACAGUGAAGAUGCCAAGCUUGAUGAGGGUUUUAACUUUGGGAAAAAUAAUCAUUAUUAUAAUAUUAUGACAUGGACACACUAGAUCUAUAGACUCUAGCAAACCACCAAUUAAAACACGACAUCUAAUUUGAGGUGCUAUUUCGGUUUCGGUGCGAUUUUCAAAAGCCAAAACCAAAACCAAAACCAAACUGUUUCCUACACUGCGGUUCGGUUUCCAAACCACAACCGUUUCAAAACUGCAAAACCGAACCAUUUGGUGCGGUCCGAUUUGGUUCAUGUUUGGGUUUUGGUUUUCGGUUUCAAGUGCCCACCCCUAGUACUAAGUGGCUUAUCACAUAAGUUUUAUGUAAAGUGAUUAAACAAUUUAGCAUGUGUCAGUUUACUAGAGAUUCUUUCGAAGGACUAUGAGAGAUACAACUCACGAUCCAGGAAGGAAGUCGAAUCUAAGACAGUGAAGAGGAAUAUUACUAGACCAUAUUAAGUGGCAUCAUAUCUUCUGAAUUUUUUAAAAUCGACUUUACUAGAAACAACAAACUCACUCAUAGUUUUGGCCUAUCAAUUACAUUCUUCAAUGUACAACCCCUCACUCCAACUUUCUCAGAAACCUGUUUGUAGCCUAACAGGGGUUCCUUCAGAAAAUCUGAAUUCAAAGGAAGGACAUUGCACCACUGCCCCGUCAACGUUUUUGAUGAUUCAAAUAUCCCUUAAAUUUUAGGGGUCCAUAUUUUUUUAUGGUCAACGUUAGGCGUCCAGAUGAUGGGCAAUUUAUCAAUUUGGAUAUCAUUGAGGACUGAAUUCGGAUGCAUAAGGUCUAAGCAAGAAGUACAGACAAAUCAUUCCAAUGCAAUUUACACUCAUUAAACAAAUACAGUUGAAUCUGAUUCUCACGGAUGCAUGGUUAAUUACCUUAACGCCUUUCAAGCAUUUCACUCAGAAAAAAGAAACAACUAUCAAAAUUGUGCAUGACGUCGAUUAAGAUAAGAUACAUGAGUUAAGAAAAGACACGUCCUAUUUGCAUAGUUCAUUUACCAGGUAAAGAAAGUACCUCAUCUCAUAACCGGUUUCCAGCUUCCUUGGAUAAACGGAUGUUCUUUGAGACUGCAUCGCACUCACUGGAGUUGCUUGUUUUUGCUUGUUUCCUCUAGAUGAAAGGAUAGUCAAAUUCAUGAUUGCACACAAGCGAUGUUUGGUCAAUAAGGUUGCUUUAAUCCAACCAAAUCUCUCUCGUAGAUGAGACGCACCCCACACCUCUUCACCUCCAAACCAGGGCCUAAGGUUUUAAAUGUAAACUCAAGGUGAUGACAACUGUCUUGCCAUGUUGUACCAAAGUAUUCACCAGAUACAACGGAUAGCCAAAUGUGCUCUUUCUCAAUUUGCCCUAAUUCUUCGCUGCAGGCGAAGGAAGGACACCAGCCACCUACACCCAAAUUCCCAGGCUUAACUUCGCAACGAAGACCAUGUGCAGUGGUAUGGGUUCCGUAGUUCCAUUUGCCAAGCAGAUUAGGUGGGAGUCGUCGACGGAGAGUGAAACAGCACACAAUGCAUAUCCCAUCCACUCGUUCUUGUACCAGUGUUGAGGGAGCUCCACGCUUACCACAGGCCUCUCACUUCGAUAACUAAACCACUCAGAAAUUUCACUGCCAGGAUAUAUAGCUUCAAAUUUAUUCCCUACGUAAGGGAUUCCCUAUAUAAUACAAAAUUACAAAUAGUGAAGUCAAACAAUUGAUACGACCGUCUUAUAAAUAAGUACAAAAUGCUUUUAGUUUAUUUUAUUUUUUCUGUGUGUGUGAGAGAGAGAGAGAGAGAGAACCUCAAGAAUAAAUCGCAAUAGGAGAACAAUAACUCUGUAGAAUACAAAACCCAACUAUUAGGUAGUAAAUCACCCCUGUUAGUAGCAGUAAGCAAAGAAAGACAUAAUGAAUUCCAAUAACUAGAAGGAAUAGAAUUAAAAGUAACCAUAGGUUCAUAAAUGCAAACCAAUCCGAAUGAUGGGAAAGGCAAACAUUGGAAAGCUCCAUAUGCGUAUCUGUUUGGGCCCAAAAUAAUAGUUUGGGCUGAGGGUAGGAUCACUCUCGGCCCAGGAGGCCGUGCGGCGAAAGGGCCAUGGAUCGUUCAGCUCAUGGGCUUCCAAGCCUAGGUCGGUUAAAUCAGAACGCAAGCCGAGUCCUAGUACAAUAGGGACUCUCGACAGGAUCAGUAAUCCAGAAAGCGAAUCCGGCUCAGUUAAGGACUAGAUUCGUAGUCCUAGUGGAGAUAGGAUUGGUCGAGGUGAUGUUGAUCCAGGGAGGGAAACCUAGUCCGAAUAGGAUUGUAACUCGGGCUCGAGGACCAGCACUAUAAAUAGAGGAAGCUGUGCAUUAAGGAAGGACCCCUGCAAAUCAAUACAAAAUUGCCCUGCGCAAAUUCUCACAACUUGUGAUUUUUCUUUUUCCUUUUUCGCUGACACAUCUUCCGUUGGCAUCAACAGCACUGUGGAAGCAACCGGUGAUAUCUUAAGUCGGCAUAGAUAGCUCUGUCACCGUAGAAUCAAUCGGUCUCGCAGUAUCUACCGUUGGCAUCAACAGCACUGCGGCGAGAACGGUUGAUUACCUAUCCAAGUCUCGGUCGAGAAGGGUUUCUGAACCCUUAUUGGUCGAGGUCAUCUCAUCAGCCUUCUCGGCGAAGUGAGGUGUUACACGUUAUUACAUUCAGCAUAUUGAAAGCCGAAUUUGAUAUUGAACUUCGUAAGAAUAGUAACCUUGUCUUCAGGUUCGAGAGCCCAAGAGGCCGAGACGUGUUCCUUUCUCGGCCGCAAUCGCAAGACGUAGAAGUCAGCCGCGCACCCAACGCAACAUCAACAAAUUUACUCCUCGGCCGAGCUCGGCUGACGAGUUGGCACGCCCCGCAUUCACCGAAGGACGUAGUUAGCUCAUUAAUUACUCGACCUGCGCGCCACGUAGGCUUUGUAGUUUUUAGGGUCAAUAUUUUGGCACGCCCAGUGGGACCCAGUGCUAAACUACGAAGUUCAUGCCAAUUGAAACAUGAUCGGUAAAAAAGAAAACAACUAUGGGAAAGUCGACAGCCGAUUUGCCGAAUCAAAGCCUGGGACAAAGUGUGCUGCAGGCGCAGAAUCCCCUUAGCGCUGUGACACCUGAGUCCAUGAGCGCGACUCGCCGAGAGAGAGAAGUUAAUCUCGGCAGUCAACUACGCGGUCUAGAAAUCCCUAACAGGAACACUUGCGUUCUCACUGAAGGGAUAGUAGAGGAGUGCGACGAGGAUGGUGGUGAAGGAUCUGAUCCACCAACAAGGUCGUUUCUUCGAAAACGACUAGACGAGCAGUCUCGGUCAGUCGAGCAGACGUUUAGUCGAGGCAUUGACAAGCUGCAUGAGGUGAUACUCAGUUCCAAUGAGCGACAAACCAGGCUGCUCGAGAUGUUGGUUAGUAAAGUCAGUGGCAGCAAGCCUUUUGACCUUCUUCAGCAUUCCACCAGGGAACAAUCCGAUACCAAUUGUACCGACCGAGCCUAUUCCUGCUCAGCUCAAACCAAUUGACUUGGAAAAAGAAGGAGGGUCGAAUAGUAGGUCAGACGGAACCGACCAGAGGGUCGAAGCAACACCUGUUGAUAUGACCGAAGUUCAGCGGAUGAUCGACUCGGCCAUGAAGAAAGGGCCGAAGUUUCCUAAGUUUAUUCAUCCGUACUCGGCUUACAUGGAAACGUUUGGAUACCCGAAAGGUUUCAAGAUCCCAGAUUUUAGUCUUUUUGCCGGUGAGUCGUCCCUGUCUUCGUUGGAACACGUGGCUCGUUUCACCGCGCAAUGCGGAGACGUUAAUAGUGAUUUCCAUAAAUUACGGUUGUUCAACUUUUCAUUGACCGGCUCAGCGUUUGCCUGGUAUAUCAAUCUCCCUCCUAAUUCCGUCCAAAACUGGGAGGAGUUGGUAGAGAAAUUCCACGAGCAGUUUUAUCGGCCAGGGAUGGAGAUGUCAGUUUCUUCGCUAGCACGGAUGGCUCAGGCAUCUGAUGAGUCACCAAUGGAUUAUCUUACCAGGUUUAAAUCGGCCAGGAAUUGGUGCCGGGUGUGAUAGGAGCAUUUUUAUGCAACUUAAUUGGCUUGUUCUCAUGCAUUUAUGUUGUUUUUCCUUAGUUAGUUUAGUGUUUAAAGUCAUUUCGUGCAAUUUCAGGUUUUAUUGUCAAAGUAUGCAAAAAUGAGCAUUUUGGAGCUUUUAGGAGCAAAAUUGGGCUUGGAAUGAAGUGCAUAUGCAUGGAGCAAGGAGUUUGGACGAAUUUGAAGUCAAAACAUCAAAUAAACAUGCUAAAAAUCUGGUGAAACAAAUACAAGUUGCAAGAAGGGAUAGGUUUCUAGAAGGAUUGACCAAAAUUCCACUCAAAACCAUGUUCACACCCCAGAAAUUCAUCUUUGCCGUGCAUCCUUGACUCACUUCCACCAGAUUUUUGAGUGGAUGAUUCAACACCUACUCUUUAUUGCUUUUACUUUGCCAUAUUUGCCAUGUUUGCUAGUUGUGUUAUUUGCUUGUUUUUAUGUGAGUCUAUGUUUGAAACAUUGAGGACAAUGUUUGGUUUAAGUGUGGGGGGGUGAACAAAGUGUUUUUGUUGCAAAAUUCGUGGGAUUUUACCACCUAACAUUUCAAAGGUUGUUUUUCAUUGUUUUUUUUAGUGUUUUUAGAAUGUUUUGAUGUGUUUUUAUGUGGCUUUACCAGAAAAUACGAAAAUUCAAGAAAAAAUUAGAAAAAUUUUGAAAAAACCCAAAAAGAGUUGUUUUUGUGUGUUUGUUUGUGUCUUAGGGUACCUUCCAACACAAUGAUGAGGAUUUGGUUUUUAAUUGCAUGACUGUUAAAGAGAGUUAUAAGCAUGGAUGAAAGUUUGAUUUACUCUUGGUUUAUGCUUGGUUGUGGUUAUAACUUAUGAAUUCACAUGCAAUCUUAAAGGAAAAAUCAGUUUUUGUUUGUAACAUGCUUGAAGGAAGCAACUCAAAUUAACACUACAACCUUGUGAGACUUGAGCCUAAACGUUUAUUUGGAGAGUUAUUAAUCUGUGCAUUCUUGUUUUCUAAAGUCGUUGCAUGAUCUCAUUAUUCUUUGCUUGGUUGCUACUUAGAAUGCGUUUCAUCACUUUAGUUCCAAAUGCUAGAACUCAUGCCAAUUUCAUUCAAAACAUGUUAUUGAAUUGCAUAACACAUAACAAGAUGAAGUUGUUUAGUAGUUACCACCAUAGCCAAAAAGCCUUCAUUCCAUACAUUUGUUUUUGUAGGUUUAACCCCGUUGAGCCUUAUUUAGCCUAUAUUGUUUGUUAACCCACGUUAUCCUUACCUAGCCUAGAUUAGGAUCAUCCAUACCCUUGUUCUUAAAGCAUAGUAAGCAUGACGUAAAAUGAAUUCCUUUUGAUUGAGGGUGUGCAGAAAACAAGUGUGGGGGAAGUGUUUUUCAUGAAGAAUUGUGUGCCAUAGGCACGGGUAGAAAGAAAGAAAGAAGAAAAGAAAAAUGUUGUGAAAAGUGAGAAAAAGAGUUGAAAGAGCAUGAAAAUGAGUUCUAAGGUGUGGAUUGUUGAAGAAGGGGUCCAAAACAUUGAAUUUGACCCUAAGUGUUGCAUGAAUUUCCCCUUUGAGUUUAAAAGUUGAUUCUUGCACCCAAAAGUGAAUUCUAAGUGUCAAUUUCAAUGCUUUGCUUACUAUUGUUUUAAGAACGUUUGUUUAUCCUUCACCUUUCUUAGCCAAUAUCCCAAGCCCCGUUACAACCCUCAACUUCUAUCUUGAGUGUUGUGUAUUUCAAUUUGUGGAGUUUGGGAUUGGUAUGAGCAUAUGGUGUCACUGGUUCUCGCGUCUAAGUAGUAGCAUUCUUUUCAUGUGAUCAUAUACAUUCUUAUCAAAUUCAGAAAAAACUUUCCUUGUUAUAACAUAUGUGAGCAUUCGUUUUCAUAUCUACAUCAAUCCUCUCACAUAUAACUAGCAUAGGGUGUGUAGUCAGAAAAUCUGUGCGAAAAUUGAGUGCAUAUCUAGUAAGGAAUUGAGCAAAUUCUCUAAGGCAUGUUGCUACAUUCAAAAUCAUGUUUUAAUUGGUUAGAUGCGAACGAGUACGUAGUGACUAUAAUUAAGUAUGUGCUUAAGUGUAAAGAUGGCUAAAAUCUGUGGGAAUGAUGAUCUUUAACAUGUUAUGUGCAUUGGAAAUCCCUAAGGCAAACGUUGGAAGGUUUAGGUUGUUUUUGUUUGUUUGGUUUCGUUUUGUUUUUCUUUUGUUUCUUUGUUUUGCUCGAGGACUAGCAAAAGCUAAGUGUGGGGGAAUUUGAUAGGAGCAUUUUUAUGCGACUUAAUUGGCUUGUUCUCAUGCAUUUAUGUUGUUUUUCCUUAGUUAGUUUAGUGUUUAAAGUCAUUUUCGUGCAAUUUCAGGUUUUAUUAUCAAAGUAUGCAAAAGGAGCAUUUUGGAGCUUUUAGGAGCAAAAUUGGGCUUGGAAUGAAGUGCAUAUGCAUGGAGCAAGGAGUUUGGACGAAUUUGAAGUCAAAACAUCAAAUAAACAUGCUAAAAAUCUGGUGAAACAAAUACAAGUUGCAAGAAAGGAUAGGUUUCUAGAAGGAUUGACCAAAAUUCCACUCAAAACCAUGUUCACACCCCAGAAAUUCAUCUUUGCCGUGCAUCCUUGACUCACUUCCACCAGAUUUUUGAGUGGAUGAUUCAACACCUAACAUCCACUUCUUGCUGUGCAUUCUUGAUUGUUUUCCCACCAGAAAAUUGAAUUAAACAAGUCCAUCCUCUCCCUAUAAAUACCCAUGGCAGCAACCUUAUUGAGGACAUCCAGAAAUUAACCAUUCUCCAAGCCUUGCCUUGCCUCUCCCUACAUAUCCAAACUCCUUCCCAUCCAUUCCUCCACCACAGCCGUGCCUUCCCACCACCAUCACCACCUUAUGCAGCCACCAUUGGAGGAGAAAGAAGUAGUGCCAUGCAGUCCAAAGGAGGAAGACACCUUGCACAUGCAAUCUGCCAUUAGUGGAGUGUUUGGAGUUCUUUCUUUUCUUGUUUCUGUUUUCAUGUUUAAUUUAACUUGCUUUCCAAUUAUGUUAAACAUGUGGAACUAAUUUCUUUUUAGUUAGAGGUGAAUUUGAAGCCAUGGACAUAUGUUGGUUAUGAUUUGAUUUACUCCAGUUAUGAAUUCAUGAACUUUAAAUGUGGUUUACUUUUCUGUUUUGAUUAAGAACUUGUUUAUGUAUGUAGGUUGAGGGUCGACACUUAAUUUGCAUGCCUAAACUUGAUACUAGGAUAUAAGGGAAUUUCACCUAAUCGUUAUGAACUUAUAUUCAUAAGUAGUAAAGAUCGCUAGUCACGAUUGUGUUAAGUAAACCCUAGGUUGGAUUAACAUGCGUAUUCCAUAGUUAUGAAUGCCUAGUCGAUGUUUAUGAUUUCCGUUGAACUUAAUGAUCUUUGUUGAAUGUCUCUAUCAUGCGUAUUCCAUAGUUAGGGAUUUUGAUGAGGAAUAAUUUGGUUGCGAUGCGUAUUCCAUUCAAUCCAAUGAAUCUAGGGAAAUCGGAAAGUUAAUUUAAGCGGACCUAAUUAACUUGGAGCAUUGUCAUUCAUCGUUUGUUGAAGUCAUAACUGGGAGUCAAAUUGUAUGCAUAUGUUCAUGUGUGGAUAAGGAACCCUCUAACUAGCUUCUCACCAUUCUAUUUAAUCAAAAUCUGUUUUAGUUUGCUUUGAUUUGCAAUUUGUUUAGUUUUAAUUCAAUUUCGUCAAAAAUCAAUCCCCCAUUUAUUUUAAAGUAUUAAAUUAGUUAGAAAUCAAUUUAGUGUUAGGUACUCAAAACUGCCCAGAAAGUGCUUUGAGUCAAGUUAUAGUCCAAAUUCGUCCAAAUUAGUGUUAGGUACUCAAAACUGCCCAGAAAGUGGUUUUAAGGCAGUUUUGAGCCUUUUAGUUGCUGUUUUGAGUUUUUAGUUUGUUUAGGUGUUUUAAACUCUAGUUUUACAUUAAUUAAGUCUAGUUUAGUGUUCUACAUUAUAUUUUUUAUGUUCUUGAGUCAGUUUUACAUUGAUUAGCAUCCCUAGUUAAUCCCCGGUCUAGAACGAUCCCUAUUUGCUCAUAUACUACAAUUGUCAUCCAUAGGGUUUAAUUUGUGUGUCAAGUUAAUUUUCACAUCAGGGUGCCUUUACCCGAAGUCGAAUUUGUCAGGCUUGCUUUGAACAGCCUCAACGUCGAAUACAAAAAGAAAUUCUUGGGGGCGAACUUUCGGGAUAUGUACGAAUUAGCCCAACAUGUCGAACAUUAUGAUUAUUUGCUCCGCGAGGAAAAGACUUCGAAAGCUCCAACUCGGGGGACGAUUUACAAGAAUCCUACUGUCAAUUAUGCAUCAGCCGAGGAUGAAUGUGUUAGUGUGGAUGCAGCUGAGAUAGUGAUCGAUAAGCCAUACGUUUGCAAGGCAUUGACUCAGGUUGAUUCUAGAAAAGCCAAAAGUCCCUCGGCCACUGAAGGAACAUCAAAAUCGUUAAAGGUUUACACUUUUGAUAUUACCAAGGCGGACGCAAUUUUUGACCAACUGUUAUCAGCAAGAAUCAUCAAGCUUCGGCCUGGUCACGACAUUUCUAAGGCCGAAGAACUUAAAGGAAAGGUAUAUUGCAAAUACCACAAUUCGAGCAAACAUACGACAAACAAUUGCGUCGUAUUUCGCGACAACGUCCAAAGCUGGAUUGAUAAUGGCAAACUGAAGUUUCCCGAGAAGAAGAUGAGUGUUGAAACUGAUUCGUUCCCCACGGCAACAGUAAAUAUGGUCGAUGCGUACCUACCCAAGGACAAAGGGAAAGGCAAGGCCGAAGUGGUUGAACGCCUGCGGAAUCAGAAUUCUCGGCCACGGUUCAUGGCCGAUUUUCGUUCAAACAAACCACCCACGGCUUUAACGGGGCCCGCUAUUGUCAAACCUAUGAUGGAUUAUAGCACCGAUGAAGACAGUGGAACGGUGGUUUUGUGCAGGAAAUGUAGAGAAAAGGUCGACAGUGAACCAGAGGAGAAGCCCUCUUCGCAACCUGUGGCCGCAACCCGGCAAAAGGUAGCCAAUAAAGGCCAACAUCAUGGGGUCUUUGAGAGGCUCGGUCCUAAAGUACAGAUGGAAGAGACACCCCCAGUCAGACGGCGCCUCGAUUUUGAUGCUUCAUUCUAUGACGAUGAUUACUAUAAGCGUAAUUCUAGCAGUUCAGAAUCAUUGCGGAGCAAAAAGACCUUCAAGCCUCCCGAGCCUAGAGAUCAACGUUGGUAUACAUAUCAUUCUUCGAGGGGGGUCUACAUCGCGUUGUCCAAAUCUCAGAAACACCGGCAUCAAAGGAUAGAUUGCAUGGCCCGUCGACGAGCAGCCCAAGAAACUUUGGCCCCGAAGUGGCGGUCGAAGAACAUAGUUGCCACUGAUGAUGAGCGACCACCUCCAGCAAUUAUGACAGAGUUGGCUCAAGGGAAACGGCUGGUCGACCAAGAUGUCGAGACCACGUUUGAAGAGGCUGAUAAAUGGAUCAAACUUCUUCUUCGACCAGGGGAGAUGAAGGCACGCCUCGAGCAUUUCAAGCAAGAGGCCGAAAGAAAAUUUCCUCCGCCAGCUAUACAAGAACCUUUGAUCAGAAUUCGACGGAAUUUGCAUCCACCAUUUCUUGGGGAGGCUUUAGAAUAUAUGCGAGAAUUUCAUAAGAAACAUUCGGCCAACGAUCUGUAUGGUUUGCCGAAGGCAUGCCAGGACACCAUUGAUCUAGUCCUGACUUGUCCGGAUGCCGAGCGAAUCAUUCAGAAGACCUCAGAUCCAGGAUUGAAAGUAAGGUUCUAGCAUAUACGAAAAGCUCGUGUCCUUGGAUUUGAAGUUGACCCGUACACCGAUAUCGAUGCAGCCGACCUUCCUUUCUCAACGGAUGACCUUCAGUAUUUACGAUAUCACUUCGAAGUAUUUUCAGCUGUUUCUCUCUUCGGCCUUACGGCCGAUGAAAUCGCACGUGUUGCACGUUUCGACGCUUAUCUCAACACCAGGGAUGCCCGAUUACAAUACCAAGAGCAGGUUCAGGUUCUGAUCCCAAGUGCACCGUCAAUCUCAACCUUACCUGAGGCGGUCACGCAGGACCAACAAAUCGUCGAUGCAGCACCGCCGAAUGAAGCCAUCAAAGAAGGAACAGAAGCGUCUCGUUGUCCGACUCUGACGGCAACGGAGUCCGUAAUCGCUGACCAACCGAGCGAGGAGGGUAUUGACCCAAUGGGCCCGUCAGUCCUGGAUAAUAUGGAAAUCAGUAUGGUCCAUGUGUUACCUGCCAAUUUUCAAUCAAGCACGGCUCAACCAAAUUUCCUCGACGAAGAUGUGGUGGCCGAAGAGGCCGGCCAUGUUGAUUUUGUAUUUGUUGCUGAAGUUGAGUUAGCAACAAAAGCUGACAAUCUAAAGGCGGCUUUGGCUGAAUUGUUUCCUCGUUCAUCAUCGGCCAAACUUCGCCAUUUAAAGCCUUUGUAUGUGACGGCCCAUAUCGAGGGGUAUCCAGUUUCUAAAGUUUUCGUCGACUGUGGAGCUACCGUCAAUAUCAUGCCUCUGAACAUCAUGAAGGCCUUACGUCGCUCGACUGACGAGCUUAUUCCUUCAGGGAUCACAAUGAGUAGUUUUGUCGGCGACAAAUCCCAAACCAAAGGUGUGCUUCCGUUAACUGUAAACAUUGCCGGUCGCACCGCCUUUUUCGUGGUUGAUUCCAGAACCGAGUAUAAUGCACUGCUCGGUCGAGACUGGAUUCAUCAAACCAACUGUAUUCCUUCAUCAUUGUAUCAAGUGCUUGUCUUUUGGGACGGUAACUCGGUCACUGUUCACCCGGCCGAUAGCCAGCCUUUCGAAGCUAACAUGAUCCAAGCACGGUAUUAUAAUGACCAUGUCGGCUACAUUACAUUGCAAGGCUUCAAUGAAGAAGGACGACCGACUCGGAUUUCGGUUCAUAAAGCUAUCGAGGUUGGCGCCGAAACUGUCCAGCAGGAUUCGGCGAGACUCGGAUUAGCCAAUUUCCUCCCCGAAGCUGAUGUUUGACACCGAUCGGGAAACACGUAGGGCCGCGGUUUCAUCUACUAUGGAACGACUGCUGGCCCAUUGGUAUACUAUAUCCAAACAACCAAAUUCGGGCGUUAACCUCGUCGAGUUCCUUGCCGAAGAAGAUAAUGGUCCUGUUUUGUCUCUUGAUAAAAUUCAAGCCGCCCCGGCCGAACUCGAAGAUCAUCGGCCCCAAGUUAAGGACCCCUUGGAAGAGAUUAAUGUUGGGACGGCCGAUGAUCCACGACCUUUGUUUGUUAGUGCGUUACUUCCCCAACAAAUGAAUGACGAGUUUCGUGCCUUGCUUACGGAGUUCAAAGAUUGUUUUGCUUGGAGCUAUCAUGAAAUGCCCGGCUUAGAGCGCACUCUGGUCGAGCAUGAAUUACAUAUUAAGCCCGGAUGCAAACCUUUCCGUCAGCCACCUCGUCGAUUCUCGACCGAAGUGCAACUCGGCAUCAAGGACGAAUUGGUUCGGCUUUUGAAAGCCGGGUUCAUUCGGACAGCUCGAUAUGUUGAAUGGUUGGCAAAUAUCGUGCCUGUUUUAAAGAAAAAUGGUGCCCUACACAUCUGUAUCGAUUUCAGAAAUCUGAAUCUGGCAACUCCCAAAGAUGAGUAUCCAAUGCCGAUCUCAGACCUCUUGAUCGAUGCUGCGGUGAGUCAUGCAAUCUUAUCCUUUAUGGAUGGACACGCCGGAUACAACCAAAUAUUCAUUGCCGAAGCCGAUGUGCACAAAACUGCUUUCCGUUGCCCGGGGGCACUCGGGACUUACGAAUGGGUUGUUAUGCCGUUCGGCCUCAAGAAUAACGCCGCCACAUACCAACGGGCGAUGAAUACCAUCUUCCAUGAUUUAAUUGGAACCAUCGUCGAAGUUUAAAUCGACGAUGUUGUCAUCAAAUCUAAACGCCGACAGACACAUCUGGACGAUCUCCGACAGGCUUUCUUCCGCAUGCGUUGGCACAACCUCAAGAUGAAUCCCGCCAAGUGUGCUUUCGACGUAUCGGCCGGAAAUUUUCUUGGCUUCCUCGUGCAUCACCGUGGGAUUGAAGUCGAUGAGAAUAAGGCCCGCGCAAUCAUCAAUGCCCCACCCCCAACAACGAAGAAACAACUCCAGUCCUUACUCGGCCAGAUCAAUUUCCUCCGCCAAUUUAUUGCCAACUCUGCAGGUAAAAUGAAAGCGUUCUCCACGCUUUUGAAACUCAAGGACUCCGAUAAAUUUGUGUGGAACGAUGAGCAUCAGGCGGCGUUUAUGCAAAUCAAAGUCUCCCUCAUGAACCCACAUGUCCUGGUUCCUCCUCGGCGCGGUAAGCCUCUUAAGCUCUACAUCUCGGCGGUCGAAGAGUCCAUCGGCUGCCUCUUUGCACAAGACAGCGACGCCGGCCGAGAACAGGCUAUUUUUUAUCUCAACCGCAAUCUCAGUCAACCGGAGAUCAAUUAUCCAGCCGUCGAGAAGCUGUGUCUGGCCGUGUUUUUCGCCGCUUCCAAGCUUCGGCAUUAUAUGCUCCCAUCGGUCACCCAAGUUAUUGCUCAGACCGACGUCAUCCGCUACAUGCUCACCCGACCAAUCGUAAAAGGCCGCAUUGGGAAAUGGACCAUGGCACUAUCCGAAUUUAGCUUGCAGUAUGUAGCCCAGAAAACUGUCAAGGGCCAGGCACUGGCUGAUUUCCUUGCUCAACAUCCUUCCCCAUACGGGUGUGGGGGCAACGACGUUGAAAUCGGCAUGGUUCAGACGCGCAACAACCACUGGACGAUGUACUUUGACGGCUCCAGUACGUCAUCUUCGGCGGGUGUGGGAAUUGUCAUUCAAUCCCCGAACCACGAUCGCUGGUUAUUUUCGCUUAAGUUGGAUUUCGAAUGCACCAACAAUCAGGCCGAAUACGAAGCCCUAAUUGUCGGCCUUGGAAUCCUUCAUGACCUGCGGGCGACCCGCGCCCUCGUCCUCGGCAACUCCGAACUUGUGAUUAACCAACUCAAUGGUUCUUUUCGUUGCAUGAGUUGUACCCUGGCGCCUUACCACACGAUCGCCAGCUAUUUGGCCAAGUCCUUCGACGGUAUUACAUUUAAACAUAUUUCCCGGAGUCAUAAUACCGACGCAGACGAAUUGGCUCAAAUUGCCUUCGGCGCACAUCUCUUGGGGGGCAAGCUAGGCCGAGAAAUACCCAUGUUGUGACAGCUAUACCCAGCCUUGGUUAACCAACAAGUCCUCCAGCGCGACAACGUGAUACGUACAAGAGUCAUGUCCUUACCUUCGUUGUUAGAUCGAGACGACCCUGUGGAGAUUUGCACGACCGAGGCAAUACCAGAUGAUUGGAGAAAGCCCAUUAUGCAGUACCUCGACAAUCCCAAUGGUAAAUAUGAUCGCAAGACAAGAGUUCACACCACGAACUAUGUCAUGUAUCAGAACGAGUUAUACCGAAAAGGCGAAGAUGAUUUAUUAUUACUAUGCCUCGGCCCCCAAGAGAGUGCUCAGGCGAUUACAAAAGUCCAUGAAGGGAUAUGCGGAGCUCAUCAAUCUGGACGGAAAAUGCGAUGGCUACUUCGACGGCACGACUAUUUUUGGCCAAGGAUACUAAAGGAUUGUAUCGAGUUUGCACAAGGAUGUGUACAAUGCCAAAUCCACGGGCCUAUACAAAGGGUCCCGGCCGAAUCUUUGCAUUCGGUCAUAAAGCCAUGGCCAUUUAAAGGAUGGGCCAUGGACGUAAUCGGCAAAAUCACGCCGUCUUCUGGAGCUGCUAAGCACGCAUGGGUAAUAGUCGCAACCGAUUACUUUACUAAGUGGGUCGAAGCGAAAUCAUAUGUCGAACUAACAUCUAAAGAAGUUUGAGAUUUCGUGGAGGAACACAUCGUGACCAGAUUUGGUGUACCAGAAAUGAUCAUAACUGACAAUGGAACAAUCUUCACAGCCGAGAGGUUUAAAGAGUAUACGGCAAAUUUAAAAAUUCAGCUUGAACAGUCUACACCGUAUUAUCCACAGGCGAAUGGGCAGGCCGAGGCAAGUAAUAAAGUGUUGAUCGGCAUCCUUGAAAAAAUGAUAAAAGAAAGGCCUGGCAUGUGGCAUUUGAAGUUGAACGAGGCAUUAUGGGCAUACCGAACGACGCCCCGGUCGGCGACCACGACAACCCCAUACGCAUUAACCUACAGACACGAUGCAAUGUUACCAGUCGAGUUAAGCAUAAAUUCGUUGCGAUUAAUUGAACAAAGUAGUUUGUUUAGCGCCGAAUACAAUCAGUCCAUGAGACAAGAAUUAGAAGAUUUGGAAGAAGUGCGACUUGACGCUUAUAACUUACUGGUGGCACAGAAACGGAUUGCCGAACGAGCAUACAAUCAAAAGGUGCGACGGAAAACAUUCGGUGAAGGCGAAUUGGUUUGGCAAACGGUGUUACCCGUAGGACUAAAAGACCCUAGGUUCGGCAAGUGGUCGCCAAAUUGGGAAGGACCGUUCGUUGUACAUAAGGUAUACGAAAAAGGGGCGUAUCAUCUUCAAGACCGGACCGGUUCAGUUCACAAAUUACCAAUCAACGGGAAGUUUUUUAAAAAGUACUACCCGGUAACGUGGGAAAUGUGAGAAUAAACAAAACCAUCUCAUUAAGAUUGAUGAGCAUGUACAAGCUAAGUAAGUCAUUCAGGUUAAAACUAAGUACAUUCAAGGGGAAGAAGGUAAGAGGGUGCCGAGAAGGGCCUUCAAUUCCAACCACCGCACCUCGGCCAUGAUAACUUCAGCUUGCCGAUUCUUCUUGUCCAGCUUCAACCGCUCGACCCGCUUUGUUGUCGCUGCGUACUCAGUUAGGCGAUCCUUUCCACCCGACUCGAAGUCUCUAGCAAGCUCGGACGCGAUGGCCGAUCGACGUUUUGCUAGUUCAGCCAUCUGACGGUCGAGCUCGGCUAAUACUUCUCCUUUUGCCCUUAGAGCGUCGAUUUUCGGACGGAGAGUGUCUUGAACGGCCGUGGCAGCUUGCAGGUCCUGUUUGGCCUUUAGAGCGGUCUGGAAGACACUAAAUGUCUCCUGAACCCGCUCCAAAGCAGACGAUGCCCAAACGAUGGCAUUUCCGCUCAGGCGACCGUCGGCCCCAAGAUCGUUCAGACACACGCCAAGCAGAUCAAGACCGUUGCGCUCGAGUACUUGCGGUGCUGAAAGCGACAGAACUUCUCGCAACUGGGUUAGAGCGGUUGGAUCGGCAGCCUCAAUCGGAGCAGCCGAAGGCCCGGACUCGGCAGUUGUGCUGGAGAUGAGGGCUUUGAAUUCGACCUCCCACGAAGCAUGGACAUAUAAAUCAGUUUAGGCUUAAAGGAAGGCAGUGCAAGAAUAGCAAGAAGGUUUCAUUUUUUAACCUGCCGAGAGGAGACCUCGGCCAUGUCCCCAAGAUCGUUGCUCGAACCUAAAGAACUCAACGGCCGAGCCCAGUGUCUCAGAUUGCUUCUCAGUUCACGCGGUCGAUGGAGGUUAUCUACGUUUGAUGGCCACUGAGGCGGCCAAGAAAUAUAGAUAACGCCCUUCGGCGCGUAGAAUUGUCGGUGAAAAGAAUGUACAGGCACCUGACAUUUAGUAUUUUCCUCGUUUAGAAUUCUAAAGCGGAAAAGCAAUCAAGGAAAGACGGUGGAAGAUACUUACGAAGGCCGAAGUAGCCUCCUGCGGAGGAAUGUGGAAGCCCUGGUCUUGAGGAUGAACGAGCGAUUCCGCCGUUGCCUCGGGUUCCUCGACUGGUCGUUUGCCACGGUCGGCUGUGGAGGGGCCGACCGGGACAGCUGCUUCUGAGGAAGGAACACCCUGGUCCUAAGAAGGAGCAAGGGGUUCGGACACCGCCGUUGGUUCCUCGACCGGACGCUUGUCACGAUCGACCGUGGAGGGGCCGGCUUGAACUGCCAUCUCGGACACUGGAGGAGGUUGUCGGCGAGUAUGAGGACGAUGUGCCAGCGGGACCUCGUCGCUCCCCUCACUCUCUUUCAGAACGAAGACCGAGGGCUUUGGAUUUUUGGGAGAGGUGCCCUCGGUCGCAGAAACCGCCUUCUGUGGGACAGGUGCCUCCUCGACGGAGGGAGGCAUGACUGGUGUGCCGGCCCCAGAGACAGGCUGCGCUUGAACUAUCUCUGCGACCGAAGCUGGCGGUUUCUCGACCAAGGAAUGGCCGACGGCGGGAGAAGGGGAAGCACUGGGAGUCGUCAUCCCCGUAGUAUGACUGGAGAUGACGUGGAUGUCUCGUGCACCUUUCUUCGCCAGUGUUUUUACCCGCUUGCAGGCGGGGGAGACUCGACAGCCGGCUCGACCUCUGGGCAAGGCCGUUUGAUCAGCACGGCCCGACCAGCAGUUUUGUUCUUCUUGGCCACGACCGAUUUUUUCUCGGCCGUAGCAGCGGCAACUGCAUCCGUUUUUCUUGAAGGCCGACUACCUGAGAAGAUAAAAGCAAUUCAGCAAGGCAAAUCAGUAUGCAGAGUUGAAAGAAAAGAGGAGAAAUGAACAAUUACCUUGAGAUUGGGGGGCCGAGGCCUUCUUCGGUCGGUCACCGAAGAGUUUGUUCAGCACCUCUUCGACCGGAGCACCAAAGAACUCUUGGGUCUAAUUUUCCCACCAUUCACCGAAGGUGUCGGUGCAAAGGGUUUCUGGGGUGGCCGGUCGAAGGCGGAAUUUUUUGCAGUACUCUUGGAACUCCCUCGCGACAGUUUUACAUUCCUUCUCCGAGGAACGAGGUUCACGUCCACGGCUUAGGACUGUUCGGGAGGAGAGAAGGGGAACAGGGCAGCCCUGAAGAUAGCCGAGCUGUCGGGCAAGGAAGUUCGGAUGGUACACUUCCCAACCCGACCAUUUCCCAUCGCAGCCAAGAGGGAGGUCGCGAGCGAGCACAAACGACCCCCAAGUCUGACGAAGCUCGGCAUCCUCCUCCGCGCCCCACACAGAGGUAGGUAGUCUGAUGGAGGAAGGAUAGUCCCGAUGACGACAUAUCAAGAAUUCAUCGUUGGAGAGAUCAUCAAGAGCGAAGAGGUACCGAAAUACCUCUUCGGCUUGGUGAGGAGGUGUCGGUCGGGAGGCCAGCUGAGGUCCAAGAGCCUCCGUUGGCGAGAAGUCAGCUAUGGCCGGCCGAAGGGAGGCGAAGUACACUUGUAACCAGAGCUGGAAGACCCAGAGGGGACCAUUCUGGUGUGGGUCGACCUUGUGGAGGGUCGUCUCGGCCAGGCAACGGAAGAGAUGGGCGAGAAUGUUGGAACUCAGUGCCAGGACGUGACCACUAGCCAGGGCUUCGGCUACCAGCAUGUUCUCGACCAAACACUUGUUCGACUUGGUACAACAAAUGUAUUUGUUGUACCAAUAGAAGAGGAAGGCUUCAUGCUCUUCCUCUCGCAGGUCCUCUUCUCAUCGGCCGGCGAAAUGAAGAUAGAGGGUGUUGUAAUUAAAGAAGUUCUUGUGGAGCUUCUGAAUGUCUUCCUUCGACGGGAUUUGACCGUCACGGUUCAAGGUCUCGAAGGCUCGUCGAUCGAAAAGCGUCUUCAGAUCAAUAUUCGAUGGGUGCCCAGAGAGGGCCGCGUCGAUAGGGAUCCCGGUUGCCGAAGUCCCCAGAAUGGCGGUGACAUCAAGGAUGGUAGGACCGAGGGGACCAAGAGGAAGAACCAGGGUGUUGGUGGCCGAGCACCAGAAGCACAAGGCGGCUAGGAGAAGCUCCUUGUCGAGAAUGACAUCCAUUGACGAGAGAAUGAUGGCGUCGUAAAUGCCGAGGGCUCUCCAUUGCUCGCCGAAGAACCAUUCCAGGCUGCCCAGGUUGUGGUCGUCGAGGGCCAGGAGCCUUGGGGUUUCGCCGCAUCCCAUCUUGACCAUUCAAACCCUUGGAACAAGGGUGUUAGGCAGUGCUCCUGGAGAAGGCCAGUAAUGGUCGACGGUAUUGCAGCCUUGAAGAGAGGACCCAAGAUUUGGUGGACAGUGCUCAUGUCACUUUCAAACCGUAUGGUUUUGAUCGAGCUCCGAUCAAGGAUUUUCUGGUGCUGUUCACAUUCCCUGGAAAGCUUGGAGAUGAAAGACGCCAUUAUAGGAAGGAAGCACGGCGUAAAAGGUUUUCUGGGUUGGGGGAUUUGAAGAUGAAGACCUGGAACAAGAAAUGUGCUGGAGAAGAAGGGCAAGAGAUUUCAGAAAAUUUUGAGAGCAUAAAGUGCAAAUGAGAGAAUUCGGUAUUUAUAGAGUUGUGGAGGGAAGAGCAAUCGUUCGAAAUUCAAAACAAAGGGCAAAAUCAACCGAAGGAAUCGUUGAUCAUGAUGAACAUUUGGGAAAUGCAGUUGAGAAGACCGAAGGUUUCAGGUUUUGGGGGCGCACGAUCGCGUGUGAUGGCGAAAUUAAUGGCAGAAGACAUUUCGACGCUUGCACGAUGACAGGUGGACUCACGGAUUGAGAAAGCGGCUCGUGAAUUGAGGUAAUGGUUAAGUUGACGGUUCAGGUAGCCGCACGCCUUAGACGUCAUCAUUGGGGUUGGCCGUGUUGGAGAACGCCACGUGGCGAGUUUGGUUAGCAGGAUCAAGAUCGUGCAAUCAUGUUCAAUAAAUGCGCCUUGGAACUUGGGCAUUAGGGUUCUGAGUGGUAGAUUCGCUUCUUCAAGGCCGAAACUCGGCCAAAGAAUUCAGGCCGAGGACCUCAGAAGCGAGGGGGCAAUGUUUGGGCCCAAAAUAAUAGUUUGGGCCGAGGGUAGGAUCACUCUCGGCUCAAGAGGCCGUGCGGCGAAAGGGCCAUGGAUCGUUCAGCUCAUGGGCUUCCAAGCCUAGGUUGGUUAAAUCAGAACGCAAGCCGAGUCCUAGUACAAUAGGGACUCUCGACAGGAUCAGUAAUCCAGAAAGAGAAUCCAGCUCAGUUAAGGACUAGAUUCGUAGUCCUAGUGGAGAUAGGAUUGGUCGAGGUGAUGUUGAUCUAGGGAGGGAAACCUAGUCCGAAUAGGAUUGUAACUCGGGCUCGAGGACCAGCGCUAUAAAUAGGGGAAGUUGUGCAUUAACGAAGGACCCCUGCAAAUCAAUACAAAAUUGCCCUUCGCAAAUUCUCACAACUUGUGAUUUUUCUUUUUCCUUUUUCGCUGACACAUCUUCCGUUGGCAUCAACAGCACUGUGGAAGCAACCGGUGAUAUCUUAAGUCGGCAUAGAUAGCUCUGUCACCGUAGAAUCAAUCGGUCUCGCAGUAUCUUCCGUUGGCAUCAACAGCACUGCGGUGAGAACGGUUGAUUACCUAUCCAAGUCUCGGUCGAGAAGGGUUUCUGAACCCUUAUUGGUCAAGGUUAUCUCAUCAGCCUUCUCGGCGAAGUGAGGUGUUACACGUUAUUACGUUCGGCAUAUUGAAAGCCGAAUUUGAUAUUGAACUUCGUAAGAAUAGUAACCUUGUCUUCAGGUUCAAGAGCCCAAGAGGCCGAGACGUGUUCCUUUCUCGACCGCAAUCGCAAGACGCAGAAGUCAGCCGCGCACCCAACGCAACAUCAACAAAUUUACUCCUCGGUCGAGCUCGGCCGACGAGUUGGCAAGCCCCGCAUUCACCGAAUGACGUAGUUAGCUCAUUAAUUACUCGGCCUGCGUGCCACAUAGGCUUUGUAGUUUUUAGGGUCAACAGUAUCAGAAUUAACAAUACCGCGAAAUAUUCCAGUAAACUAGCUUCAUUUGGAGGUUGAAAUAACUUGUCUUCCUGCCCUAGUAACAUAGGGUUCUUCUUGCCUAUCUGCGUUAGCUAAGCUUUCCCAUAACUGUAGGAUUACAUCAAGGCUCAUCCUUAAGUCCUUACCUUUUUGCGUUGGUAAUGGAUGACUUAACAGGACAUAUUCAAGAUGAUAUUCCUUGGUGUAUGUUUCGCAAACGAUAUAGUGUUGAUAGAUGAAACUCAGGAAGGGGUAAAUGCAAAGCUUAACCUUUGGAGAGAAGUGUUGGAAUCUAAAGGUCUUCGCCAAAGCCGAUCAAAGACAGAAUAUAUGGAGUGCAAGUUCAGUGCAAAUGGAGGCCAAAACGAAUUAGGGGUGAGGAUCGGAGAUCAAGAAAUACCAAAGAGCGACCGUUUUCGUUACCUAGGAUCUAUCUUGCAAAAGAACGGAGAAUUAGAUGGAGAUCUCAACCAUAGAAUACAAGCUGGAUGGAUGAAGUGGAAGAGUGCAUCCGGCGUGUUGUGUGACCGCCGUAUGCCACUGAAGCUCAAGGGAAAAUUUUAUAGGACGGCAAUAAGGUCGGCGAUGCUGUAUGGCACAGAAUGUUGGGCAGUGAAGCAUCAACACGUACACAAAAUGGGUGUAGUGGAGAUGGGGAUGCUUCGUUGGAUGUGUGGGCACACGAGAAAGGAUAAGAUUAGGAAUGAGGAUAUCCGGGGUAAAGUAGGAGUAGCUGAAAUUGAAGGAAAGAUGAGAGAAAAUCGGUUACGAUGGUUUGGACAUGUGCAAAGAAGGCCUACUGACGCUCCGAUUAGAAGAUACGACUAUGGGACAAAGGUUCAGGGCCGAAGGGGUAGAGGAAGACCUAGGAAAACUUUGGAAGAGACCCUAAGAAAAGACUUAGAGUACUUGGAUCUAACGGAGGACAUGACAAAUGACAGAACAUAAUGGCGUUCUAAGAUUCAUAUAGCCGAUCCCACUCAAUGACUUGGAUUUUCCAAGUCUCCAACCGAGAAGUUUUCCUCACUCGGGAAAUUAAGGGAACACUACCUCAACCUACAUGCUCCACUCACAAAGCUUCAACAUGCAAGUUUUAACAAAAGAAAAUUCAAAGAACUUAGCGAAGAAAGCUUUGGUGUAUUUAACACAAUACGUUGAAAUGAAGGAAAACUUAUUUAUUGAUAUCCCCGAUAAGUUACAAAUAUGUACAUAUACAUGAGUCAAAAUAAACAAACAAGAGGGAGCCUUCACAAAGGUUGUUUAGGAGAAGUCUCAGCAGUCGGUAGAGCCCCAGAAAGAGAAGGCACCGGAGGGGGAUCAUUCGGAGCCUCAGUACUGGACAGAACCCUAGAAGGAUGAGGCAUCAGAGGUUGAUCAUUUGGAGCUUCAUUACGCGGUACAACCCUAGAAGACGAAGGCAAUAAAUGCCUUUGGAACAAACCCACAAAUCUCUGAUGAUCAAGUAAAACCUGACCAUCAGAUUCCUUCAUUACGCGCCAUAUGUUGUCUGGAGAAGGCGGGGCUGCCUCUUCAACAAGGUUCAAGUCAAAACGACAGUCGGAGGGGCCAGACAUUUUCAAAGGUGUUGAAGAGAGAAGAGGUCGGACAAAGCAAGAUCUUAGAAGUGCAAGAAUGGAACUUCUACUGGUGGAGAUUCAAGUGUGUUUUGGAACUUAAUGCCAGCCCUAUAAAAAUCUGCACUCGACGAAGCUUCAAAAAUCGAAGAGGCGUCUGCUCAGAAAUCGAAGAGGCGUUUGCUUUCUCAAAAGAUGGGCUGCUCAAAGACCACGAAGGCCGAUCUCAGAAAUCGAAGAGGCUUGCUUUCUCAAAAGCUGGGCUGCUCAGAGACCACGAGGGCCGAUCUCAGAAAUCGAAGAGGCACAUACUUUUCCAGCCUUGUCAGCACUUGUCACACGCACACUCAGCUUUGCGGAAAUUAUGAGCAUUCUGUCGAAGAUUUCUGGUGAAGUAGAAAUCACAUGAAUCGUACUGUUUAAUCACCCACUUCCCACACGCAACAGUAGCUCAUGGGUACCACAGAUAACUUUGCCAAAGUUCUCUGACAAAGUUGAGACACGUGAAGCUUGCAGCUCCCACUACCUUGCUCUGACCAAGAAGGGUAAAAGAAUAGCAAAGAAACAACACUAACAAAGUUUAGACACGUAAAUUUUCAAGGUCUAGCUACCAUAUUAUUACCCACAAGGGUAAAGGAACAGUACCACUGUUGGAUAAUUGGAAGGUCCCGGUGUGUCAACCUCUGUACUUCGUGGCAAGGUAGACUAGCAAACAUGCCCAACCUUUACUCACAUUCGAGAAAAUACUCCCAACAAGAUUGCUUGCUCCAAAAUUGAAGAGGCACCGUCUUCCAAAUCUCGAGAGCCAGACUCCCAACAUGAUUACUUUCUCAAAAUCGAAGAGAGGGUAAAGGAACAGUACCACUGCUGGAUAAUUGGAAAGUCCCUGUGUGUCAACCUCUGUGCUUCGUGGCAAGGUAGACUAGCAAACAUGCCCAACCUUUACUCACAUUCGAGAAAACACUCCCAACAAGAUUGCUUGCUCCAAAAUCGAAGAGGCACCGCCCUCCGAAUCUCGAGAGCCAGACUCCCAACAUGAUUACUUUCUCAAAAUCGAAGAGAGGGUAAAGGAUCAGUACCACUGCUGGAUAAUUGGAAAGUCCCUGUGUGUCAACCUCUGUGCUUCGUGGCAAUGUAGACUAGCAAACUUGCCCAACCUUUACUCACAUUCAAGAAAACACUCCCAACAAGAUUGCUUGCUCCAAAAUCGAAGAGGCACCGCCCUCCAAAUCUCGAGAGCCAGACUCCCAACAUGAUUACUUUCUGAAAAAUCGAAGAGACGCCGCUCUCCGAAUCUCGAGAGCCAGACCCCCAGCAGGAUUGCUUUCUCAAAAAAAUCGAAGAGGCAUCGUUCUCCGAAUCUCGAGAGCCAGAUCCCCGACAGGAUUGCUUGUUCGAAAACCGAAGAGGCACCACUUUCCCAACUUCAAGAGCUGAAUCUCCUUGGAUAAAGCUUGUCUGUAAUCUUCACAUGCAACAUCAGCUUUCCAGAUACCACAUACCACUUUUUCAAAGUGCUCUGACAGAGUUAAAACAUGUGAAGCUGGCAGCUCCCACUACCGUGCUAUGACCAAGCAGGGUAAAGGAAUAGCAUUAUUACUUGAUGUUAGGGAAACUUCUAUAUAUGUCGACCUUCAUCCCCAACGGACAGGCAGACCUGUAAAAAUGCUCAACCCUUCCUCUUAUCUGAAAGGGACGAAGCCUUUCGAAAUAUUCAGCUUUCUUUCCCCCCGAUAAUACCUCUGCAAACAAGCUAUACUAGAGCAAGAAUAUCUCAUAUCAUCAGGGUUAAAAGCAAGAGUAUCCCAUAUCAUGCUUUUUCCCUGUCUUUUCCUUUGGCCUUGUUCUUACCUGCAAGACAAUGAGAAAGAGAGCAAUCAGUCAGCACUUGGAAUCAAGCUUCCAGCCAGGAACUGACUGCCUGGAACCCCUUACCUGAGUACUUACCUGGCAUUGCUCUCGAGUACUCAUCUUCAACAUCUUAUGCUUCCAGGGAAGAUACCGCAUCUGCCUGAGGAACAGAUAGGGCAAGUGAGAAGGAUACAAAGAAGCAUGUGGAGACAAGCGUAACAGCACACGUGCCGAUACAUCCACUACUCUGUCAAAAGCAAAAGUAUCCCAUAUCAGCAGGGUCGAACGUACUCUAGAUUUGAUGGACUUGUUUUUACCCUCAAAUUCUUCAGUCGGCCUUAUACUCUGGAGGAAACCAGAAAACCCUCCAGCCCAGUUCAAGAAUAAGCAUGUGGAAAGUUAUUUAUUCAAAAGCAAAAGUAUCCCAUAUCAUCUCUUCUCAUUUUUCUUCUCUUUAUCCUUCAUGCUGCCUGCAAGAUAGGGAGAAUGUGAACAAUCAGCCAGAGCUCUGGUUGCUUACCUUGUCUGUCACCUCUUUCAACAGAUCCCCUAGCUCGGCGACUUGGGGGACUCCUACUACAUGGUUUGUAUCGCGCUUGAUCAAGCCUGAAAUUGAUACAUUACCUUGUGCAUCUCCACCAGUUAAAGAUACCACCCCUGGAUGGAGGAAGAGUACUUCCAGAGAAGAUGCCACAUCUACCUAUGAGACAGAUAAGGCAAGUCAAGACGAUACCACACUCCGGUACUUAGAAGUUUCGUGAUUACGAGAUCAUUCUCCCAAAAUAUUUCCUAAUGUCAUUUGUACUAAAUCAUUCACUUGUACUCACUAAAGGAGAGCUUGAACCUAUGUACUUGUGUAAACCCUUCACAAUUAAUGAGAACUCCUCUAUUCCGUGGACGUAGCCAAUCUGGGUGAACCACGUACAUCUUGUGUUUGCUUCCCUAUCUCUAUCCAUUUAUAUACUUAUCCACACUAAUGACUGGAGCAAUCUAGCGAAGAUCACAAAAAGCGACCGUUUUCGCUACCUAGGAUCUAUCUUGCAAGAGAACGGAGAAUUAGAUGGAGAUCUCAACCAUAGAAUACAAGCUGGAUGGAUGAAGUGUAAAAGUGCAUCCGGCGUGUUGUGUGACCGUCGUAGGCCACUGAAGCUCAAGGGAAAAUUUUAUAGGACGGCAAUAAGGCCAGCGAUGUUGUAUGGCACAGAAUUGUUGGGGUGUGAAGCAUCAACACGUACACAAAAUGGGGUGUGGCGGAGAUGAGGAUGCUUCGUGGGAUGUGUGGGCACACGAGAAAGGAUAAGAUUGGGAAUGAGGAUAUCCGAGGUAAAGUAGGAGUAGUCGAAAUUGAAGGAAAUAUGAGAGAAAAUCAGUUCCGGUGGUUUGGACAUGUGGCAAAGAAGGCCUAAGACUCUGACGCCCGGUUCGAAAAUGUGACUAGGGGACAGAGGUUCAGGGCCGAAGGGGUAAAGGAAAAGACCUAGGAAAAAACUUUGGAAAGAGACCCUAAGAAAAGACUUGAGUACUUGGAUCUAACGGAGGACAUGACACAAAACCGAGCGCAAUGGCGUUCUAGGAUUCAUAUAGCCGACCCCACUUAGUGGGAAAAGGCUUUGUUGUUGUUUGUUUGUUUGUUGAGAUUUACUAAGAACGAGAGUAAAGUCAUUGGAUCCUACAUGCAUCCACAACAUUGACCUCUUUCGUCGUGCCAAAACUAGGUGGGACAUCCUCAUCAUCAUCAUAUUCAACAUACGUAUUACCUUUUCCGAUGUAGUUUUGAAGCCAAAACCGAAAUGAAACCAAACCAUUUGGUUUGGUUCGGUGCCGUUUCAAACGGUUUUGGUUCGGUUUUAGAAAAGAAAAAAAUUUACAAUUUAAAAUUUAUACCUAUAUACGCAUAACACGGUCUCAUUUUUCACACAAUAUAUUAAUUAAUCAACCCAUAUGAGAAUUCUUUUCUUUACUGCUCUCUCUAUUCUCUAAUGUACAUUUGAUCACAACAAGAAAAUGGUACGGGAGAAUGAUAUAUAAACAACUAGCUUAGCAUAGCUAGCUAAUUGCACGAAUGAUGGACUCUGUGACUGAGCAGGAAAAAGCACCCAAAUGGAGUGAUGUGGCUAGGGAUGGGCAAAAUACCAUGGAUUUGGGUAACCGCGGUUACCCAUCCAUUUAAAGUUCACGGUUACGGUUAUGGGUAACCGUUUAGACGAACAAACGGUUAUGGGUAUAAACGUUUAUCCAUGAAAUUUAAAUGGGCGGUUAUGGGUAUUAUCCAUGGUUAUAACGGGUAUCCAUCGAUUAUGGGUAUUACUAGCGGUUAUAACAGGUAUCCAUUUACCCAUUUAAUUUAAUAUAUGUAAAAUUUAAAAAAAAAAUUUAAAUCCUAAAUUUUCAAUCACUCCGCCAAACUCAGAGUCUUAAACGCCUUGUCCCCCGCUCAUCUCUCCCUCCUCACUGCCCUUUGUCUCAUCUUCGCCAUUGUGAGGCGAAAACAAUUCAAGUAAACAGUUAAGUGCUAAAUCACCUUGUCCAUGUAACGAUUGAUGAGAGCAGGGAUAUCCGAUUUAGGUUCGAGUCCUCCAAAUAAGGAUCCCAUGAGGGUUUUGCCGCUGUGAAGGAUAUCAUGAAAGGGAAGGCUCGCCUUUGAGGCUCUGACCCUGGCUUGUCGACACCUACCAUAACUGUCUCUCCCCAACCCUGAAGUUCAAAAGAACGAUAAUAUUUCAAUGCGUAGUGCAGACAAAUUAUAGUUGCCUAGGUUCAUCAUGAUGGUUGAUCAGUACGAUGCAGAGCAUAUUCUUGUUUUGUAAUUUUCAAGUUGUUAAAAAAAAACAUGUAGAUGGAUGAAAAAAAUGGGUAAAUAGGUAAAAAAAAGAUAAACAGAUUCAAAAACGGAUAAAUAGUUAUGGUUAAAUGGGUAAACGGUUAUGGUUAAAUGGGUACACAGUUAUGGGUAUGGUUAACCGUUUAUAAACGGUUAUGGGUAUGGGUAUAACCGUUUAUGCAAUUACCCAACGGGUAAACAGUUAUGCGAGUAUGAACAUAAACGGUUAUGGGUAAAUAACUGCAGUUACCCAUCCGCUAUAAUCGUUGCCCAUCCCUAGAUGUGGCUUAUUAUUUGAUCAGAGAUUGGUCUUUGUAUCUCUCAUUUUGUGACUAACUCUUACUUGAAAAUUAGGAUUCUGAGGUGCUUUUACUGGUAAUAAAAUGUUCAUCUUUUCCUGUAAAGAAACAGUGAAGAUGCCAAGCUUGAUAAGGGUUAUAACUUUGGGAAAAAUAAUCAUUAUUAUGAAAUGUAAACACUAGAUCUAUGGACUCUAACAAACCACCAAUUAAAACACGACAUCUAAUUUGAGGUGCGAUUUCGGUUUCGGUGCGAUUUUCAAAAGCCAAAACCGAAACCAAACCGUUUCAUACACUGCAGUUCGGUUUCAAAACCACAACCAUUUCAAAACCGCAAAACCAAACCAUUCAGUGCGGUUCAAUUUGGUUCAUGUUUGGGUUUCGGUUUUGGGUUUCAAGUGCCCACCCCUAGCACUAAGUGGCUUAUCACACAAGUUUUAUGUAAAGUGAUUAAACAACUUAGCAUGAGUCAAUUUACUAGAGAUUCUUGCGAAGGACAAUGAGAGAUACAACUCACCGUCUAGCAAGGAAGUCGAAUCUAAAAUAGUGAAGAGGAAUAUUACUGGACCAUAUUAAGUGGCAUCAUAUCUUCUGAAUCUUUUAAAAUCGCCUUGACUAGAAACAACAAACUCACUCAUAGUUUUAGCCUAUCAAUUACAUUCUUCAAUGUACAACCCCUCACUCCAACUUUCUCAGAAACCUGUUUGUAGCCUAACAUGGGUUCCUUCAGAAAAUCUGAAUUAAAAGGAAGGACAUUGCACCACUGCCCCGUCAAAGUUUUUGAUGAUUCAAAUACCCCUUAAAUUUUGGGGUCAAUAUUUUUUUAUGGUCAACGUUAGGCGUCCAGAUGAUGGGCAAUUUAUCAAUUUGGAUAUCAUUGAGGACUGAAUUCGGAUGCAUAAGGUCUAAGCAAGAAGUACAGACAGAUCAUUCCAAUGCAUUUUACACUCGUUAAUCAAAUACAGUUGAAUCUGAUUCUCACGGAUGCAUUGUUAAUUACCAUAACGCCUUUCAAGCAUUUCACUCAGAAAAAAGAAACUAUAAUAAAAUUGUGCAUGACGUCGAUCAAGAUAAUAUAAGGAUUCGACGUAAUCAUGGAGUGCCGGCUGUCGACUACCUGACGUCCUCCCCCUCCUCCUUUAUCCGGGCUUGGGACCGGCAAUGUAAGAUAAACUUACACGGCGGAGUUCAUUUACCAGGUAAAGAAAGUACCUCAUCUCAUAACCGGUUUCCAGCUUCCUUGAAUAAACAGAUGUUCUUUGAGACUGCAUCGUACUCACUGGAGUUGCUUGUUUUGCUUGUUUCCUCUAGAUGAAGGUUGCUUUAAUCCAACCAAAUCACUCUCGUAGAUGAGACGGACUCCGCACCUCUUCACCUCCAAACCAGAGCCUAAGGUUUAAAUGUAAACUCAAGGUGAUGACAACUGUCUUGCCAUGUUGUACCAAAGUAUUCACCAGAUACAAAGGAUAGCCAAAUGUGCUCUUUCUCAAUUUGCCCUAAUUCUUCGCUGCAGGCGAAGGAAGGACACCAGCCACCUACACCCAAAUUCCCAGGCUUAACUUCGCAACGAAGACCAUGUGCAGUGGUAUGGGUUCCGUAGUUCCAUUUACCAAGCAGAUUAGGUGGGAGUCGUCGACGGAGAGUGAAAACAGCACACAAUGCAUAUCCCAUCCACUCGUUCUUAUACCAGUGUUGAGGGAGCUCCACGCUUACCACAGGCCUCUCACUUCGAUAACCAAACCACUCAGAAAUUUCACUGCCAGGAUAUAUAGCUUCAAAAUUAUUCCCUACGUAAGGGAUUCCCUAUAUGAUACAAAAUUACAAAUAGUGAAGUUAAACAAUUGAUACGUCCGUCUUGUAAAUAAGUACAAAAUGCUUCUUUUUUUUUUCUUUUUUUUUUCUUUUUCUGUGUGUGUGUGUAAGAGAGAGAGAGAGAGAACCUCAAGGAAUCUCCUUAACGCUGCAAAUGCUACAUUGUUGCAGCCUUGGUCGUCAACCACUUCAAAGCAAUUAAUAAAACUGAAACAUGAUGACAGCCUUUCCCGUGAAAAACUGCCUUUUCCCUCAACACUCAAGUUCAAUUCUGCUGAAAGGUCCGGCAAUUUUUUAAGACACUUACAACCACCCAAAUUCAAAAUCUGAAGCUUAGACAGCUCUGUGAUGCUCUUGGGAAGACUAACAAAACUGUUUUUACUUAGAUUAAGCGAUACUAUUGAGGACAAGCAGCCAAGAUUUUCCAGGAUUGUUACCUCCUCAAGAUUACAGUCACUGAGAUUCAGCACUGUCAAAGAAAGCAAACCAGAAUCUGUGGUCGGCAACAGCAAACUCAGUAGACUUGUCUUCUUUCUUCGCAUCGAUUUGCAACCACAAAUGGAUAACAAUUCAAGAUUUUCCAGGCGGGAAAUGGAGGAUGGUAGAUCAUUAAUAGAGGUACCGCCCACAUCAAGCUCCUUCAAACAAACCAUAUUUCCCAAGUUUUUUGGCAGUUCUUCAAGCUUUGAGCAUCCACUGAGAUUGAGACUUUUGAGGGAACGCAACUGGCAAGUACUGCUUGCAAGGGAACUGAGAUUUCUGCAAUCUCUCAGGUUUAAUAAAGUAAGGCCAGUCAGACAUUCGAUCGAAGAAGGUAAUUCUUCUACAGCAGUCUUAUCUAAAUAAAGUUCCAACAAGUUUUCCAUAGGUCUCACAAAUUCUGGAACUUUAUUAAUUUUUGAACAACCAGAAAGAAUAAGAAUUUGAAGACUUUCCAUUUCAAAACAUUUGGGAAGGCGUUUAAGACUUCUGCAGUCCUUAAGAUUUAAGAAAAUAAGCCUUUUGAGCUCAGCAAUGGAUGGGUCGAUCAUCACCAAGUUUGUACAGCCUUCAAGAAUUAAUCUAUGAAGAUUUGGAGUAACAGUAAAGUCCGGGGUCCUGGUCAGGUUCUGGGAGUAGCUAACAUUAACGAAUUUCAGAUUGCCUAAGCACUGUUCAAAACAUUAAAGCACAAAAUUUAGUACUUUAUAUAAAAAAAAAAAAACCCAACUUUUUAUGUGCUACCCAUAAUCUGACCUUUGUUCUAUUCCAAAGUUGUCCAAUGCUGCUAUGGGACAAGUUAACUUCACAAAGUUGCUCAAGUUCAAAUUCUCGUGGGAGAAAUUUUGAAGGAUACCCACUCCAUUCAAGAAACUUUAAGGCAUUAGAAAGUUUUUUUGGGCCUUGGGUCAUUCGCAGAUUAUGAAUUUGGAGAAAUCUGAGAUUAUGCAUCGUCGAGAAGGCCUCCAAGUCCCAACAUGCCUCUUUCAAUUUAGGGAAGUCUAAGGCUAUACCUUCAACUGCAUUUGUACCCUGAUAACAGAGAAUUCAGAAUAAGUUCAUUAGACAGUAUAAUUAAGUUUAGAAGUACUUACUAAAUUAGUAUACUCCAUCUUCCUUCAAAACCACUUACCGUAUUAUUCCUCAAUACAUGAAUGACAUCAUCAUGAAGCCACAACCUGCUUUGCUCUCCAGGAUCCUCAACAGCAUCUCUGCGUACCAAUUGUCGUCCCAAUUCUUGUAUCAACCCAUGCAUCAACACUUUGUUAUUUGAAAUAGUUAUGAGAGAUUUCUCAAAGAGAGCUUCCAUCCCAUCCUUCGGAUUAAAUCCAAAACAAUCUAGUAUCUCUACCACUCGUUCCUUGUCCAUUCCUUGAAAGAAACAAGCAAUAUCUAGAAACAUUCUUUUCUCAUUGUCCGCCAGUCCAUGAUAACUUAUUUCAAGUGCUUGAGAAACAUUUUUAUCAGGAACAUGCUUCAGCUUUUCCAAUGCAUUACGCCACUCUCCCGGACUUCUGUGGAACAGAGAGGAUCCCAAAACCUUGAUUGCUAAAGGAACGCCUCCAGCAUAAUGAACCACCCGUUUAGACAGAUCCAAAUAAUAUUCUCGGGGUUCAUCACUUUUAAAGGCGUGAAUAUUGAAGAGCUGACGCGACUCACCCUCACUUAAUCCCUUAACUUCAAAUAUGCUUUCUACACCAUGCUCUCUUAGCAAAUUCUCAUUUCUAGUUGUAAUGAUGACUCUGCUCCCCAAACCAAACCAUUCUUUGUUUCCACCCAAUGAUUUCAGUUGGUCUAAGUCGAAAACAUCGUCUAAAAUGAGAAGAACCUUUCUCUUACAUAGAAUGUUCUUUAUCAUUAUGGCUCCCUCGUUAACAUUUGGAACAUCUAUGCCUUGCCCCAAAGCCUCAUAAAGAAGUUUCUUUUGCAAUUGCAGAUGACCCAGUGUUUCGCUUAGCCCACAAGUAAUCCAGGUGAAAAUUUCAAAUUCAUUGGAAAUGUUGUCAAAAACCACUCUGGCGAUAGUUGUCUUGCCCAUCCACCAAUUCCGCAUAUCCCUAUGAAGCGAACAUCAUUAGAUUUGAUGUCCAAAAGCCUAUUUAGUUCCUCUACUCUUGAGUCAAUUCCCACUAGGUCCUCAAGAUAAGAUGGCAGAGUUUGCAAUGUAUUCAAAACCCAUUGAACAAUUCGUUGGAUAAAUUGUGCCUCAUACCUAUGCAGAAGAAAAUAAAUGUCAAUCAUUCGGAAAUAUUUGAAAGAAUCCCGAUUGUAGUGUAAGCCUUUUGUUUAAGAACAAAAAUGUAUGACAAUAACCUAUCGUUCUCUCAUGAGAGAACUAAUAGAAAAGCUAGCAAGCAACGAAAAUUCAUCUCUUUGGACAGCUUAACAUAUGUUAUCAUAAAUUACAGCAGGAAAGAAUACAAGCAUACAUAUUACAUAGCAAAAACUGAAAUAAAAUAAAAUUUAUUUGCUACUGAAAGGAACUACCCACCCAUCCUCGUCCUUGUAUAGGUCAAAUCCAGACAGAUUGGCUAAUUGACGAAGAGCAUCCCUCCAGGCGCGCACUUUGUCGAUAUUGUCAUUGAAACGUCCUUCAUGCUCGGCAAAAAAGUCACCGAAAUCGCCUGUCUGUUUUCGUACCUCGGAUGGGCUCACAUCAUAGAAGACAGGCAAAACUAUCUGGCGAGCCACUUCCUUGCAUUCCAUAAUUUGCUGAAGCUCAUCCAAGCACCAUGUUGACCUGGCAUACUUUCUUGAAAGAAUGACAAUUGAAAUUUUUGAACUUUUAAUUCCCCGAUAAAGUUCAUCAUCUCCAAAUACGACGACUCCUCGGUUACUCAGAGCAGCACGUAGUUGGUCUGCGAAAUUCCUGCGAGUGUCUUCGCCACUGAAACUGAGGAAGACAUCGUAAUCAGUUGUUUGCGCAGUCGCCGUGGAUCCCAUCGGAAUACUCGGCUUUCUUCUUUUUCUUGAUUGCGUGGUGGCGAUGGAUCCCAACGGAAAUCUCUGCUCUCUUCUUCCUUAAUGGAACCCCAGACCGAUCAAAUCCAGAUCUCUCGGUCUUCUAGCAUAGGAAUGGAAUAUGAAAUGUCAACGGCCAAUUGCAACCGUCCGAUGCGGAGCAGCAAAUCUCACCCGUCUAAUAAGUUCCAGUCGCCAUCCACUGUUGCUCUAGUUUCUCUCGUUUUAUUUUUAUUUUAUUUGUGUGGGGUCCAUUAUUAUUAUUAUUAUUAUUAUUAUUAUUAUUUUAUAGGAAAAAUAAUGUAUUAAAUAGAACAACCCCUUACACAACCAGUGUCAUUACCGUCGAAAAGAAAAGCCAUAUUAGCUUCCAUUGGGAGAAAAACAUCCCAAAUGCAAAGCUCCUUUCUCUUCAGCCCAACAGACGCUAUGGCAUUUGUAACAAAAUUUGCUUUCUUAAAAAUAUACCUCCACUUGAUAUCAUGAAAAUUUGUUUGAAGCACACCACCUGGGAUCCAUUAUUUUGAAUUAAGCACUUUGUCAUAUUUACGAUACAGCGUUUUUCACGGACAAACUUACCAUCUAAUCUUAAUUUCAAGCACACCCAUCAGUGUCAUCACCAUUUUCCAUUCAGAGCGGAUUCAGGUAAAUCCAUCCAUCUAUCACGAAAGUGAGAAAUUCAUUCUCAGAGUGAAGUGAAUUGACUAUUGAAGUUCGUUUCUUCUUUUCUAUAUUUCCUUUUUUUUUUUAGGUCAAAGUUUUAUUUGAACUUGUGAAAUUGUGAUUAGAUGGUGGGUAGUGAAAUGAAAUUGUAAUUAGAUACAGUUUCUCUCUUAAUCGAAAUUGUGAAAUGAUGGAAUUAAACUCGGAAAAUUAAAGCCCACUUUUCAUGAAUUUUUCCGCGCGGCAAUUGUUGAUUUCUGCGCGUCAAGUAGCCAAGCACAUCAAAUCCAAUUCACAUCCCUCAAUUCCUGACUUGUUUUUUCCACACACAGACAUACUAUAAAAUCAGUUUCUAGUUAAAUACACUUUUCUUUUUCUUUUUUUAUAGAAAAUCUCGACGGUACGAAGAGAAUUUAUUGAUAUCGAAAGAAAAAAAAACACCUAAUUAGGGAGACAUAAACCUAACCUCUCAUAAUACAAGAAAAAAUGAUAAAAGAUACAUGAAAAAAGGAAGACAUAAACUUUACCCUUCUAGAAACAAAAACAACAAAGAUACAAGCAACAUCACAAGGUUAAGAAGAAAGAUAAGAAGGUGAGACAAACUUGUAUGCCUAGAUGCACAUUUAUUUGAGAAGCGGAAGUCAGGAAAGCCAACAUAGUCUGAAGAACCGUCAUAGGAUUUGAAUCAUGCCAUACCAAAGUUGGAGAAGACAAGACCAUGUUAGCAAAAGUGUCUGCAACCACAUUUCCUUCACGAUAUAUGUGAGAGGAUAGAAUGUCAUCUUUCGAAUGCAGUCCAAACAAAUAGACCAUUGCGUACGAAGAGGCUAAUGAGGAUCAAAAUUAGUCGAUUGGAGAGUAGAAACAACACUAGAAGAGUCAUUUUCCAGCCAAAGACAAUGUCGACCCCACUUAUAAGCAAACUCUACGCCAAUAAUAACUAUUGAUAGUUCUGCAAAAAAAAAAAGAGUUGCGAUGACAAUUCCUUGGCAGAAACCACCAUGAAACUGACCAUGCCAAUCUCGAAAGACUCAUUCACAAGCAAGAGCAAUGGAUCGAUACUAAGCAAUGGUAGCAGCCAUGGACGAAGGGAGGUAAGUCCUGGGGGGGUUUUAAACACCCCUUCUCCCUUUUUUUUCCCUCACGUACUAAUGUUUAAACCUUGCUGAGUUACAUGUAUUUGAUUAAUUAGUACGAAUGAGCAUUAGAUUUCCAAUACAACAAUUAAAAACAAAAUUAGACAAUAGGGUAAUAAAAUUAGUCAUUUGUAAAAAAAAAAAAAAAAAAAAAAAAAAAAAAAAAAAAAAAAAAAAAAAAAACUAGCUUUAUUUGUCCAAAAAAUGAGCUGAAAUUUUUAAGGUGCCCCCUCUUAGUUAAAUUUAUGGCUUCGUCCCUGGUAGCAACCCUUUCUACUUUAGGGGAUAAGGACCACAAAGUUGCAAUUAAUAUUUAGAUAAAGUCAGCCCCGCUUAAAAAAAUCUUGUACAAAUGCAAUAACAUCUAAAUCAACAAAUCCAAGCAUGAUUGAUAGAAAGAAGCAGGAAAAGAAUCACAUCCCGGAGCACUUGAGGGAUCCAUAGAAAAAAAAUGGCUUUUUUGAGUUCAUUAGCACAAGGUAAACAAGAAAGAGCAAGAUUUUCCUCUUCUUUAACCAUAGGUGGAAUUACACCACAAACAUCCUCAAUUCCAUUUGAAGUGAACAAAGAGUUAUAUAAAGAUUGAUAAAAGUUUACCACAUGACUAGCAAUAUCAACAAGGGAAGAUGGCACAUUAUCACCAUCCAAUAGAGUAACAAUCCUGAAAGAAGAAAGCCUACCUCGAGCAUAAGUAUGGAAAAAAACAAUAUUACGAUCACCUUUAGUAAGCCAAAAAGUUUCUCACAUAUGAAGAGCAUCUAGGACAGUUGUCUUAGCCACAGCUUCCUCAUUAAACCUCUCUUGAAAAUUCCCAUUAGAAAAACAGUAUUUUGGAUAUUAUGAAGUUUGUCCUUAGCAAUAGUGAUAUUUCUAUGGACAUUAGCAAAAACAUAACAAACAUGGGACACCCGUAUGCAAUAGUUGACUGCCAGCACUUAGCAACCAAAUUAGAAAAGCUUGAAUGUAAAGUCCACAUGGAUUGAAAUCGAAAAGGUCGGGGAUCCUCCAAGAAGAGUAGCAAAAGCUGAGAAAACAAGACAAUUAUGACCAGAAACUACCCUUGGCAAAGUUGAACAAUUUGUAUGAGGUCAAGACUGUAACUAGCGUGUGUUACAAAGAGAGCGGUCAAGAAGCCUCUCCAUGUAACCACAGACACUCCAACCAUUAGUCCAAGUAUAAAAAGCACAAGUAGUAUCCAUAUGAGUAAAUUCACAAAGCUCAAUAGCAGUACGAAAGUCCUCACACGAAAUUCGAGCAAGCGACUCCUCAUUUGUUCAUGAGCUCCAACAAUAGCAUUAAAGUCACCAAUUGCCAUCCAAGGUAUUGUAGUAUUAGAAUGAAUACUUAAAAGAUCACAUCAUAAAGCACGACGAAGACUCGAUGUAGUAGCCGCAUAAAAAAAAAAAAAGUAAACCGAGAAAGAACACCAUCAAAAGAAGCCUGAAAAGUAAUUUGUUGUCCUGAAGAAGAAAUCACAAUAGGAGAACAAUAACUCGUAGAAUACAAAACCCAAUUAUUAGGUAGUAAAUCACCCCUGUUAGUAGCAGUAAGCAAAGAAAGACCUAAUGAAUUCCAAUGACUAGAGGGAAUAGAAUUAAAAGUAACCAUAGGUUCAUAAAUGCAAACCAAUCCGAAUGAUGGGAAUGACAAACAUUGGAAAGCUCCGUAUGCUUAUCAGAAUUAACAAUACUACGAAAUAUUCCAGUAAACUAGCUUCAUUUGGAGGUUGAAAUAACUUGUCUUCUUGCCCUAGUAACAUAGGGUUCUUCUUGCCUAGCUGCAUUAGCUUUUUAUUUUUUUUAUUUUAUUUCUUUGCUGAGAUUUACUAAGAACGAGAGUAAAGUCAUUGGAUCCUACAUGCAUCCACAACAUUGACCUCUUUCGUCGUGCCAAAACCAGGUGGGACAUCCUCAUCAUCAUCAUAUUCAACAUGGGUAUUACCUUGGUUGGUUGUAACUCAAGAAGCAAUCCGUCUGCAUUUGUCUCUAACUGUCCAUGAUGCACUGCAAACGAAUCAAUUACCCUAUCAGUCAACAUACUUAACUCAUUAUUCACAACACUCAUUAGUAUUUGAUUUGCAAAACCGUUAACUUGGUCAGCAUGACGUUGCUCAAGAGAGCUACACAAUGGAAUCUCCAUGCCAUUAUGAAGUUCAAAAGUAUGUUCUUUGUGAAUAAUUUCAACUGAAGGAGAACGUCCCUUGUGAAUAGUAUCAACUGAAGGAGAAACAGUCUUAGUAGACGGUUUUGAACGAUAAACCUGAUGAGUUUUUGAUCAUCUGCGAUGAUGAAUCUCAACAUUUGGUUGCAUCCCAUCUUAGUGAUUACAAGCAUUUAACUGUCGAAUUUUACUCGUGUUAUGGCCAAUUACACCACAAGUUGGAGGCAAAUUCUCAUAAAUAAUAUCAGCAUAGAAACCAUGUUGUUCCCGCUCAACCGUAAUAGAUGAAGGCAAAUCAGCAGAGAGAUCCACAUCCACCAGAACUUUAGCAUAGUAGGCAUAUAAAUUUCACGUGUAGCAUGAUCCAACUGAAGUGGAAUACCCACACCAUGAGAAAUUUCCAUAAGAAUGCAAGGGUUCAAUAUUCUUGACUUGACCCAUAUAUUUUGAUCAAGACAUGUGCAUGAGUUUGGGGAAGCAUGUCACCAGGCUUGAAAUCCGGUUGCUAUUGAGACAACCUAAAAAUACCGAAUUGAAGUGUACAUGUUCCACCAACCCACACUUUUCUAAUGUCUUCUUCGGUGGAAAAGUGAAGAUCAAAAUAUCCCUUACCUAAUGAUACCAGUAGCCAAGGAUUGUGAAUCUUUCAUGGGUGCUUUUUUUUAAGCACCUCACUCCCAAACCACCCCUCAGUCUUCAUUGGCAUGGUACUUUUCUUUAACAAAAGUUUACCAAUGAGGUUUGUCCAGAAUGAGCACAGUUGUCUUGAUAAAGGCCCACUAAUUUGACAUCAGUCGCAUCUCUCUGAAUUAGGAGCAGGAAGUUGACUUAAAUUAACUGAACUUUCCUUACUAUUUGAGACAAUGGCAGCAAAGGUCCGUGCUUUCCAUACUAGUUGAGGAAGCCCCGGGCAUGAAGCACUUAGGUGACUUGUUCAUGAAAACCUCAACCUAGUCUACCUAGAACAAAAUUCAUUCCAAAAUAAUGUACAAAAAAAUAAGAAUAUAAAAUAGAAAAUUAUAACCUGAUCAAAGUGCAGCAGUUUUGAGAAAAGUGUUAAAAGUGUUCCAAAUCGUAGGACUCAAUGGAACUUAAUGCAGAAAGACCAAAUGCCUCCAAAAGCUGCAGCAAGUUUGAGUACAAAUCGCAGAACGAGCAAAUUGUAGAAAAUCACAAACCGCCCUAAGUUGCGAAUGAAACGACCGACGCAUCGCGUUCCUUUCUCCAAAAAACACAUAAACCACCCUCUAAAGACGCAAGACGAGAAGAGGGCAAUAAGCAGAUCAACCUGUUCAGAACAGUAAAGGACGAAGCGAUGUGGACAGAUGCGGGGAACGAUAAGCGGCUUCCCUUUUUUUGUCUUCUAGUUGAUAUCUUACAGCCAUUUCUUAAAUCAGUGUUAACGAAAAAGGUUUGGGCUAACUUUUAUUUAAUGAAAAACUACCUUAAACUAUUAUUUAAUAAAAAUGACUUAAGAUUUAAUCAUAAGGACACAAACUUAUAUCUCAAGUCCUACAAAAACUAAAACACACAGGUUCAACAAAAAGCCCAAACCAGAUAACAAUUAAUAUUCCAAAAUUACCCCUAACGGAACCUAACCCAACUUGUUGAGCCAAAAAUAAUCACAAAGCGACCCGAGGAUUUUUGGAAAAAAUAUGACAAAAAUACCCUUGAGGCAUACCAGGAUUCCUACGCGCGAACAGCAGGCAAUCAUCGCUCAAUCAAGUGAAAAGUGUCCAAAAUAAGUAACAAUUCAAAGCCUAUUGUAUCCAUCCUCAUCAAAUCCUAUUUCACCCAUAUGGGUUUGCUCUCGAGUGCGAGUGCGAGAGGAUAAACUAAUUAUUCUCUAGUGCAAGAGGUAAACCAAUUCCUAGACACCCAUAUGGGUUUGCUCUCGAGUACGAGAGAAUAAACUAAUUGCUCUCCAGUGCCAGAGGGUAAACUAAUUCCCCGACACCCAUCUGUGUAAGCUCUCCAGCGCAAGAAUGCUACAUAGCUCAAAAUAUCAAAUGCUUGAAUAUCAGCUAGGCAGCAAAUGGUCAGGGGGCAGCAGCCACUUUUGCACUUAACACACUACAAAAAAAUGAGCACUGUGCACAAUAAAUUAUCUAUGCCCUUUGAGGCCAAAAAGCACCAACAAGUGUGCUCAUAGACCAAUAGCAACAGUGUAGCUACUAUCUUUGUGUUUGUGCCCUCUAUGGGCGUCACCAUUGGGCACAAUACUGAGUUCUGUGCUCAUGAUGUCAGCACAAAUAAAGGGUGUUUUGUGCCUAACAAAGUUGUCAGACUACCAUUUCCAGCCAUGUUGGCACUUAAAAUGUAAUUGUGCCUGCAUGAAUUAAAUAUUAAAAAAAUUCAUAAUUUGAAAAAUUGAAACUGAAAUUGAGGUUUUUUUUUUUCAUAAAAUGUAGAAAGCCUACAAUACAUUCUCAAUCUCACAAACAUAUAUUGUAAUGUUACAUAUUUCAUCUCUGUUUGUACCAUACUUGACCAAUCCCGAAACUACCGAGCACCGGCCAACGCUAUACUGUCAAGGACCCAGAAGAGUUCCCCUCCGACCAGGAGGCUAAUCACUACUCGACACGUGUCAAGAUUAGAAGCCAAUCAGAGCGCAGCACGUGUCAACAUCAAGAACCAAUCAUAACAUGACACAUGUCAAUGUGACAAAGCUACAAGUUUUUCUAUAAAUAGGGGUCAUUCCCCCACAAUAUUGCCGAAUGCCAUUUGUGUUAAAUCAUUCACAAGAACUCACUAAAUUGAGAACUUGAUCCUUUGUACUUGUGUAAGCCCUUCACUACUAAUAAGAACUCCUCUACUCCGUGGACGUAGCCAAUCUGGGUGAACCACGUACAUCCUGUGUUUGCUUCUCUGUCUCUAUUCAUUUACGUACUUAUCCUCACUAGUGACCGAAGCAACCAAGCGAAGGUCAUAAAACCUGACACUUUCUGUUGUACCAAAGUCUUCGCUGAUUUUGUGCAUCAACAUUUGGCGCCGUCUGUGGGAAACGACACUUAUUCCUACUCUCUUCAGCUGUGUCAAGCUGGUUUCUAUCAUUCGUACACUUUCUUUUGAUCAGGCAUCCUUCUCCAGCAUAGGAAGCGAAGGAAGCCACAGCACACAGAAUGACACCCCCCUUGCACAUAGUGCGAAACAACGAAAGAAGGAAGGAAAACGAGUUCUUCUUCAAGCUAAAGUCGAUGAGUUGGAAGCUCAGAACAACAAGAUAGCAAUGAGGAAUGAGGUCCUCCAGGAGCAAUAUGAGAAGCUCUUCGAGACACUUCACGAAGCUAGGCAAGCUCAGACACGCGAGCUUGUUGCCCCCGUGGAAGUCAACCAUCAACUGGGUGCCCUCCAACAUGGAGGGUCACAUGCAUUCGACAUAGAUAUCCCUGAUAGGGAACAAAUUACCCCUCGAUUUGAUAAUCAACAUGAGGCUUCUCUUAACCCAGUUGCUUCGACCCGAACCAUGAGAAGCGGAGGGAGACACCUCUUUGCUGAAGGGGCAGAAGGAUCGAAAGCCGUCUUUCGCGAUUGUCGGGAUUUCCUGAAGCAACGUCGAGAGAAUUCCAUCCAUAUAAGCUCAAAGAUCAAUGACCCAAGGAUUUCUGAGAGACUCGGUCCCCUGCCACGGCCCGAGCCGGCCACCAACUUUGGGGAAGGGGCAACAAGUCCUAGAGAGACAUGAGGGUACAGGGGACUCAGAGGUGUUCCGACAGACAUACCCUGGAAGCCAGUACAGCGAGUCCAGGGAAAAAUCACAUGCCCUUGAUCAAACCUUCCUAAUUCCAAGAGGAGAUGGAGAUUUACGAAAGAAAGCUCCAGUGGCACAUAACUCCGCUCAGGACCCCCUUGUCCUACAACUUCUUGAGGAAGUAAACAAGUUGAAGGCUGAACGUCAGGCUGAAAUACCUGACUGGAACCAACCCAGGCCUGGCCCUCUUACAAGGAGGAUCCUCAACACCCCCUUCAAGCAAAGACAAAGCAGAAGCUUGGCUUGCAACUUUAUACUGGGAAAGAGGACCCGAUUGAGCACCUUAACCUCUUUGAGUCCACCAUGGCAUACCGGAUGCACACCGACGAAGAGUGAUGUCUUCUCUUCCCCUCCACCCUCUCUGGCGGAGCUCUAAAUUGGUAUUGUCGUCUUACACCUGAGACGGUAGACUCAUUUGAGGAAUUGAGGAAACUAUUUGUUUCCCAACACAUUUUCCAAACCGAUCGCUUGCAAUCUGCAGAUGACCUGUACACUAUCCACCAGAAGCCAGACGAGUCAUUACGUAUGUAUGCUGGCCGCUUCAGCCAUGAAUACUCCCGGUGUGCCGAGGCAGACGACAAGACUGCCCUCAAAGCCUUCACGGCAGGCCUACGUGAUUGUUUCUUUAAAUACAUGAUCAAUGCCAAUACUUGGAAGACUUACUCUGAGGUGAUGGCGCAGGCUUAUAACCAUGCCUCCGCCGAGGCAAAGACAUAUCAGGAGAAACCCCCUACAACCAUCCUUUAUCAACAAGUGGGAGGUGGAAGCCAGACUCACCUAAAUGAGAAGACCUCGACUUUCCAAACAGCAGUGGCACCUCCCCAUGCCUUGCAUAAUGCUUCACCGAAUCAACAGACAUAUCAAUUUCAAGGCAAGAGGAAGGAUUUCCAUCCUCACCACUCUCCUUUCAGUAAAAAGAGUAAGGGACACUAUCCCGAUAACCAAGGGUAUCGCCACAAUAACGCUCGCCCCCAGGCAGUCAAUGCAGUGGGUCAAACCCGCGUCAAGAUACCCCCUACCCCAAGGUAUGAGACAUACACGCCCUUGAAUGCCACAUGCGCGGCCAUUUACCCCAGCAUAGCUCACCUGAUACCAAAGCCAAAGCCGAGGCACCCAGAUUACACGCCCCCGAAUAACGCGGGCAUGUUUUGUUGCUACCAUGAGCAUAACGGCCAUGAUAGCGAGAAAUGUAUCAUCCUCCGUGAUCGUAUUGAAGCUUUGGCACGAGAAGGAAAAUUUGAUCAAUUCCUUCUUCACCCUCAAAGGGAUAACCGUAACCAACGCCAGGUGAAUGUCAUAUAUUCCAUAAGCGGCGGCACACCCAUAUCUGAAUCUUCCAAUAGGGCCAUGAAAAACAGUGAACGAAGUCUGAGGCCUGGUCACCAAGUGUUUCACGUGGAAGACAUCAGGGGAGGGAAGUAUCAAAAACCUAACUGGGAUCCGAUAUGUUUCUACCCUGAGGAAGAAAGAGGCAUCAUCUACCCUCAUAACGACCCAUUGAUCGUGGAGGCUCACAUAGCCAACUUUGAUGUUCGACGAAUCCUCGUAGACACAGGGGCUUCGGUCAAUAUCAUGUUUGCCGAAGCUUUCAAGGGCACUCAGUGUAGCUGAACACUUGCUCGAUCGCUCGAUUUCUCCUCUGAUAAGCUUCUCCGGUGAUAUCGUGCAACCCUUAGGGAGCAUACAUUUACCCUUUACUAUUGGUACAGGCCCUUACACGGCUACCAUUACCACUAACUUCCUAGUGGUUGACUGCCCAACGGCAUACAAUGUCAUCUUUGGGCGCACAGGCAUCAAUGAUCUCAAGGCUAUGGUAUCCACGCAUAUGCUGUUGAUGAAAUUUCCAACCCCCCAUGGCAACGGCUACAUCAGAGGAGAUCAGCUUAGUGCACGAUCAUGUUACAACACUUCAGUUAAGCAACAACACUUGCCCGGACCCAAGGAAACCCUGUCUGUACAUGACCAAGUCACAAAGACCAGCCUAGAUGAAGCGAACUUGGAUCUUCCUGAUAGCAACAAUCAACCCGAUGAUGAUCCUCGAGAUGACUCUUUCACCCAGCAAGCCCAACCUGCUGAAGAGUUGGAGAAGGUACCUAUCUCAAGAGAUUAUCCAGAUCGCAUGGUGAAGAUUGGCACCACAUUGUCACCACCCCUUCGGUUAGCAUUGAUAUCUUUUUUGAAAGAGAACACUGAAGUCUUCGCCUGGUCAUACGAGGACAUGCCAGGCAUCUCUCCCGAUGUCAUCUGUCAUCGUUUGAGUAUUGACCCCAAGAUCAAGCCGGUGAGACAGAAGCGAAGAUCUUUAUGACGCUGAACGAUACGAGGCAAUGAAAGCAGAAGUUGAAAAACUCAAAGGCAUAGGCUUUGUCCGCGAAGUCAAUUACCCGACAUGGGUAGCAAAUGUGGUCCUUGUUAGGAAAAAUCCGACCAAAGAAAGUCUUUCGCUUCAAAAGGUCUUGUGGAGGAUGUGUGUUGACUACACCGACCUAAACAAAGGGUGUCCGAAAGAUAGUUUCCCUCUUCCUCUUAUUGACAGGCUUAUAGACUCUACGGCAGGGUGUGAGCUCUUGAGCUUUAUGGACGCUUAUUCAGGAUACAACCAAAUCCUCAUGAACCCCUCAGACCAAGAACACACGGCCUUCACUACUGACAGGGGACUAUAUUGCUAUAAAGUCAUGCCUUUCGGCCUAAAGAAUGCAGGAGCAACUUAUCAGAGACUGGUCAAUUCAAUGUUCGCCGAACAAAUUGGGAAGAACAUGGAAGUUUACGUUGAUGAUAUGCUAGUCAAAAGCAAACAUGCUGACCAACACAUCACCAACCUAUCUGAAACUUUCACCAUUCUAAAGAGGUAUCGAAUGAGGUUGAACCCCAACAAAUGUGCCUUCGGCGUGGGCUCUGGCAAAUUCUUAGGCUUCAUGAUUAGCCAACGAGGCAUUGAAGCUAACCCUGAAAAGAUCAAAGCAAUCCUCGACAUGAAAGAGCCAAUAACUUCAAAAGACAUCCAAAGCCUUACUGGCAAGGUGGCAGCCUUAACCAGAUUCAUCUCUAAGGCCACAGACAGAUGUGCUCCUUUCUUCAAAGCACUCAAGGGAAAUAAGAAGUACAUUACAUGGACGGAGGAAUGUGCCAAGGCAUUCAGGAACCUCAAAGAGUACAUGAGUAAAGCCCCUCUGCUCUCCAAACCAGAAGUUGGUGACACUCUCAUCAUCUAUCUAUAUCGGUUUCGGCUUCAGCAGUCAGUUCUGUUCUUAUUCGAAUGGACAGUGGUGUCGAACGGCCCGUCUACUACGCUAGCAAGGCCCUACAAGAUGCGGAGACACGAUACUCCAACAUUGAGAAAUUAGCUCUAGCAUUGGUCAUGUCUGCUCGGAAACUUCGCCCUUAUUUCCAAGCACACGCCAUCAUCGUGCUUACCAAUCACCCUCUUCGACAGAUACUCCAGAGUCCUGACACGUCUGGACGAAUGAUCAAAUGGGCGAUAGCAUUGGUUGAGUUUGACAUCUCCUACCAACCAAAACCAGCCGAAAAAGGUCAAGCAGUAGCAGAUUUCAUCGCCGACUUCACAUAUCCUGUUGACAUUGCUUCUACACCUGAAGCAGUAGCUUCAUUACCAUCGGAAGCUCAGAAAGUAGAAUCAACGACCUCAGCAUGGAGUCUGUAUGUUGAUGGCUCAUCCAACCAACAGGGCUGUGGAGCAGGACUAGUCUUGACUACGCCCGACAAAGUAGCAAUGGAGUAUGCUCUUCGUUUCAAAUUCAAGGCAUCAAACAAUGAGGCCGAGUAUGAAGCCCUUCUAGCAGGAUUACGUUUGGCCAAACACAUCGGGGUUAAACAAAUUGAUAUUUUCAGUGACUCCCAAUUAGUGGUCAACCAGGUUACCAACAACUUUGAUGCUAGGGACAGCUCCAUGGCAGCAUAUCUUGCGCAAACACAACUUUUGCUCAAGCACUUCCACUACCAGAUCACCCAAGUUCCUCGAGCGGCAAACAGUCAUGCAGACGCCCUGGCUCGCCUCGCCUCAGCUGUGGAAGACAAGAUUGGAAGAAAAAUUCAUGUCGAACUGUUGGCCAAGCACCAUGGUCGCAGAAGUAUGCAACUUACAACAGGGGGAUAGUUGGAUCACCCCGAUCUAUACUUUCCUUGCUCAUGGCACCCUCCCAAAUGAUAAAGUCCAGGCUAAGCAAAUUCGAUACAAGUCUACCCGCUACCUAAUCAUCAAUGAUCAACUCUAUAAGCGAGGUUUUAGCCUGCCAUACUUAAGGUGUCUUACGCCUGCCGAGGCGGAAAUCGUCUUUCGGGAAAUACAUGAGGGAGUCUGUGGAGAUCAUGCUGGAUCUCGGUCCCUAGCACACAAGACUUUUCGCCAAGGAUAUUACUGGCCAACACUCCACCAGGAUGCCAUCAAAGUAUCCCGCUCAUGUGACAAAUGUCAACGAUAUGCAACUAUUCCUCAUUCCCCUCCAGAGCCUCUUACUCCUAUGAUCAGCCCUUGGCCCUUCGCCCAGUGGGGACUUGAUUUGAUCGGCCCAAUGCCGGCAGGGAAGGGCAAAGUCUGUUACGCAGUCGUUGCAGUGGACUACUUCACAAAGUGGGCCGAAGUAGAACCCUUGGCAACCAUUACUGAGGCAAAGAUAGAAGACUUCGUGUGGAAGAACAUCCUUUGUAGAUUCGGCAUUCCCAAUGCGAUAGUCACUGACAAUGGGCGACAGUUUGACAACAAGAAGUUUAGGUUGUUCUGCUCUAAGUUCAACAUCAACUUAUGCUUUGCCUCUCCAGCUCAUCCCCAGUCUAAUGGACAAGUUGAGGCCAUCAACAAAAUAAUCAAGCGCACUUUGAAAACCAGCUUGGACAAAGCUAAAGGCUGUUGGCCAGAAUUUGUACCCCAAGUUCUUUGGUCAUAUCGCACUUCAUAUCGGACUUCAACAGGAGAAACUCCAUUCUCACUUGCCUUUGGCACAGAGGCGGUUGUCCCUGUUGAGCUCGAGCAAGCAACAUUCCGAGUCCAGAACUACAUUCAAAGUGAAAAUGACAAACAACUCACCCUCAACUUGGAUUUAGUCGAGGAACACAGAAACCAAGCUCACUUGAGGAAUGUCGCCUACAAGCAGCGCAUCUCGAACUAUUAUGACUCUAGGGUCAAGCCUCGUUCUUUCAAAAUAGGAGACUGGGUCUUAAAAAAAAGAUUACUCUGCGACAGAGUCCCGAGUGAAGGCACACUUAGUCCAAACUGGGAUGGACCGUAUGAAGUCAUUGGCAUCAGUCGCCCUGGCUCUUACACACUUAGAAGCUCCGAUGGCAAGACCCUUGGCCAUCCAUGGAACGCUGAUCACUUGAAGUACUACUACAAAUAGACUCACGAUGUACAAAUGUUGAGCUAUAGCCGUUCGGCAUCCUAUGUAAUGAAGGCCAUUUGGCAAUGAAUUCAAUAAAGAGGUAAUUUAGCCAACUCAGCCCUCACUCUUUUACAUUCAUAGCAAGCGAUGCCGGAACCCUUCUCAAUCAGAAAGCAAUCCGUCUUCCACAGUCACUACAAAACAAGCAAAUGAAGACCGUGUCAAGCGCAAAAAAAAAAAAAAAAAAAAAAAAAAAAAAAAAACAGCUUCAUCCAAAAAGCUUCACCCGAAAAGCUUCACCUCCAAAGCUUCACCCACAAAGCUUCACCUAAAAAGCUUCACCCAAAAAGCUUCACCCGAAAAGCUUCACCUAAAAAGCUUCACCCAACAAGCUUCACCCGAAAAGCUUCACCUCCAAAGCUUCACCCACAAAGCUUCACCUAAAAAGCUUCACCCACAAAGCUUCACCAAAAAAAAAACUUCACCCGAAAAGCUUCACUUAAAAAAGCUUCACCUACAAAGCUUCACCUAAAAAAUCUUCACCUAGAAAGCUCCCUCUACAUACUUUCACCAUCAAAGCUUCACCAUCAAAGCUUCACCUAGAAAGCUUCAACACCAAAGCUUCACCUACAAAGCUUCAACACAAAACCUUGCUCCAAAUAAACAAAUUUUGUUCACAAAACCCAAGAUGCCCUUGAACUUGUACAAAAACAUUUGGGUAAACAUAAACAUUUUUUGUUUUACACCCACAAGGGCCCAAAAUUUUCCUUCUUAUUUAUUCACUUAUAUAUGUUCCCAAACAUAUUAUAAUAGAUCCAACAACAAGCCAAAGUCCCAAGUUUCAUAAUGGACAAAAGUACAAGCAAUUCAUCAAUAAUGAAGGUGCUACAAAAAUUGGAAUCUGCCCCAAAAUAGAAAUCCAACCCAAGAGACUUUUUCUCUCUCUCCCUCUUCCGCCUCCUUUCAUCUAUCAAAUUUCUGCAACCUCUGCUCUUCUCCAAUGGAGCUGAAUUUUGGACACCCUAUAGUUCUUGAGCAUAUGAACAACUUUCAAGAAGGAACCAUUUCUGUUUGAGCGACGGAAAUUAAAGUGUUGAAGCUCCAAACAUGAUAGUCGGCUUCUUGCAGAUUUCGAAGCUGUUGUGAUGUUUCGAAGAUCUGGAAAUAUUUAACCGUUAUUUCAUCCUGAAUUUUUGAUAUGUUAUGAAAGAGUCGAUGAGGAACAACUUCAAUGAAGAAAGCAUACCGAUCUGAACAAGAGAAAAUGGAGUUUCGAAGCUCACAACAAAUCUGACGGGUUGACAGAAAAAUAAUAACCCGUCAUUCAUCAUACCUGGAUUUCUGGAGUUAUACUGCUCCGAGGGAUCUCAAAUUUGGAUAUGUUGUAGUUCACAAGCUGAGGAACAACUUCAAUGAAGAAAGCAUGCUGAUCGGAGCAAGAGAAAAUAGAGUUUCAAAGCUCACAACAAAUCUGACGGGUUGACAGACAAAUGAUAAACAGUCACUCAUCAUACCUGGAUUUCUGGAGUUAUACUGCUCCGAGGGACCUCAAAUUUGGAUAUGUUGUAGUUCACAAGUUAAGGAACAACUUCGAUGAAGAAAGUAUGUUGAUCUGAACAAGAGAAAAUGGAGUUUCGAAGCUCACAACAAGUCUGACGGAUUAACAGAACAUUGAUGAACAGUUACUCAUCAUACUUGAAUUUCUGAAGUUGUACUACUCCGAUGGAUCUCAAAUUUGGAUAUGUUGUAGUUCACAAGAUAAGGAAAAACUUUCAUGAAGACGACUUUGCAAUCUGAGCUAUAGAGAAAGGUGUUAUCUUGCAUCCACUCAGGCUGAUUAGUGGAAACGAAAAGCAAUUCCACCAAAGAAAAGAUGAAAAAGAGAGAAAAGCCACUAAUUGCACUUGAUCUUGUCUAGUCAAUAGCAUGCAACAUCAAACACACAAAAGUUGGAAAUAUUUUUAGAUAAAGCAUAUACGAAUGUGUGACAUCGAAACAAGAAUUCGUUACUUUGACAAAUUAGUAACACGCGAGACACCUCAUUCGGCAACUCUCUUCGCCUGAAGACUUGGGGGACUCCCACCAUAUGCUACUGCACCUUGAUACUCGGCAGUCUCACAACCACUCAGUGACUUGGAUUUUUCAAGUCUCCAACCGAGAAGUUUUCCUCACUCGGGAAAUUAAGGGAACACUACCUCAAACUACAUGCUUCACUCACAAAGCUUCAACAAUACAGGUUUCAACAAAAGCAAAAAUUCAAAGAACUUUAUGAAGAAGGCUUUGGUGUAUUUAACACAAUAUGUUGAAAUGAAGCAAAGCUUAUUUAUUAAUAUUUUCGAUAAGCCACAAAUAUGUACAUAUACAUGAGUCAAAAUAAACAAACAAAAGGGAGCCUUCACAAAGGUUGCUUAGGGGAAGUCUCAGCAGUCGGUAGAGCCCCAGAAAGAGAAAGCACCAGAGGGUGGUUAUCCGGAGCCUCAGUACUUGACAAAACCCCAAAAGGAGGAGGCAUUGGAGGUUCAUCAUUUGAAGCUUCAUUACCAGGUACAGCCCCAGAGGACGAAGGCAAUAAAUGCCUUUGGAACAAACCCACAAACCGCUGAUGAUCAAGUAAAACCUUACCAUCAGAUUCCUUCAUCUGGUCAAGCUUCCUCUUCAUGUUUGUAGCAUAGUCAUGGGCGAGCCGGUGCAACUGCUUAUUCUCAUGCUUGAGCCCUCUAAUCUCCUGUUUGAGACUCAUCACUUCAGCAGCCAAUGAUUCAACUUGGCGGGUUCUAGCAAAUAGGCGUUGGGCCAUAUUAGACACAGAAUCUGCACACUGAACACUAAGAGCCAAAGAGUCCUUAACAGCCAACUCAUCAGACCGUUUGGAAAGUAGUCUGUUAUCUUUGGGAGUGAGAAGGUUCCUGGCCACCACUGCAGCGGUCAUAUCAUUCUUCAUCACAGAAUCCCCAACGGUAAGAGGACCAGUAGGGGAUAUGAAGGAUGGGCGCCAUAUGUUGUCUGGAGAAGGCGUGGCUGUCUCUUCUCCAAGGUUCAAGUCAAAACGACUGUCGGAGGGUCCAGACAUUUUCAAAUGUGUUGAAGAGGGAAGAGGUCAGACAAAUCAAGAUCUUAGAAGUGCAAGAAAUGAGCUUCUACUGGUAGAGAUUCAAGUGUGCUGUGGAACUUAAUGCCAGCCUCUAUAAAAAUCUGCACUCGACGGAGCUUCAGAAAUCGAAGAGGCGUUUGCUUUCUCAAAAGCUGGACUGCUCAGAGACCACGAGGGCCGAUCUCAGAAAUCGAAGAGGCGUUUGCUUUCUCAAAAGCUGGGCUGCUCAGAGACCACGAGGGCCGAUCUCAGAAAUCGAAGAAGCACCUGCUUUUUCAGCCUCGUCAGCACCUGUCACAUGCACAAUCAGCUUUGCGGAAAUUACGGGCACUCUGUUGAAGAUUUCUGGUGAAGUAGAAAGCACGUGAAUCUUACUGAUCAAUCAUCGCUCUCCAUAUGCACCAUCAACUCCUCGGGUACCACAUAUAACUUUGUCAAAGAUCUCUGACAAAGUUUAGGCACGAGAAUUUCGAAGUUCCAGCUACCCUACUAUUACCCAUAAGGGUAAAGGAACAGCACCACUGCUUGACAACUGGAAAGUCCCUAUGUGUGUCGACCUCCGUGUUUUGCGGCAGGACAGGUUGGCAAGAACGUCCAACCUUUACUCACAUUCGAGAAAAGACUCCCAACAUAAUUACUUUCUCAAAAACCGGAGUAGCACCGCUUUCCGAAUCUCGAGAGUCAGAUCCUCGACGGGAUUGCUUGUUCGAAAACCGAAGAGGCACAACUCUCAGAACUUCGAGAGCCAGAUUUCCUUAGAUAAAGCUUGUCUGUAAUCUCCACACGUAAUAUAUCAGCUUUCCAGAUACCACAUACCACUUUUUCAAAGUGCUCUGACAAAAUUAAAACACGUGAAGCUGGCAGCUCCCACUACAUUGCUGUGACCAAGAAGGGUAAAGGAAUAGCAUUACUACUUGUUAUUGGGAAAUCCCUAUAUACAUUGACCUCCCUCCUCAACGGACAGGCAAACCUGCAAAAAUGCUCAACCCUUUCUCGCAUUCGAAAAGGCACCCUCAACAUAACCUCUCGAAAUACUCAGCUUUAUUUCCCCCCGAUAAUACCUCAGCAAAUAAGCCACACCAAGAACAAGAGUAUCUCAUAUCAUCAGGGUCGAAAGCAAGAGUAUCCCAUAUCAUGCUUUCUCCCUGUCUUUGUCUUUGUCCUUGUCCACACCUGCAGGACAAGGAGAAAGAGAGCAGUCAGUCGGAACCUGAAAUCAAACCUCCAAUUUGGAACUGACUGCCUGGAGCCUUUGCCUGGUUGCUUACUUAGCAUUGCUCUCGAGUACUCAUCCUCAACUGCUGUCAAGGUCACGAAUUCCACCGGCAAAUACCUCAUGACAGUUGAUCAGAUAUUGGCUCUUUACACUGAAGCUGCCAAGCGUGGAUGAGUCACUAUGAAGGAAUGUUCUGAAGGACCAUUUAAAUGCAAAGGUUGCACACCACUUCUGCCAUGCAAAAGAUUGAAGCAGAAGGUUCAACGGUGAGCUGAAACAGAUCACUACAGCACGACACAUUUCCAUACCACAUUCAUUAUUCCGUCAACAGCAAAAGUAUCCCAUAUCAUCAAGGUCGAACGUACUCUAGAUUUGAUGGACUUGUUUUGACCCUCAAAUUUUUGAGUCGGCCUUAUACUCUGAAGGGCACCAGAAAACCCUCCAGCACAGUUCAAGAAUAAGCCUGUGGAAAGUUACUUCUUCAAAAGCAAAAGUAUCUCAUAUCAUCUCUUAUCCAUUUGCUUCUCCUUAUCCUGGCAGUUGAAUGAGAGACAAGGAGAAUGAGAACAAUCAACCGGAAGCCGAAGUCAAACCUCUGAUCCUGGGUUGCUUACUUGGAAGUUUGACUGCUUACCUUGUCUGUCACCUCUUUCGGCAGAUCUCCUAGCUCGGCGACUUGGGGGACUCCUACUAUAGGGUUUGUAUCACACUUGACUAAGCCCGAAACUACAACUAAGCUUCAAGUGAAAUUGAUACAUUACCUUGUGCGUCAACAUCAGCUAAAUACACCAUUCCCGGAUGAAGGAAAGGUACUUCCAGAGAAGGGCAGAUGAAGAUCAGACCACACUUCGGUACUUAGAAGUUUCGUGAUUACUCAAGGGAUUGGAUCUUGCAAGUCCCCAACCGAGGAGUUUCCCUCACUCGGGAACUUAGGGGAGCACUGUUUGUACCAUACUUGACCAAUCCCGAAACUACCGAGCACCGGCCAACGCUAUACUGUCAAGGACCCAGAAGAGUUCCCCUCCGACCAGGAGGCCAAUCACUACUGACACGUGUUAAGAUUAGAAGCCAAUCAGAGUGCAGCACGUGUCAACAUCAAGAACCAAUCAUAACAUGACACAUGUCAAUGUGACAAAGCUACAAGUUUUUCUAUAAAUAGGGGUCAUUCCCCCACAAUAUUGUCGAAUGCCAUUUGUGUUAAAUCAUUCACAAGAACUCACUAAAUUGAGAGCUUGAUCCUUUGUACUUGUGUAAGCCCUUCACUACUAAUAAGAACUCCUCUACUCCGUGGACGUAGCCAAUCUGGGUGAACCACGUACAUCCUGUGUUUGCUUCUCUGUCUCUAUUCAUUUACGUACUUAUCCUCACUAGUGACCGAAGCAACCAAGCGAAGGUCAUAAAACCUGACACUUUCUGUUGUACCAAAGUCUUCGCUGAUUUUGUGCAUCAACAAUCUCUAAUGCAAAAAGAACUUGAAAGCAGACAUUUUUGGACAGAUGCAUCUUCCCCAGCAAGCCUUGCACCUCAUCAAAUCUCUGCUGCUCCAUAAAUGAAUUAAUGAAGAUGAUCAUCAAGAGAAGAUCUUCCAUUUCUGUUUAAGUAUUCCUUCAAAUAGUUUUUCCCUAUCCUCCUACACAACAACAUUAGUAAACUCAAUAAUUUAAUGAUUAUAGUAAUGUAAAACAAGAUAAUUUUAAUACAUAAGAAUAGAACCUCCAACAAUAUGCAAUUGAAAUAUAAGUUUUUCCACUAUAAGAACAUCACCGUACCUUGAAAUUCUGGACAUCAGUAAGUGGAUAAGCAAGACAAAAGUUGGUACUUACAACAACAAAAGUUGAUAAUUAUCCUAAAUAAUGUCAUUUUGGCCUACAAGAGAUCGCAAACCAAGUCACAUUUUCACCAAGGAUGGGAAGUUCAUGAGUUGGAGGGCAAACAUAUUUCAUAGUGGUCAGAGAAAGUAAACUUCAGAAAGAAAAAGAAAUGUGCAAGGUUUUGAGAGGAUAGAUGUACACAUGUCUCACCUGGCUUGCAACAAGGAGAACUGCAUUGGCAUUUUCUUUCUUGUAAUUUAUCUAAAUGUGUUUUUGUCACCAUUGCAACCCGAUCAAUGUAUGGCUCGGUAUAUUUCUUAGCUUCCUGCAAUAACACAGAAAUGCCAUAAGAAAGAAUUCCAUCCACCAAAUCCAUAUAUUUAAAAAGUUCGCUUGAGGGGCUCACCUGAAUGUAAGGAUCUGCCAUAUUUUGUGCCUUGAAAACAAGUGGUCAUAUAGAACUCUUUGAUGAACGAUAUACAUCAACAGUUUUUGUAGUGACUAAUCAAAUGUUUGGUUCAAGAUAGGCUUUGAAUUCCAAAGACUGUUUCUUCAACCUUGGGAUCCAGUUCUUCAAAUUAAAAGAGGAAGAAUUAGAAAGGUUGCCAACUUGGUUCAAUAUCUCAAAUAGAAAAGUUGAAUGUACACUAAUUGUUCAGAAAAGAGGAAGAUGUCAAACACCAAAGCUGAGUCUAAUGACUUCAGAAUUUAUUAGUAAGAUAGGCUCUUGCUGCUUUAUGUUCCUCUUCAGAACUCGAGUUUUGAAACUCAAAUUUUGCCACUUAAUCCCAUAAAACGCAACUUGUGUCUCACUUUGUAUUUUGUAUUAUAUGAAGAAGAGUUGGGGAUAACAUAUUGUUCUGAUUCUUUCAACGAUGAUCCCAGCCCAACCCUUACCAUGAGCUUUCAUUUUUAAGGCCUGAGGACAAACAAAUAAAUGAAUACUUGGCUAUUCCAGUUUAUUCACCUGGCAAGUGAACAUCUUUAUUGGAGAAGUUUAACGAAUAAAGUUUGGAAUAUCAGACACACCUUUUCAAUUCCCAGAUUGAAGGCUGGUCUUCCAAGCUCAUUCCAGUAAGUCACAAUGUACGUCUGCACAUAAAUAUUGUGUCAUGAAAUUAGACUGACAUUGUUAUCCAACUAAUCUGCGUGGAUUUACCUGAAAAUAAUCUACAUGAACUCCAAAUGUAUGUGGAAGCCAUCCUCCAUGGACCUGAUCAUGGGUCAUAGCAGGAUUUAACUAUUGGCAGUAUGGUGAACUUAAUUUUAAAGUACUUGUAAAUGGUAACAAGAACAUGAUACGCUUCACUGUUAUUCAAGCUUAAAAGUUUGCAUAUGAUUAAUAAGAGAUGGGGCCAUAACAGAAUCCACCUUUAGGCAAUUGAUAAAUUUACUAAUUGACUAGUCUCACUAAACGAGGUAAAGACACAAGAAUUAAACCUAAAGUGAUAACAACAACGUUACCAACAACAGCAGGCAUUAGAAAAUUAUAGCAUUACCAUUUCCUUACCUUAGUCAAAUCUUCAAAUAUCGAAGAAAUCCCAAACUUCUCCUUCACCAUUUCUUUCUGAGAUAUCAAAAAAAUUAAUACCAUAUAGCAAUUGAUAGUUUCAGGUAGCAAAUAAACGGACAACAAACCUCUGCAACUUGAAGAUCAUGUUCAGUUUUCCGAAUUCCAGUCUUUUGUUCAUCAUUUACUUUUCAAAGCUGAAAAAGAAUAGAAAGAGAGAUUAAAUUGGCCAAUUAAAUUACACUAAAGUCUGCUUUUACAAAGAAAUUUUGCACCCAUGGAAAAUUAAACUUGAUUACAGAUUGUCUAGUUGUAUACACCAUGUAGGACCUUGACCGCAGAACUCCACAAUGAAGGGAUAUCUGAUCUACAACUCCAUAGAUAUUUAAAAGCUUUCAGAACUAAUCAAAACAAUUCAAAAUAACAUCAAAUCCUACGAGAAAACAGCUUCUCUUAAAAACACGCGAUUACUAAAAGAAAUAAUAUUGUAUAUCCAUGGCACCUGAACAACCAACACAUGUUUACAAGUAUACAAUUGUACUUUAAAAAUGAAAGGAGAUAAAGAUGAAAGCACUAAUCAUCCUCUUCCUCUUCUCUUACCUCUCAUUCUCUCCCUCCUCAUUCCAAGUCGCCGACUCCCAAUUCGAAGGCUACGGGACGAAAUAAAUGAGGACAACGACGACUACUCCUCACUCCCUCUUUCAACUCGCACCCGCCUUUUCCUCACCACCGCCUCCCAACCCGACUCACCUUCUGAUCUCUCCCUACCAGACCCGAUUCCCAACCUGAUUCCCGAUUCCCGAUUCGGACUCACCAUGUAUCCAUCUUCCCAAACCUUCCUUCACCAGCUUCGUGUAUUGGGAUGAAGAUGAGUUCGAAUGCCUCCCACUCCAACCCUAGAAAAUGCCCCUCAAUGACCCUGCAGUUACCAAAACUGCGAUUACCUCCUCCGAUUCCGAUUAUGAUUCCAAACUCUCCACCGAUCCCAACACCCCGCCGCUCCGAGAUCCUUUCUUGUGGAGAUCGUGUGCGGAGGGUUCCUACCAAGGUUUUCUGGCAACGAUGGAACUCAAGAGCCUCCACGAUUUGAUCUGGGGAAGGUAGUGAGAGAAAGGAGGUUGGAGAGAGAGAGAGAGUCUAAGGGAGGCAGAGAGAGAGAUGAGAGAACGGGAAGGAAGGGGUGCGGUGUGGGUGGGUUUAGGGGAGAGAGAGAAAAUGGGGUCUGGGGCCACAAGUAUAUGACAAAUAAUAAAAAACAAAUAAUUGUGCCUAGACCUGGCAGUUUUUGACACGACACAGUGACACGAUACGAAAAUAACAUGAAAAUAACGGGUUUCGGGUCAACACGAUAACUUAUUAGGUCAUUAUCGGGUGACCCGUUAAGAACCCAUUAAUAACGGGUUCUUAACAGGUAUACAUGCGAGUAACACGUGGGUAACCAGUUUCGACCCGUUAAGAAAAAAAUUAUUUUAAUAAUUUUAAAGUUUAAUUACUAAAAGAUUUAUUAUAAAAUACAAUAGUCAUAUUAAUAUAUACAAUAUAUUCUAUAUUAAAUAUAUAGUUUUGUAUUAUUGUUCUAUAUAAAUUAUAAAAAAAUUUAAAAAAAAGUUUUAGUCAUUAUUUAUUUUUAUUAUGAGAGUUCCUUAUUAUCAUUACUAAGAUAAAUUUUACAUACCAUAUUCUUGUCCAAAAUUAAAAUAUACUAGUAUAGUAUUUGUAUAUGCAAGAACUAAGAAGACAUACAUACAAGUAUGAAAAAUGUGAAAGAAUAUAUAAACACUCGUGAUUUAUCAUCAUUCCUCCACGAAUAGAUCAUUGUUACACUUAUAUUAUCGUUUAGAUUUUUAAAAUCCUUCAAACCCUCAUGAAUAAUGUUUUUUAUUUGAGGGAAAAAUUAAUAAAAUUAAUAAUAAUUAUUGUAGAAGUGUAAAAAAUGUAAAAAUAUAUAUAUACAAUCACUCAUAUAUAAAAAAAAUGUAAAUGCUUUAAAUUAAAGAUCAAAUUUAUUCAUUACAUUCUUAUAAGGUCGAGGAGUGUAUAUGUACAAAAUCAUCAAAAUCGAAGCUAAAAUAACCGUUAAAUUGUGAUUUUUCGUUUAUAACCGUCAACAACUUUUGUUCCGUUACGUAAUCUCUGAAUGUUUGUUUUUUACAAUUUUUUACGUUUGCAAUCUCGGAAUGUGUACAAAUAAGUUUGACGGUUUGAUCGUUGAAAAAAGUUUCGUAGAAUGCAUAUUGCAUCAAAACGGUAUAUUAAACAAACACUUAGGGUUAAUAUUAUACUUCUAUUAAGUAUAAAAUAAGUUUUUGUGGUAUCCACUAGUGUAAAUACUUUAAAUUAAAGAUCAAUUUAUUCAUUACAUUCUUAUAGGGUCGAGGAGUGUAUUUGUAAAAAAUCAUCAAAAUCGGAGCUUAAAUAACCGUUAAAUUGUGAUUUUUCGUUUAUAACCGUCAAAAUCUUUUGUUCCGUUACGUAAUCUCUGAAUGUUUGUUUUUUAUGAUUUUUUACGUAUGCGAUCUCGGAAUGUCUACAAAUAAGUUUGACGGUUGGAUCGUUGAAAAAAGUUUUGUAGAAUGCAUAUUGCGUCAAAACAGUAGAUUAAACAAACACUUAGAGUUAAUUUUAUACUUCUAUUAAGUAUAAAAUAAGUUUUUGUGGUAUCCACUAGUGUAAAUACUUUAAAUUAAAGAUCAAAUGUAUUCAUUACAUUCUUAUAUGGUCGAGGAGUGUAUCUGUAAAAAAAUCAUCAAAAUCGGAGUUAAAAUAACCGUUAAAUUGUGAUUUUUCGUUUAUAACCGUCGAAAACUUUUGUUCCGUUACAUAAUCUCUGAAUGUUUGUUUUUUACGAUUUUUUACGUGUGCAAUCUCGAAAUGUGUACAAAUAAGUUUGAGAGUUGGAUCGUUGAAAAAAGUUUCGUAGAAUGCAUAUUGAGUCAAAAUAGUAGAUUAAACAAACACUUAAAGUUAAUAUUAUACUUCAAUUAAGUAUAAAAAAACACUAGUGUAAAUACUUUAAAUUAAAGAUCAAAUUUAUUCAUUACAUUCUUAUAGGGUCAAGGAGUGUAUCUGUAAAAAAAUCAUCAAAAUCGGAGCUCAAAUAAUCGUUAAAUUUUGAUUUUUCGUUUAUAAUCGUCGAAAACUUUUGUUCCGUUACGUAAUCUCUGAAUGUUUGUUUUUUAUGAUUUUUUACGUAUGCGAUCUCAGAAUGUGUAAAAAUAAGUUUGACGGUUGGAUCGUUGAAAAAAGUUUUGUAGAAUGCAUAUUGCGUCAAAACAGUAGAUUAAACAAACACUUAAGAGUUAAUUAAUCUAUUAAGUAUAAAAUAAGUUUUUGUGGUAUCCACUAGUGUAAAUACUUUAAAUUAAAGAUCAAAUUUAUUCAUUACAUUCUUAUAGGUCGAGGAGUCUAUCUGUAAAAAAUCAUCAAAAUCGGAGAUAAAAUAACCGUUAAAUUGUGAUUUUUCGUUUAUAACCGUCAAAAACUUUUGUGCCAUUACGUAAUCUCUGAAUGUUUGUUUUUUACGAUUUUUUACGUAUGUGAUCUCGAAAUGUGUACAAAAAGUUUGACGGUUGGAUCAUUAAAAAAAGUUUCGUAGAAUCCAUAUUGCAUCAAAACGGUAGAUUAAACAAACACUUAGAGUUAAUAUUAUACUUCUAUUAAGUAUAAAAUAAGUUUUGUGGUAUCCAUAGUGUAAAUACUUUAAAUUAAAGAUCAAAUUUAUUCAUUACAUUCUUAUAGGGUCGAGGAGUGUAUAUGUAAAAAAUCAUCAAAAUUGGAGCUCAAAUAACCGUUAAAUUAUGAUUUUUCGUUUAUAACCGUCAACAACUUUUGUUACGUUACGUAAUCUCUGAAUGUUUGUUUUUUAUGAUUUUUUACGUAUGCGAUCUCGGAAUGUGUACAAAUAAGUUUGACGGUUGGAUCAUUGAAAAAAGUUUUGUAGAAUGCAUAUUGCGUCAAAACAGUAGAUUAAACAAACACUUAGAGUUAAUAUUAUAUUUCUAUUAAGUAUAAAAUAAGUUUUUGUGGUAUCCACUAGUGUAAAUACUUUAAAUUAAAUAUCAAAUUUAUUCAUUACAUUCUUAUAGGUCGAGGAGUCUAUCUGUAAAAAAUCAUCAAAAUCGGAGAUAAAAUAACCGUUAAAUUAUGAUUUUUCGUUUACAACCGUCGAAAACUUUUGUUCCGUUACGUAAUCUCUGAAUGUUUGUUUUUUACGGUAUUUUACGUAUGCGAUCUCGGAAUGUGUACAAAUAAGUUUGACAGUUGGAUCGUUGAAAAAAGUUUCGUAGAAUGCAUAUUGCGUCAAAACGGUAGAUUAAACAAACACUUAGAGUUAAUAUUAUACUUCUAUUAAGUAUAAAAUAAGUUUUUGUGGUAUCCACUAGUGUAAAUACUUUAAAUUAAAGAUCAAAUUUAUUCAUUACAUUCUUAUAGGGUCGAGGAGUGUAUCUGUAAAAAAUCAUCAAAAUCGAAGCUAAAAUAACCGUUAAAUUGUGAUUUUUCGUUUAUAACCGUCGAUAACUUUUGUUCCGUUACGUAAUCUCUGAAUGUUUUUUUUUUACAAUUUUUUACGUAUGCAAUCUUGGAAUGUGUACAAAUACGUUUGACGGUUGGAUCGUUGAAAGAAGUUUUUGGACAGCCAGCAAUAGAUAAUUUUGUAGUAGUGAAACCUUAAAUUUAGUUAACCGUCGAUUGUCAUUUACGCUUUAUUCUUAUUACUGAAUUUCAUUUUUAAAAUUUUAUUUUUAGAAAACAUGAUCAUCUGCGCGGAUGUAAGAAGAUGAUAUCACGUUUCGAUAUUUACGGUUAACUGAAAUAUGAGUCAAUGUCAUAUAAUUUGUAGAAACUUUAUAAACAUCAAGCAAUAUUUUCACUAACCAUAAAACCCUAAAUAUAAUAUCAAUGAUCCAAACCAUUCAUCUACCUGCACCCUCUAAUAGAUCAUGUUUUCAAAAAAGAAAAUCUAAAAAAACGAAAUUUGAUGAGAACAAUGAAGCAUAAAUGUAAACAACAAUCAACGGUUAAAUUUUGAUCUAUGAUUUAUAUGAUUAUAGUGGCGAAUUUCGAAGUUAAGCUCUUCAUGAAAGUUAUAAAACUUGUCAUUACGAGUGUUUAUAUAUUUUUUUCUAUAUUUUUUUACACUUCUACAUUAAUUAAAAAACUAUUAAAGACUUUAGGUAAACGAAAAUAUACUUAAAACAAAAUUGCGUUUUUAUGUUUUUGAUGUGAUAAUAUGGAAUGUAUAUACUUAUUUAGUAUUAUGUUUUCAUUUGAUUAUUUAUUGGUUUAAAAUAUAUUUUCCUUAACGGGUAACGGGUCGGGUCAUAUUACCUGUUAAUAUUAUCGGGUCGAUUUCGGGUCGGGUCAUUUUACCCGUUUAUUUUAACAGGUGUUAUGAUGAGUAGAUUUUAUAUUAUAUAUUUUACCCUAAUCUUUGUAUAUUUUGGUUAAUAUUUUGGAAGAAUUUUGAUACUUUGAAUUGUAUUUUCAAUAUAGGACUUUGGAUUUCCUCUGGAGAAAAACAGGACCAAAUGGACGAAUUUUGGAGUAAUUCUAGUUGGAGAACGUUCAUGAGUCACUUAGCUUAAUCGUAUCAAAAUUUUGGAUUUUUCCACCAAGCGGUUAUUUUCUGGCGAUAAAAUAAAGAAGCAGUGCGCAGUGCUGGAAAAUGGCGUUUUUGGGCUUAAAUUGCAUUUUUGGAGCCCAAGAUGACCUCGAAUGGGUUCGUGGCCUUCUGGAGAAGUGUUCAGAAUAUUCCAAACAUUAAAUCCAGCUAUAUUGGGCCAUUUUUGGAGCAGCUUAUGGGCCAAAACGUGGCUGUUCAGAUUUUAGACGAAUUUUAUCAUUUAAUUUAGGGUUAUGUUUCCUAGGGUUUGUGUGGAGGCUUAGCAGAUAUAUUGCUUGGCCGUCUACAGUUUUUGGGGACAAUAUUUUUUUUAUGCAAUUUUGGAGACAGAGAGAAGUGCUAGGGUUUUGGAGAUUUUCUACUUGAAGGUGUUUUCAAUCCUUUUCUUAAGAAUAUUUUCUAUGAUUUCAAUUAUGAGUAUGCGUAACUAAUUCCUUUUGCUAGGGCGAAGCCUUGAGCCUUAGCAUGAAUAUGUGAUUUUUAUUUAAUUGCUUAUGAUUGAUUGCAUGCAUACUUUGAAUUGUUAAUCACCGGGAUAAAAAGUAUCUAAUUGCUUUAAUGGCUGAUCACCAUUAGGAUCUUUAGAAAAGUAAUUUGAUGCAAUUUUGGUCAGAAGGUUCCCUGAAAUUGACGCUGGCUUCUUGUGAUUAAUAAUUGUAAUUUCGCUUAGGAUGAAUAUCACGUCUUAAGGAUUGCAUGGUUUUUCAAAGGAUUUUCAUAAAGCGUAAUGAGUCUUUCAUGUUCAGAUUUGAUCCGAACGUCCGGACGGGUUGCAUGUUAGAUAUACGUUAUAUGUUGGAGGUUCCAAGUAGAAUAUGAAUUAGGAAAAUCUAACCUUCAAAGUGGCAUGUGUAGAUUAUAAGUAAUUGGUAAAAAUUCAUAGGAUUGCUAGGUGAUGGUGGAACCCUAGUGUUUUCUUAAUUUGAUUCUCCCAAAACUGUUUUCUUCUCUCUAGCUCUAAUAUUGCAGAUUGUUUAUUUUAAUUCAUUAAUUUCGUUUUUAUUUUAAUUAGGUUAUAAAAUCAAUCACCUAAACUUCUACUUUACAAUAAUUAAAUGGAAUCUGAUUAGUUUUGAAUUAUUUAAUAAUCCAUGUGGAGACGACCUUGCGAGAUCCGUUUAUACUACAAUAACUUCGUGAUUCUUGCAAGUAAAAUAGGAGAAUUAAGCCCGUUCACAUGAGUAGUAAAAAUCCUAUCAAGAAAAUGGCGCCGUUGCCGGGGAUCGAACCCGGGUCACCCAAGACAACUAGCUAAAACUCAACCAUGACAAAACUUCCACCUUCAAGUUGGCAAUCCAUAGCAAAUUUAAAAAACUAGAACAUUUUCAAAAGUUCCAACCAAUCCCACCACAGAGUCUAAACCAUUUAGAAUCAAUUAGAAAGGAAUUCACAAACUUCAUUUGGUGUAAAGUGAACCACAUAGUUAAAGGGACUCGACUAAAACCCUUACCUCUAGUCUUUCUUUAUUUCACACAUACUAACUUUAAAUAUAACUCUCUUUCUUUUUUUUCUUUUUCAAUUAUUUUUUCUCUUUUUUUUUCAUAUAUAACAUUUUUUUUUCAAUAACAGUAGUGGUCGUGCAAUGUUGGUUCACUUAAGCUUUCGAUCCAACCCAUGUAGCGAGCUUUAGGUCAAUGACACCCAAACCACUAGGGCUUUAGGGCACUAGGUGUAGAACACCCCUAAGGACUUAUUAACUCGAACUGAAAAGGCUACGAAACCAACUAACCAUCCUGCCCCAUGCCAAAACUCUACCGUUUGACGCGAGAAUCACUGCUGAUUAGGCAGGACUGGCCCGGUUACUAGGCAAAACCUCGGGUGAGACAAUUAUUACUUUAUUCACAAUAAUAACUGACUUUACUUAAAACAAAAAUUAAAAAUAAACUUAGACUAAAAGCAAGUGUUUCAAUCUCACUCCCCACAAACCAUGUUGGUGUGAUGUGCAAAGUUCAAAGUAUAAUUCAUGAAUUAGUGUCUAAGCAACGAUAAAUAGAAAAGACUCUACUGUGGGAUUAAUCUUCACCAUGUCCAUUUGUUCCAACAUUUAAAAUAAUCUAUGGAUAUUAACUUAAGAAGAAUGAAAAUUUUAUCCUGACACAAAAAUUAAAAAAAACUAAAAUUUACUUUCCCACCCCCAAACUUAUUUCACACGUUGUCCUCAAGGGUGUGGAAACAAAAAGAAAACUAAAAAAACAAAAGAAUAAAACACAAAAACUCUAGUGGACACUUUAAAAAAAACGACAACACUAUAAGAAGAAAUAAAAAAAUAACAAAUAAAAUAACAAAUAAAAUAAAAAUCAAAGAAAGAAAAACACCUGGCAAGUAUGUCAGCCCACUCGCAAAGGAACAUUGGAUUCCUUUCUUUGAAAGGCAUGCAAUUGGCAUGCCAUGUGAAAAGUGGCGUGCAGCUGGCAUCAGUCUACUGUCUCUGUCAGUCAUCAAACAUAGAGCCCAAACGGCUCUCUCCCCUCUCUUCAAACCCUGUCCUAGGGAAAGAAAAGGUCCAUAGGAUGCGCCCACUUGUCAUGCAUCAGAAAGAGAAGGUCCAUAGGAUUCUAAAUCAAGGGUUAAGAUCAACCCCAUAUGCCCAUCUAACUCUCUCUAGAAAGUCUAAAAAUGCUUUUACUCUCUCCAUUUCAAAGCAAGUCCUUCUGCCUCCAAUUUAUUUUUUUCGCAUUUCUCUCGGAUCCCAUGUCUCUGCUCUCUCUCCUUCAUGGCUUCUCAGACCCCAUUUCUCUAUAAAAUAAAUAAUACCUUUUCCCCCCACAUUUUUCCCUCAUUUCCACAGUUGCUUCUUCAUAUUCGCUAAACGUGGCAUCCGUGCUGCAACCAACAGCCCAGCUAUCUACACACCUCCGUGUUUCUCGAACACAACCAUGGUGACAGGAGUGGAAAAACUGAUAGGCAGGAAGGUAAAUCCCUGCUCAAAUCUUGUGGAUUUCCUGUUCAGAUUUAUGUGUUUUAGAGAACUGGAACAAAAACUAACACAUGCAUGUGGUUUUAUCAGUGUGACGACCCCUAAUGGUUUCAAAUCCAAGACAACAACACAAGAACACACCCUGAGUCGCCAGCUCUGCUCAACCAAGGAUCUGCAAAUGUUGAGGUAAAACCCGUAACCCUUUCGAUGGAUUGACGCUUAUCUGAUAUUUGAAUAAUAUAACCACUGAUGGGACUGAAAAAUGACACUUAAAUCCAGCGUAUAACCGAGAGAAAACAAGCUUAAGUUGCCGGUCUAAUGGUCCCAGAACGCAAACUAAACGGCAAAUGUCUCGACCGCUGCAAAUCAUGAAGGUAAAGAUCUCGUUCUUUUGCAGUUGCUAAACUCAACAUUUACAUGUUCAACGACAGUUCAUUAUAAUGCCAUAUUUAACCUGUGUGUACUCAUAUUUUCGCUCUUUAUGAAGGGGUAUACGAAUCCAUGAUAGAGCCAAAGAAACAGAAGUAAACACACAAGUUCAAUGGAUGAAAACAGCACAGGCCGCAUGACCCAGAUCGGUGCAUCUGGGAGGUAAAAUUCGAAUCCCUGCAAGUGUAGUUGUUGUAGAUAUGGUAAUAAUAAUAGUUGUACUCAGUUCUGUGGUGUACGGAUCUGUGAUUUAAUUGUGCUUCCUCCAUGCAUCGCAAAACUGAGCUGCAGAAAAUUAACUGCUCUAAAUUAUGUUUCUGUGCUGGAUCUGCAACAAUCUCCCCCAAACUUGCAUCUGUGAAUGUCUUGUUAUGUUGACUGCUUUAAAUUUCCAGCAUAGUGUAGAUGUGGUUGAUGUGAACGUUAGACUUGCUGCUGGGUGCAAGAUUCCAGCAUAGGACGCGCUUUAUUUUCCACGUUCGCAACCUGCAAUUAACCAAUAUGCGUAUAUUAAAAAAGGAGCUAAAAUCAACAUGCGUAAAUGAAGAAAGCGACAUAUUUUUGAAUUUUUCAUGGUCUUUUUAUUUUUUUUGUUUUUGUUUUUGUUUUUGUUUUUUUAGUUUUUUGUUUUUUGAAAACUUAGGUCUAUAUAUAUGCAUCUAGAAUUUAAACUUAUAAUAAAAAAAAUCAAACAAAAAAAAAAAAAUAAGGAAAGAGUUUAGAAAAAUUGGGUUGCCUCCCAACAAGCGCUUUAUUUUAAGUCUGUAACUAGACGUUGCAGAACUCCGGUGGCUAGAUCACUGGUGCCUUCAGAGUCAAAGACUCGCUUUCACCAAAUUUCCCUAUGCAUGGUUUUAGUUGAUAUUUCUUGACCUUGAGCAAACAACCCCUGCCCAAAAUGAUGGGUGUUGUCAAAUCCUCAUCCAUGUCCAACACCAUAAAAUCAGCUGGUAAAUAUAAGUUGUCAACCUUCACAAUAACAUCUUCAAUGACUCCUCUAGGAUAGGUAAUUGAACGGUCAGCCAAUUGAAUAAUACUGGAGGUUGGCUUCAGCUCUCCUUCACCUAAACGUUUAAAAACAGAAUAAGGCAUUAAGUUUACACUUGCACCUAAAUCAGUUAAAGCACUUUUAAAAUCAGAAUUGCCAAUAGUACAAGAGAUAGUAAAACUCCCUGGAUCUUUUUUCUUUGGAGGCAAUUUAUGCAAUAAGACCGCACUGCAUUGUUCUGUUAAAAUUACUUUUUCGGAAUCCACAAGCUUCUUUUUCUUUGUACAAACGUGCUUCAAAAACUUGGCAUAAGAUGGAAUGUUCUUGAUUGCAUCAAUUAAUGGAAGAUUAAUUUGAACUUUAGCCAAAGUCUUCAAGAAAUCUGUCAACUGUUGAUCUUUAGCUUUAGGCUUCAACCUUUCGGGAUAAGGCAUAGGAGGCUCAUAACACGUUCUGCAGUUUUUGUGGUAGCUUAUGCAGUAUUUUCGGAUCUGUCUUGGGGCUGCCCAGAAUCUGCAGAAAUUGCAGAAUCUGCAAAAAUUUCAGAUUUAGUUUGGGGAUGUUCUGCUGCCCGCGAAUUUCCAGCGGAUUUUUCAUUUCUAUUGUAACUUUUGCCAGACCGUAAAGUUCGUAUAGCAUUGCAUUCUUCUCGUCCUCUUAGAUUAGGUACUGUUUGACUAGGAAAUGUACCCGGUGCUCUUUCUGAAACCUGCAAAGCAAUCUGUCCCAUUUGUUUUUCCAUGUUUUUCAUUGCUGCCUGUAUAUUUUGAAUUUCUUGAGUGGUAGUAUUUGCCAAUUUUUCAAUUGCAACCUCCCAAGCAACCUUAGGUGCAGCAGGUUGCUGUUCCUGCUGUUGAAAUUGAGGCCUAGAGUGCUGGUCUUUGUCCCACCUUAGAUUUGGCUAAUCUUUCAAACCUGGGUUGUAGAAAUUAGAAUACGGGUCAUAUCUAGGACGCUGGAAAUUGUUAAAUGAAUUAACCUGCUCCACUAUAAACUCCGGAUAAGCAUCUUUAUGUGGACAACUCAAAAAAUCAUGAUUUGUCAAGCUGCAAAUGCUGCAGGCAGCUUGUAAAGGCUGCUGUACAGCAACCUGUGAACCCGAAAUUCUUUGUAAUAACAUGUCAAAUUUUGCAUCAAAUCUUUCAAGCUUUUUCUCCAUUUUUUCAAUUUGUGCCGACACAUAUGGUGAACCAUUAGACAUCUCAAAAAAGGAUCUAGAUUGUGGCUGCUCAACUGCCCACUGCUGAGUAUCUGCUGCCAUUUUUUCAAAUAACAAAUAAGCCUCUUGUGCAUUUUUAUCUUUGUACGAACCUCUGCAUGAAGCGUUGACAAGAGUUUUUGUAGUCAUAUUCAACCCUCUGAAAAAUAUAUGCAUUUGAUCAGUAGUGUUAAUACCUGAGUGUGGACAUUUUCUAAUCAACUCUUUGAACCGCUCCCACGCAUCAUGAAACUCCUCAUUUGGCUUUUGGGCAAAAGAUAAAAUCUGAGUUCUCAUGUCAAGAGUCUUAGAAGCCGGAUAAUGCUUGUUUAAAAAUUUUUCACUAAGUUGGGCCCAAGUUGUAAUGCUUCCAAAUGGGAGUGUGAGGAGCCAUCUCCUUGCUUGAUCUUUUAGAGUAUAAGGAAAUAAGCGCAGCUUAAUAGAUUCGGCUGAAAAUCUCCUCACCAAAAUGUUUUUGCACCCAUUAAAAAUUCUGCAAUGUGCAUGUUAGGAUCAUCAGAUGAUAACCCAUGAAACGUAGGUAGAAUAUUCAACAUGUGCUGUUUUAUUUCAAAUGCAGUCCCUUCCUCCACUGCCGGAUAAGUAAUGCAACUUGGUAUAUUUGUGGUAUGGGCAAUCAGUGACUCACCCAGAGGCAGACCAGCCUCUGGAAUUACAAAUGCCAUUUUUUCUUUGCUGUGCAGGUCCCCAGAAAAGAAUGAUUGCAGAAAAGUCUCCUGCAGAGGACGAACCCUCUGCAAAGUUUGUGAAGGAUUUAUUUUGAAAAACAUGUUCAUUUGAAUAACAUCUAUAGCAUGCAAUUAACAAAUUAAAGGCGGAAUCAUGCUUGUAUGCAUUCAAAAACAAAACAUUACCCAUGAAAUUCAAAGCCUAGUAGAUUGGUGAACCAAUAAUCAACUCAAAACAAAGUGAGUUGAAAUUAAUACCUUUGUAGAUUCCUCUUUGCAUAAGCAAAGGCUAAUCACCCAAAGAGAUAGGGCCUUCAUUCCUUGCUUCUUAGAUCCAUGGAUUUGGAUGGAAGAAUAGGUUCUCCAAGUUCCCAAAAUUGAGAACCUCUAAGUCUCUUCACCAAGGUUUGAUUGUAGAAGAAAUGAGUGACCUUGGAGUAGUAGGAUUGCUAGAUGUACCCUCCAAGGUGUUGGCCUCUUUAGAGAGAAAAUGGAGAGACAAUUCUCACCCAUUUUCACCCAAAAUAAACCCUUAAUCACAUUAUGAAUAUUUGGCUAUAAAGUCCUUUAUAUAGUCCCUUCAAAUAAGUGACCUAAAGAACAAAAAACCCUAAUUCAUCUACAUGGCCGGCCUACUUUGGGAUUUUUGGGCUUUUGGGCCUUUGUGAAUCUUUAUUCAUUAAGUUGUCAUACAUCUUAAGUCAAUGGGCUUGACAUUCGAAGCCCAUUGGGCCUUAAGGUCCAAAAUUAUCCCGAGGUCUUUAACGAACUUAUUCGUUUGAUUAAUUAACAUAUUAAUUAAUCCUUGCCAUAAAUAAAUGAUUAAACCAUUUAAUCAUUCUUACUCAUUUCCGUUUAAUCUUCAAUCUCCACCUUUUAUGGUGUGCGAUCCAUUAGGUUCCUUUUAGCGAGGCAGUGGGGGGCGAUUAAAACCAUUUUACAUCGAUUGUGAAUUGAAACAAUUUUCAAUUCUCCCUUUAGUGGUUAUACACGUAUAGGGCUUCCACAAACCAUGGUUGACGCCUAGCAGCAUGUCAUGGUUACCCAAGCUAAUCAGAAGAGGUUAGAGAACCUAUUCAGUUCGGGAUUACAAGUGCAAUACGGUCCUUCUCUAAUCUAAUACUCUUGACCACAUUGUUUGGUAUGAUAGUUUAUUUACUCAUGUCUACUAUCCAAUGUGAAUCGUUUGCUUAUAUGAUUUCCUUGAAUGUGAUUUGGAACGCAUUCCCCAAUCUUAUUCAUACUCUGGCCAGAGAUUCCAAAUCAUAUCAUAGAGUAUUCUCCCUCAACUGUUUGAAGGUUAGAGAUCCCUUGUUGCGCAUUCACUUGUCUCCAUAGCUAAGUGGCUUAACCCCAACGAUGCCGUGACACCCCGAGGGGGUGAAUUAGACAUAAUCAAAGAUUAAGGACUUAACCACAAGACAACUGUGAUGCCUCAGGUCAAAGGACAACUUUGCAUUAUCCCAACCAUGAGUUCUCAUGUGACAUGGAAUAUAAGAACUCUUCGUUGAUCACGUUCAGUGAACUCAUUCUCUUAUUUGAGCACCUACGUACUUGUCUUGAUGUCACACACACCAAUGACUCGAGACUAGUCACUCUCCCUGAGAGAAGACACAGUACGUACUGAUCUUAACGGACUGUCAAUGCCCAAUUGGUAAUCCUAUGAUCAGGAACAUUUAGGAUGUGUCUACGAAAGAAUGGUCUCAUUAAUCUAACUUCAUUAGAUUGCAUUCUCCCAAUCACAUAUUCCUUGGACUUUAUCGUUUAAGCAUAUAACAUUUAUAUGAGACGGCUCAAACAAUAAUCUUUGCCCUUUAUAUGUUAAACUAGAUUAGUUUAACAUUUGAAAUGUCCGUAAAGUAUCAUCAUAUGAUUGGUUUUAGGGCACAUUUCCAACAAUCUCCCACUUGCACUAGAGCCAAUCAGCAUUGGUCAUCAGUGAUGAUACCUCUUCUGUAGUCAUUUCAUAAAUGGCUGAAAAGUAGGCCUAGACAAUGGAUAUCUAUAUGUUAUCCAUAGAAGCAACGUUGAGAAUAUCGACUUCACCAUUAUACAUGAUUCUCAAUCAUGAGGUUCAGUCUCUCAUUUGUGUUCGGAUCUUGAUGAGCCCUUGAUUCCCAGGCUUGAGCUAUCGCCCCAUUAGUGUCAUACACUUUCUGGUUGGAACCGUAUAGAGAGUUCAUAAAUGAACUUUCCCAUCCAAACAACAUUGUUGUAAACUUCUAUAUGGCAAUAUAUCUUGCAUUCAUAAUGGAACACACUAAAGUCAUUACUUUAAUGUUUCCAUCCAAAUAUCUCUUUAGUCAUAAUAAAGAGAUAUCUGUUUAUUUCUUCAUUCGUAAUGAAGAAACAUCCAAUGAUGGAUUAGAUUCAUAAUCUAAUACAUUUACGCUUCCAUUACGUUACUCUAAUUCUUCCUCGAUCUUUGAGGAAUUUAUCCUUUAGUAUUUCUUAAAUACUUAAGGACUCACUUGACAGUUGCCAUGGUUCUGAUCCUGGGCUUGUAUUGAUAUCGUCUUGUACCGUUCUCGGUACAACUCAUAUCAAUGUUUUUCAUACAAUAUGAAAUACAUAAAUCCCCUUUCUGUUUACGCAUAAAGGAUUCUAUUUACGCAUUAUUUCUUUGGGAGUCAACAACUUCUUAGUCUUACUAGAAUUGUCCAUUUGAUUGAAGUUUAUCAUCAUAUGAGAAACUUCCCAGCAUCUCUUGUCUAUUAUUGGGGAUUGAUACAAUCCAAUUAUAUCCUAAAAUCUAUCAAUAUAGAUUUCAUUCCCAUGUAUAUAGACUAUAUCUCCCAUAUACAUUCUAUCGUUUAUAGAAUGCUUAAAGUCAUAACUUUAACGAAGAAGAAUUCAUUUCAUUUCCAAAAUUAAUAUAUCAUAUAUAUUUUAAAUUUUAGGAACAUGAUUAACUCCCACUAAUCUUUUGUAAAACUCGUAAACAAAAGAUUCAUUUACAUCUUGAUGAGAAAUCAAACGAUUUGAUUCUUUUUCCUCAUAAAAUGCAAAUAGCUCCCACUAACUUGCUAAGAUCCAUGAUGGAUGGAUCUCUACAACUUACAUGUCUUGUGAUUUAUAGUUUUGGACAUAUAUUAUCAAGACUAUCUUAAUAAUGGUUUCGGAAACCCAUAUUAUGUCAAAACAUUGAAUCACCAUUUUAGUUGUAGCUAGCAAUCUUCGAAUUAAUUGAAACCAAGCCUACCUCAAAGAUGGUUUCUUCAAAGUCAACCAUUCUCUUUGAUUGUAGUUACCUUAAGCUACCAAUUAGCUAUGAAGGUUUUAUUAUUUCGAGUCAAAUGGUACUUUACCAUUUCCUUGAGCAUGUAUCAUAUAUACACUCAAUGUAGUCAUAAGGAUUUUCAUUCUUAUUUCUUUCGAAUUAAGAGGUGCAACUCUAUGACAUAGUCAUAAAGUUCAAACCAUUCAACUGAGACGGUUUAUAAAUCCUUCUUGACUACCUUGGAGCUUAAGGUAUAGGAACUAGGUUGUUAUAUUUGUUGAUUACUUUCUUGUCUCUCAAAGAACCCAUUCUUCGAGUUCUAUCUCUCGUUCAUUUGCUUUUAGGCAAAUCACAUUGUAGAAUUACAAUGAACUACCCAACAAAACAACAUUUGUUAGUUGGUUUAUAGAAGCGAUAUCCAAAAGUUAAUUUAAGGAUAUCCUACAAGAUUGUUAUCAAACAAAUAUUGCUUAUUAGCACACAACCUCAAAUCUUAACAUGCUUAAGAUUUGUCUUUCUUUCCAACUACAUCUUAUGGAGUUAUGAAAAUUUUGGAAGAUCUUCUAAUUGACAAUUAUAUUGUUUUUAGAAGUAUAUAUCCUAUAUAUGGGUAAUAGAUAACAUCUAACGAACUAAAUCUUAUUUGAGUUCGUUCUUCUCCUAAUGGAGAAAUACAUUAUCUUAUGAUGCUAUUUUCCUUGAUAUCUUUCAAGGAAACUCAUCUAAAGUGUUACCUUUCCUUGGAUCAAAUCUAAGGAGGUAAAUACUUUAGAUAUCUUACUCAUCUAUUUACAUUUCUUGAAUUCUUUGAAACCUUUUGCAAAGUAUUCGGACUUGUGUUUAUUCAAAAUAAACUAUAGUCCAACCGAGAGUGAUCUUCGGUGAAUGUCAUAUAACAUGAGUAGUAUUAUGUUGUGGACAAGUGCCACUAACAUCUAAGUGAAUUAACCUCAACAACUUUGUGAUUCUUUCUUCUUUUUCCAAAAGAAUAAAGAUUCGAACAUUUCGCCUCCAUACAAUUUUAACAAGAAGGUAUUGGAUCCGGAUCUAACGAUCCAAAGCGUCCAUCUAUGACCAACUCGUAAUUUAUGUUUUUAGAGGUAUCACAACUUUAGUUGGGAUUAGUCACUACCUUGCAACCUUUUGGGUUUUAAGCAUCAUUAUUUUCUAAACAGUUAACACUACCAUAUUAUCUCUACUAUAGAGACAAUCAAUUAGAUUACUAUAAAUCCAAUUUCUUUGGUAGUUCAUAUGAGGAAGUAAGUACUAUCUGCUUUCGCAGAGAUCUAUAUCUUAUUCACGUUCCGUAUGUGAAGCACCUUUUCUUCUCUCAUAUAUCUUCUACUUCUUAUUAGUCACACUUUUACAACGAUUUGUAAAACAUAGUUACUAAUACGGAAUCAUACAUUCAAGUAGAAGAACCAACUGUUUUGAACUAUUCAAGAACAAUUUACAACACCUUCGAAAGGUGUGUUCUUGACACUUGCAAGACAUUUCUUGCAAAUACCCCUUCCAAUUUCCAUCCUUUCAUAAAGAAAGUUUGUUCCCUUGGAGUUAUUUAUCUUCUUUAUUUGACUUUCACCUUUGACUACAUUAGUCAUGGUCCCUAAACUCCCACUAUCUCUCUUGAAACCCUUUUCAAUUGUGUUAUACACAUCAAACAAUUUGGAGAGUAUGUGGUUAUUGUUCACUACAUAGUUUACCAUAAACUUAGUGAACCAUUAGGAUAGGGAAACAAAGGUAAAGUCCUUGCCUAGUUUCCGUCUCGUUAAGUGGUUUAACACUUCAACACUCAAUGAUUCAAAAUCAUCAUAAGUCCAUGUUAAUGGACUAUUUUUGUCAACCAACCAUUAUGUUCUAAACAUAAUUACAAACUUUCAAGAGUUGUACAAGGCAACUCUCAUUUCUUCAUACAACAUUUGGAAGUGAAGAAUCAUGGCACAUUAAGUGUCCAAGCCUUUGUGCUUUCUUCUCAAGUUCCUUGUUCAUGUAACAAAGAAACAAGCACUAAGUGUUUGCAUUGAUUAAGGGUUGUUCAAAGCAACUCUUAUUUCUUCAUACAACAAUUUGUAAUUGAAGAAUUAUGACAUUAAAAGUGUUGUCCUCUUUAUGAUAGACCUAUUCUAACAUAUUCUUCUAAUGAUACAUUAUCAAUAGGAAGAUUGUGAGGAUGAGACUACUUAGGUACAUUUACAAGCCAUUAAAGACAAUCUAUGGUUUUGUAGUACCAAGUCCGUAAACUAAACGUUCGGCUUUUAUUUGUCAAGUGUUGGAUAACGUUUGCAAAUAUAUUGGUAAACAAAUACAUAACGAAUAUAAAUUGAUUGAUUUUAAGCCAUUUGAUUCGGGUCUUUAAAUCAAAUAGCAUCACCCACUAUUUUUGGCAAAUUCCAUAUCCCUCAUUGGAAUUCGAGAGUUUUGGAUGAAACUCUUAGUAGGUUAUGGGAGGCUCACUAUUACCAAGCCCACCUCAGAAUUAUAUCAUGUUGGCUAGCGUUAAUGAUAAUGAGAGAGUACGCUUACUCAUUUGCAACUAAUGCAAGUACCCAUCUUAUUUGGCCUCUAGAGAAUGAUUGCCUCAGAAUUAUAUCAUGUUGGCUCCAUUGCACUUAGUUAAGUCAUUUCCACCAUGCUUAGUUCAUGUAGGGGUUCAAGCAUAGCCUCAGAAUUAUAUCAUGUUGGCUAAACUCGUUGCCUACACUCACCUCAUCAUAUGCGUAUAGACUCUUCCUGAGUAUAAGCAUGCACUUUGUACUUCCCCAUUAUAGGGUGAAGGCGGUGUACAAGUCAUAAACGAUUGGAGCCUACCACGGUGGAAGGCCACGAAAGAGUGUUCAAAGCACUCUCACGCUUUCAACUUAAUAUUGGGUUGGUUGAGGGUUUUAGGUCUCAUCAUAUAUCAAUAUACAUUUUAAUCUCUAUUAAAACAAUUUUGGUCCUAUUACAACUAUUGGUCCAUAUGAUUGUUUUAGUUGUACAUAAUACUCCCACUAUGCUUUUAAAACGGUUUUUAAAGCAAGAGUAUAUGUUACUACUAACAUAAGGUUUGCAUUCAUUUAAUGGACUAUAUAGUUGCCUUAGGGCCUUAGGAUGACUAUGAACCUUUGUUUAGAUUCAACACGAGCCUUGUGUUGAAUCUCGGUCUAGGGAUGGAGAUUGAUUUUAGUUACGCGUUUAAUCACAUUAAGGCGUGUUGUCUUAGGGGCGUUGGACCCAAUUACUUCAUUUUCAUGCAUAUCAUAUAAAGCAAGAAAGAAAUACUUCAAAGUAAAGGAUGAGCUUAUGCUCAUUACAACAUUUGCAUAAAACAAAUUACCUUAAAGUAAAGAAGGACUUAUGCCCUUUUACAACAUUUGAUUAAAUCAAAUUACAACCAAAAUCUAAUCUACACAUUCCCAUGGUUCAAACAAAUUUGAAACGCCUUUCACAUAGCUCAAUUAUAUUAGGCUUAGGUUCAUAAUCAUCCUUUAAUUAAUUAACGCUUUAACUAAUUAAUUGAAUGCAACAUUUUCAUUUGGUUUUUGUAUCCAUAAAAUUGAUUUAAGUGGAGCUAAACAAAAUGAAAAUCCAAUUCUCAUUUAAAGAGACAAAACAAUUUUGUUCUCAUCCUAUUUGGGCCAUCAUGCAAUAACCACAACUUUUUGGGCCAUAUUGCGAAAACAUAAACUUUUGGGGUCACUUUGUAAAAACACAAAAGUCACUACUUUCAUGUAAAUACAACUAGAACCCAAAAUUUAAAUAAAUUCAAAAACUUCAUUAAAGGAGCAAAACAAUUUGUCCUUUAGCGUUUUUAGGCCUUAACGUCAAAACGUAAACUUUCGGGUCAAAGUACAAAUACACAAAAGUAUCAAAACUUUAUGUAAUUGCAUAAAAGCCCCAAAAAUACCCUAUUUUAUUAGGGUGGCCGGUUUUUAGGGAUAAAAAUGAGUGAUGGGUGUUUUGAUUUAUUAGUUUUGUCAAAAACAAUCAAGUAGUGCUUUCACCUUUCAUAAAAAUAAUAUAUGUUUUGAUGAUUGAUGUUUCCAUCAUCAUUUAUUCAAAUAUUUAACACUUUAAAUACUUUCAUAAAAUUAAUAUAUGUUUUUGAUGAUUGAUGUUUCCAUCAUCAUUUAUUCAAAUAUUUAACACUUUAAAUACAUGAUAAAUCAUUUGAAAAACAUAUAACAUAAACUUUAUGAAAUAUUCAAAACUUUGAAUCAAAACACAAAACCUUUUUGUUCUUGGCAAGAACAUCAAGAACAAUGAAGAACAUCCAUGAAAACCCAUAAGAGCUCCAUGAAUGUUUUCAAGCCAUAAAACUCAAAUUUUCACCAUUCAAAAUGGUGUUAACAUCCUAGGGUACUUAGGGGUUCCAAAAGUCACCUUAAAACAUUUUUAACAAGACAAACAUGAACCCAAAAAAUCACCCUUUGGAUUUGGCCGAAAAUCCCAAAAAUCAUGGCACCAAAUUUUAGCUCCAAUAUUCAUCCUCAUAUGAACUACAUCUACAACAUUUGAGAUGGCAAAUUUUCAAACAAAAUUUACAUUCAAAGAAGCAAGAAUAAAGCUUGUAACAAUUACAACUUUUAAAUCAUAAACUUAUGAACUACAAAACCCAAAAGGAUUCACCAACUACUAGACCUACUAGACCUAGGCUCUGAUACCACUUGAAGGAUUUAUUUUGAAAAACAUGUUCAUUUGAAUAACAUCUAUAGCAUGCAAUUAACAAAUUAAAGGCGGAAUCAUGCUUGUAUGCAUUCAAAAACAAAACAUUACCCAUGAAAUUCAAAGCCUAGUAGAUUGGUGAACCAAUAAUCAACUCAAAACAAAGUGAGUUGAAAUUAAUACCUUUGUAGAUUCCUCUUUGCAUAAGCAAAGGCUAAUCACCCAAAGAGAUAGGGCCUUCAUUCCUUGCUUCUUAGAUCCAUGGAUUUGGAUGGAAGAAUAGGUUCUCCAAGUUCCCAAAAUUGAGAACCUCUAAGUCUCUUCACCAAGGUUUGAUUGUAGAAGAAAUGAGUGACCUUGGAGUAGUAGGAUUGCUAGAUGUACCCUCCAAGGUGUUGGCCUCUUUAGAGAGAAAAAUGGAGAGACAAUUCUCACCCAUUUUCACCCAAAAUAAACCCUUAAUCACAUUAUGAAUAUUUGGCUAUAAAGUCCUUUAUAUAGUCCCUUCAAAUAAGUGACCUAAAGAACAAAAAAAAAACCCUAAUUCAUCUAUAUGGCCGGCCUACUUUGGGAUUUUUGGGCUUUUGGGCCUUUGUGAAUCUUUAUUCAUUAAGUUGUCAUACAUCUUAAGUCAAUGGGCUUGACAUUCGAAGCCCAUUGGGCCUUAAGGUCCAAAAUUAUCCCGAGGUCUUUAACGAACUUAUUCGUUUGAUUAAUUAACAUAUUAAUUAAUCCUUGCCAUAAAUAAAUGAUUAAACCAUUUAAUCAUUCUUACUCAUUUCCGUUUAAUCUUCAAUCUCCACCUUUUAUGGUGUGCGAUCCAUUAGGUUCCUUUUAGCGAGGCAGUGGGGCGAUUAAAACCAUUUUACAUCGAUUGUGAAUUGAAACAAUUUUCAAUUCUCCCUUUAGUGGUUAUACACGUAUAGGGCUUCCACAAACCAUGGUUGACGCCUAGCAGCAUGUCAUGGUUACCCAAGCUAAUCAGAAGAGGUUAGAGAACCUAUUCAGUUCGGGAUUACAAAUGCAAUACGGUCCUUCUCUAAUCUAAUACUCUUGACCACAUUGUUUGGUAUGAUAGUUUAUUUACUCAUGUCUACUAUCCAAUGUGAAUCGUUUGCUUUGCUUAUAUGAUUUCCUUGAAUGUGAUUUGGAACGCAUUCCCCAAUCUUAUUCAUACUCUGGCCAGAGAUUCCAAAUCAUAUCAUAGAGUAUUCUCCCUCAACUGUUUGAAGGUUAGAGAUCCCUUGUUGCGCAUUCACUUGUCUCCAUAGCUAAGUGGCUUAACCCCAACGAUGCCGUGACACCCCGAGGGGGUGAAUUAGACAUAAUCAAAGAUUAAGGACUUAACCACAAGACAACUGUGAUGCCUCAGGUCAAAGGACAACUUUGCAUUAUCCCAACCAUGAGUUCUCAUGUGACAUGGAAUAUAAGAACUCUUCGUUGAUCACGUUCAGUGAACUCAUUCUCUUAUUGAGCACCUACGUACUUGUCUUGAUGUCACACACACACCAAUGACUCGAGACUAGUCACUCUCCCUGAGAGAAGACACAGUACGUACUGAUCUUAACGGACUGUCAAUGCCCAAUUGGUAAUCCUAUGAUCAGGAACAUUUAUGAUGUGUCUACGAAAGAAUGGUCUCAUUAAUCUAACUUCAUUAGAUUGCAUUCUCCCAAUCACAUAUUCCUUGGACUUUAUCGUUUAAGCAUAUAACAUUUAUAUGAGACGGCUCAAACAAUAAUCUUUGCCCUUUAUAUGUUAAACUAGAUUAGUUUAACAUUUGAAAUGUCCGUAAAGUAUCAUCAUAUGAUUGGUUUUAGGGCACAUUUCCAACAGUUUGCUCCCUGCGAUUCCUCCGUAAAUUCUACUCAAGUUCUGGAUCAAGUGGAAUCAAUUUCUGCACUGUUGAACGGGUGCUGACCAUGCACAGAUUUCUGAGAUCUGCACUGCCGUACUGUUGUAAUCUGUAAAAAUAAAAUAAACGAAAAUUAAUUUUUUUUUAUAUGUAUGAACAGCAAUAACUAAUUGAAAAUCUGAUUAGUAUGGAUUAUUUUAAAUAAUCCCCGGCAACGGCGCCAUUUUUUCUGGAGAAGUGUUCAGAAUAUUCUAAACAUUAAAUCCAGCUAUAUUGGGCCAGUUUUGGAGCAGCUUAUGGGCCAAAACGUGGCUGUUCAGAUUUUAGACGAAUUUUAUCAUUUAAUUUAGGGUUAUGUUUCCUAGGGUUUGUGUGGAGGCUUAGCAGAUAUAUUGCUUGGCCGUCUACAGUUUUUGGGGACAACAUUUUUUUUAUGCAAUUUUGGAGACAGAGAGAAGUGCUAGGGUUUUGGAGAUUUUCUACUUGAAGGUGUUUUCAAUCAUUUUCUUAAGAAUAUUUUCUAUGAUUUCAAUUAUGAGUAUGCGUAACUAAUUCCUUUUGCUAGGGCGAAGCCUUGAGCCUUAGCAUGAAUAUGUGAUUUUUAUUUAAUUGUUUAUGAUUGAUUGCAUGCAUACUUUGAAUUGUUAAUCACCGGGAUAAAAAGUAUCUAAUGAUUUUAAUGCCUGAUCACCAUUAGGAUUUUUAGAAAAGUAAUUUGAUGCAAUUUUGGUCGGAAGGUUCCCUGAAAUUGACGCUGGCUUCUUGUGAUUAAUAAUUGUAAUUUCGCUUAGGAUGAAUAUCACGUCUUAAGGAUUGCAUGGUUUUUCAAAGGAUUUUCAUAAAGCGUAAUGAGUCUUUCAUGUUCAGAUUUGAUCCGAACGUCCGGACGGGUUGCAUGUUAGAUAUACGUUAUAUGUUGGAGGUUCCAAGUAGAAUAUGAAUUAGGAAAAUCUAACCUUCAAAGUGGCAUGUGUAGAUUAUAAGUAAUUGAUAAAAAUUCAUAGGAUUGCUAGGUGAUGGUGGAACCCUAGUGUUUUCUUAAUUUGAUUCUCCCAAAACUGUUUUCUUCUCUCUAGCUCUAAUAUUGCAGAUUGUUUAUUUUAAUUCAUUAAUUUCGUUUUUAUUUUAAUUAGGUUAUAAAAUCAAUCACCUAAACUUCUACUUUACAAUAAUUAAAUGGAAUCUGAUUAGUUUUGAAUUAUUUAAUAAUCCCUGUGGAGACGACCUUGCGAGAUCCGUUUAUACUACAAUAACCUUGUGAUUCUUGCAAGUAAAAUAGGAGAUUUAAGCUCGUUCACAUGAGUAGUAAAAAUCCUAUCAUGUUACACGACACGACCCGUUAAGAUAUCGGGUAUGACACAAAAACGACACGAACACGGAAAACACGACACGAAUGCCAGGUCUAUUGUGCCCUUAGAUGUAAAAUAUAGGCACAAUAAUAUAUUUGAGUUCAUCUUUUUAAACAAAGUGGUCAGAAAAUGUGUUUGUGUCCAUUUUUUUUUAUAUUGGGCAUAAUAUGUAGUGUCCUUUAUUGAAUGGGCACUGUUUUAAUCCUUUUGUGUUGAAAGACACACAAUUUUGUCCAUAAUUUUGUGCCCAAAGGCCAUUUUUGUUGUAGUGACAGUUAACUCAUCCGACACUUCAUCUUGAGCAGCUCCGAUCUUGGCAGCUCCAUCCUUGACUACUCCGUCUAUGGCAGCUAAGAAAUCAAACUUAAGCAGUUUCCUUAUUUUUGGCAAACAACCCAUACGUGGCAGCCCAAACCGUUGUCCAUGCCACGCCACUUCCUCGGCCCAUGCCGAGCCAAUCCUUGGCUUUAAUUAAGCCGAGCAGCACAAGUAAUGGCCCCUGCCACACCUCUUCCUUGGGCCAUGCUAAACCGACUCCUGGCCCCUGUCAGUCGAUGUACCGCACCACCCCGACGGCUGCCCCGUGGCAGCACCUCCCACGAAGAAGACAAAGAAAUCAAUGGAAGACGGUUCUUUGCACGGGCAAGCAAAGAAGAGUGCUAGGGGAGGGGGAACAAAUAUCCUCUAGCUUUCUCUCUUUCUUGUAAGGAUAAAUAAUUGCCCUUCAAAGUUGAUUUAAUCCCCUACUUAAGGUAGGAUUAAAUAGGCAUUGGAGGCGAUUUAUUUCCAUUUCCUAAAAGAAUAUAAUUCCAAGUCCUUGAGAAAAUCUACAUCAAAGUUGGAGAUCUCUACACCUGCUGCCCUUUCCUGUGAGCAGCCCAGCAAGUAUGGAGGCAUUUGUGGAGCCCAAAAUAAUCACAAGGCGACACAUGGAUUUUUGGGAAGAAGAAGACAAAAAUACUCUUGAGGCAUACUAGGAUUCUUACGGUCAAGCAGCAGACACUCAUCACUCAACCAAGUCAAAAUUGCCCAAAAUAGGUAACAAUUCAAAGCCUAUUUCAUCCAUCCUCAUCAAAUCAUUUCUACAAGAUAAUUCCCAAAACAUUCCUUUUAAAUUAUGUUAAUUGGCUAAUUAAUAGAUUUAUUACCUAAUUAAUCUAUUAAUAGCCAAUUAAACCACCAAUUACUCCCAAAAAACACACAUAAGGUCGGUCACCUUCUCUCCCAAGGGGGCCGGCCAUGCCUUAUAAUUUCUACCUCAUUUUCCCCUUUCAUUAGCUAAUCAAUUAGGCAAUUAUUCUAUUAAUUGACUAAUUAAUUAGUUAAUUAUUCCAUAACUCCCAAUUUAACACAAAUCAAGAACCUAGCCCACAAAGGGAGCUAGGUGGCCAGUCCUCUCUCAUCCAAGGAGGUCGGCCACUCUCCUAUUUAAACCACAUCAUCCUCCUCAAAGUCCACUUCCAACUCUCUUGUUAAAAUUCUCACACUUUCUCUCUAAAUUUUAACUUUAACAUCAAAGAUUCUCUAGCCAAAGCGCCCCCCCCCCCCGGCGCCAAUUCAUCAUGGGCGUAUGAGGCUCUUGGCCUUGACCAAAGGUGUUAAUUGUUUUGUAGGUGCAAUUUUGUCCAAGAUCAAGGAGGAGGAAAUUUGCAUCCACACAACCCCUUCAAACCGCACCAAAAAAUCAAAACAUCCAUUCGAAACCUCAAUUUUUGAAACCAAUUUCAAGUUCGAUUCAAGUUUUCAAACAAUAAUCAAUACAUCAAAUCCGGAAUUUCUCAACCCAAAAACUUCAUUUGAAGACGAAAAACUGAAAAAAUUCGAGAUAUAUAUUUGCAGAAUCCAAAUCAGAGAAACACAGGUAUGAACCUAGAAAUUCUUAUAUUCUUGAUGAUUUCUUACUUUGAUUUACUACAUAUGUAUAUUUGCAUGUUUGAGAUUCUAAAAAAUAAAUUAUGUUUCCAGUUCAGAGUAUUCUGAUUUGCAUCCAGACGAAAACGAACAAAAAAAAAAGGGGGAAAUAAAAGCAACAUAGAAGAAAUAGAGGUACAUACUACAAAAUUUAUAAUAUUCUCGAUGAUUUUACAGUAAUAUGUAAGUUUGCAUGAUUCGAAUUCAUUGAAUGGGCAAUGUUUCUGCAAAAUGGUAUUUUUUUACUUCACUUUGAUAACGCUUGUUUUCUUAUAACCUUUAAAUAGUCUUUUCUUGACCUCAUAUGUUGGUUACUUUGCUUAAAUAACUUAAAAAUAAUCAACAUUCUAUUACAAUGGUUCCAGAAACAGUAUAGUUUUUUUGUUUCUGUUUGAUUAACAGUAUGGAUCCAUAAUCAAUAUGGUGUUUUAGUUCAUUUUCUUAAAUAACAUGCCCUAGUAUGGAUCCAGAAUCAAUAUAGUGAAAAAGGACAUUUUUGAAGCGUACCAAAAAUACUCUAAGACGAAACUCUUGAAGGACGAAAGCUACUGCUUCAAUUAUAUGUGCGCAUCUCAUCCAAUCCCUCUUAUUUGCAACCUCCAGAACAUACAUCACAUGGAACUUUAUAACAAAUUGUGGGGCAUUUGACCAAAUCAGCAAAUAUAAUUGGGCAAAAGGAGUGAUAGACUACUUGUUCAAGAUGAUUGACAAAUCAAAGAAAAAGAAGAAAAAUGGAGGAUAAUUAGCAAUAACAAGCGGAUGCACUGCUAUUAUUUUGGUAAAAAAAUUAGAACUAUAGUUUUAAAAGCAUGAAUUCUAUCUUAUAAAUUUCACAAGAAACUAAUUCAAAGUUCUUAUUUCAUGCAGUAUUGGAUUUAUCUUCACACCAAUCUAGUGGAGACAAUAAGUUGACGAGAAAACAUGAUUCCUGCAAUUAGAAGAUGGACAUAACCAAGAUAUACAAAGCAAUUCUUGACCUUUCGAUUGCCUUGCGGAUUAGUGAGUUACUGGGUUCUGCCCCAUAACGUACAUCUUUGUGUCUACAUACGACGACUCCGUUUCUACUCAGAGCCGCAUAUAGAUGGCUCGCGAAACUCAUGCGGGUGUCUUGGCCACUGAAACUGAGGUAGACAUCGUACUCAUUUGUAUGCGUGGUGGCCAUGGAUCCCAACGGAAAUCUCUGCUCUCUUCUCUCUCUUCUUCUUAUGGAAACUCAGACCGAUCAAAUCCAGAUCUGAGAGUCUUCUAGCAUAGGAAUGGAUAAUGAAAUGUCAACGGCUAUACAAUCGUCCGAUGCGCAGCAGCAAAUCUCCAUUAGUUUGACUUGAACUACAUAUAAGUAUUGUUUUUUUUUUGUUAGAUACAUAUUAAUAUUGUUCAAAGCUACAUAUUAAUAAAAAAAAAUUGUUCAUUAAAAAUUAGUAAAAAGACUAUUUAGUUUUUUAUCUCAAUAAAAAAAUUAAAGACAGUAACGUAAUUUUACAAAAUAAAAUUUUACUUUUUUGUUUAAACAUCACUUACAAGUACUUUUAACAUUUUUAAUUUUUAAAAAUUGAAAGAAAAAAAAAAUUAAACUCUCCUCGCUCUCGUUCUCUGUCUCUCCUCCAAUUUUAAAAACAAAAAUAAAAACAUUUCACACACAUUUUAUGUAUUGGCAUACUAGUAUUUAUUUACAAUUCACGUUUUUCACAAACAAACUUACCACAUUGAUCUCACAAAAAUAAUUUGGACAGGAUUAUAUAAAAUCAUAAAAGCAAAUUUGUUGAAGAUCUACUUUUGGCGUUUUAAUUACACUUAGUUAAAACCGCAUGUUUAAACUAUUUUGCUAUAUACAACACUAAGGGGUUGUAUUCAAUAUGGAACGGUACCAUAUGUUAAUAUAUAAUUGGGUUUUUUUUUCCUUCGAAUUGUAUAAAAAUAUGUAUUGUACCGUUCCACGUUCCAAGCAAUUUCUCCAUAAUCAGGAUUUUGAGCAAUUUUAAUUCUUUUUACAAAUCCAAGGGAAUUUAAUUAAAAUUUAAGUGAUUUUCUAAAAAUAUAAGUGUAUUCAAUUAUGAUUUUAAAAGAGUUUAACACAUUUCAGCAUUUCAAUUAGAAAUUUAGUUUAAAAUUUGAGGAAUUCGAGUGAAUUUGAGAGGUUUUGUAAUGUAUUUUAAAUAUUCUCAAAUCUCACAUCUCUCCCUAAUUAUUUGUGAGAAUUCACUCAAAAGUUUCGUAAUGUAUUUUAAAUAUUCUCACGUCUCUCCCUAAUAAUUUGUGGAAAUUCAUUCAAAAGUUUACAUGUGAAUAUCUAGAAGUCAAAUAAACUCCAUCAAAAUCCAUCAAAAUCCAUUAAAAUCCCUCGAAAUCUUAAUCGUAAACAACCCAUGAAUAAGAGGAGGCUUGAGAGAGAUUUAUGCGACCAAACCAAUGCUGAAUGUCUACUUACUUGAUGCUGCGUGGUUAGGCUUAGUCGACCUCACUCCAUCUUCAUUGCUUUGCUACUUGAAAUGAGGGAUUCCAAACAUAUUGGCGAAGCCGGCCAAUGUACCCUUCAAUCUACCACUUCCACUAGGUCCUUCUCCGUCACCAUCGCUACUGGAUUGGGUCGCUAUUUCAUCCAACUCUUCCACAGCGCUCUCGUACACAACGUCCAACUCUUCCACAUCACUCUCGUACACCAAACGAGUGCCGCAACUCUUCACCAAGCAGGGGCCUGAGCUUUUGAAAUUAAAUUUUAACUGAUUGCAACUGUUUUGCCACUCUGUACCAAAGCUUAUACCACGAGACACAUAGAGUAGCCAGAUAUGAUCUGACACGGGCUGGACAUCCGAAGAUAGUAGAGGCGCAGGGUACUCUUCCUUUCCAUUGACUUCCAAAACACCAGAGAGCUCCCAUCCGCUCCCACAAACUUUAAAUACAGCGCACAGAGCAUAUCCCAUCCACUUGUUAUCACGCCAUUGCGGAGUUAGGUCGACGGUUACUUCUGGUCCCAUCCUUUGAUGAGUGAACCACCCAGGAAUUUCCUUUCCAGGCAUGACAAUUUCAUAUCUAUCUCCUGCAUAAGGGACUCCCUGUACAGGUGAAACAGUGAUGUCAAGCAUUGAGAGAGAGAGAGAGAGAGAGAGAGAGAGAGAGAGAGAGAGAGCACCUUAAGAUAUCUUUGGAGCAUUGUAAAUGUUAUAUGAUUGUAGCUUUCUUUCUCAAGCAUUCCAAAGCAAUUGAUGAAAUUGAAGCAUGAUGAAUUCAAUCUGUCCAAAUUUGAUGGACAUUCCAGCAUUUUCAGUUUAGUACAACCAUCUGCAGUUACUUGUAAAUCCACAUCUGACGAAAGAACUGGAAGGUGUUGAAGCCUCCAGCAACGACUCAAGUAUAAAUUCUCUAGCUUAGUGAGUUGGCUAAUGCUUGUAGGAAGAUUAACAAAAUCGUUUCCACUUAAGUUCAAUGAUACCAAAGACGAUAAGCAGCCAAUAUCACUGGGGAUGUCUCCUUUACCAAGACUGUGACCACUUAAGUCUAAUUCCAUUAAAGAACAAAGGCCUGAUAGAGGAGGCAAGAACAAACUGAUGGAAUGAUGAAGGCUCCCUGUUGGCAUUAAUCUAAAAGGGAGCAACAUAUGCCAUGGUUGUUGUGAUGGCCCUUCCAUUCCACGAAAAAUCAAUGCUUUAAGGUUUUUCAGAAGGGCAAUGGAAGAUGGGAAUUCUUUUAUAGCAGUUCCACUUAAAUUAAUCUUCUCCACAAACUCUAAUUUCCCGAGGGUUUCUGGCAAUUUGGCAAGAUUUGAGCAUCCAGAAACAUCAAGACUUUUAAUAGCCGUCAAAUUUCCAAUGGUACGAGGAAGACAUUUCAGAUUUUUGCAAUCUCUCAAGUCCAACAAAGAAAGGCUGGUUAGAUGUUCAAUUGAUGAAGGUAUACAUUCAAUACCGGUCCCAUCUAAAGAAAGCUUCCAUAAAUGCUCCAUAGGUUCCACAAAAUUCGGUAUCUUUUUAACGCUUGAGCAGCCAGAAAGAACUAGAACUUCAAGGUGCUCCAUUUCAAUCUCAUCCGGAAGAAGCUCGAGACUUUUGCAGUCUUUAAGAGUCAAGAAAGUGAGCUUUUUGAGAGUUCUUAUGGAAAAGUGAAUCUCAACUAGACUUUCGCAUCCUUCAAGAUCUAAUCUCUCAAGAUUCUGAAUCCCUUCAAAAUCAGGGGUUCCAGUCAAACUUUUGGAAUGACUAACUUUAAUGAUUUUCAACUUGUCAAAUUUCUGCAAUGUUUACAAGAAAUGAAGAAUAAUUAGAUCCAGAAAACUCAAAUCAGGUAAUGAAGUAUAUUCUACAUCAAGCAAGGUAAUAAUAUUAUAGAUGUAGCCAUAUACCUUUUCUCCAUUCCAGAGCUGUUUAAUUCUACUAUGACACAUAAUAAGUUCAACAAGCUCUGCCGGGUGGAAUCCUAAUGGGAGAUAUUGUAGAGGAUAACCUCUCCAUUCAAGAAAUCUCAAGGAAUUAGGGAGACGGUUUAGGCCUUCAGGAAGGCGCACGUUAUGGACUUUGAGCAAUCUAAGAUUAACCAUCUGAGAAAAAACUUCAGGAGGGCAUUCGACCUCUUCUGAGGUAAGCAAGUCUAGGACAAUACCUUCAACCGUCGAUGUCCCCUGAUAACCAAGAAUAAAUAAAAAAACAAGUGAAUUGCAGUAUAGUCUGCACAUUAUAAGUAAAGGAAGAUAAGUAAAACUAAUAGGUUUUUUUUUUUUGUGCUUUUAAUUGUUGGAUUAAUUUAUAUUUGAUGUAUUAGGUAAGCUCUUACCGUAUUUUCCUUCAAAACACGAAAGAUGUCCUUAGAAAGCCAUAAUCUGCUCCGUUCACCAGGUUCUUUAGAUUGUUGACCAACAAUUGCUUGACCCAUUUUUUGUAACAAAUCAUGCAUCAACACCAUGUUAUCUGAAAUUGUUAUCAGAGACUUCUUCACAAGGACAUCUAUGCCAAUACCUGGAUUAAAACCACAACCAUCUAGUAUUUCAACUACUCGAUCUUUGUACUCUCCUUUAAAGAAACAUGCGAUGUCAAGGAAAAUAUCUUUCUCUUGUGGAUCUAAACCCUCGUAACUUAUUAUAAGUGUCUUCAUAAUUUUUUCAUUAAAUAUUAAAUCAUCCCCUAGUUUACUUAAUUGACCUCUCCAUGCAUCUAGACCUCUUCCAUUCAAAAAUAACCCCAAGACUUCAAGAGCUAAUGGAAGGCCUUUGGCAUAACUCACAAAACUUAUAGACAGAUCCAUAUGACUUUUAGGCGGAUUGUCCCUUUUAAGGGCUCUCAAGCUAAACAGUUUAAGAGCGCCAACAUCACUCAACAACGGCACCUCAAAUCUUCUUUCUACACCAUGUGAAAUUAGAACCUGUUUAUCCUUAGUCGUAAUAAUGACUCUACUCCCUUGACCAAACCAAGCUGGGUUUCCACAUAGCUUUUCUAACUGAAUACUAUCGUCCACGUCAUCAAGAAUGAUGAGAACCUUUUUGUCACGUACGAAGUAUCUCAUUUUGGCGGCUUCACUGGGACUCCAGUCUUGUAUAUUUCUAUUCAUAAGGCUAUUGGAGAGCUUCCUCUGUAUACCGUCCAGACCGUGUGCCUUAAAAUCCUCGCUAACUCUGUCAUGAAAGCUUUUGACUUGAAAUUUAUGAAGAAUCCUCUGAUAAAAUGCUUUGGCAAUGGUUGUCUUACCUAUCCCACUCAUCCCCCAUAUUCCUAUAGAGAGAACAUCAUUUGACUCUUGUUCUAAAAGCACAUCAAGUUGCUCCAGUUUCGACUCCAUUUCAACCAGGUUUUCUGCAGGCUCCAAUGAUAUAGGACCUACUUCAGUUCGUACCUUUUCAACGAUUUCCUUGAUGAGCUCUGGUUCUUUCCUACAAGAAAAAUAUACAAUGUUCAAGAUAUGACCUAAUACACAUAGAAAUAAAAAAGUUAGAGACUAUUUUUGUUUUCGUCCACCUGAAGUCCUAGUAUCAAGUGGUCUCUGUGUCCAUUUAAUAAGAGGGUAGUUUGGUAUUGGACCAAAUUAGGGACGGUUUCGGAAUAGGGGAGGAUUAAAAAGCGCAGCAGUGUUGGAUUUAAAAGACAUGAAUUCUUAACCGGAGCAAUUUUUUCCCCUUAGAUUCUCAAAUGGACCAAAUAUAUGGUAAAAACAAAAGGUCCUCUAGGAUGGAACCGUAAGAAUAAAGUUAAACAAAGUCUACAAGGCCUAAAUGCUUCCUCAUUAAUUAGUUGUGCUGUCAUGGGAUUAAGUAGUUAUCAAGCACCUUCGUUACUGUCGUCGUACCCAGUGCACAAGGCUCCCGCUUUACGCAGGGUCUGGGAGAGGUGAAUGUCGGCUAGCCUUACCCCCAUUUAUGGAGAGGCUGCUCCCAAUGUGUGGGGGAUGCAACACGAGGACUUCCCAGGAGGUCACCCAUCCUAGUACUACUCUCGCCCAAACUCGCUUAACCUUCGUUACUGUGCAAAAAGUAAAUUAUAUGAAUUCUUCGAUUUUCCUAAAACUUAUCAGAUAUUCUUCAUGCAUCAGGAUUUGGCAGAAUUGUAUUGAACUCUAGCAAAACUCAACCGAAUUAUAGAAACAUUGCAAGAAUUGAGUGAAAAAAGAAGGAAUACUAACUUGUUAUUUGAAAUAGGCCCUUUGAUUUUUGCCACUAUUUUUAAGGCAGCUUUCCAUCCAUCCACCAUCUCUUUGUCAUCCUUAUACUCUUGUUCGAGUUUAGUGAAGCCAUUCCCAAAAAUCCCAGACCGAUCUCCAACAUCGGAGGGUUCCACUGAGUAGAAAACUGGUAUAGCUGCCCGUCUCUCUUCCAUGCAUUCAAGAAUCUUUACGAGUUCGUUCAGGCACCAUUUUGAAGAAGCGUAAUCUGGAGAGAUGACAACGAUGGCAAGCCUCGACCUUGCAAUUUCCGGGAAGAGAUCAGAAAUUGGGCUUCCUAUUUGAAGUUCGUCAUCAUCCAAGAAAGUUCUUGUAAUUCCUUGUUCUUUCAAUUUAUCAUGUAGAUGGGCGGUAAAACCUAAGCGCGUGUCUGCACCCCUAAAACUCAAAAAGACAUCAUAUUUCCAUUCAAGAGCUGAAGGAAGAGAUGAAGUGGCUCGUUGGGUGCUCGAUGCCAUUGAAACAAGCUAACUGGAUACGGUGGCAUAGCAGCAAUUAAUAUGGUAUUAGUUUUUCAAGCAAUCAUCAUAAAAUUAUUUGCAAAAACAUGAAUAUAUAAAUUGACUUGUGACCAGAAAAACAAUUCAGCAUUCAUAAAAUUAUAUUAGGCAAUAACAUGAAUCAGAAAGAUGAGCAAUAACCUGGGUGUAUGUAGAAAACGAAGUCACAGAUCAAGUCAGAGGGGUCAUGAGAGGAGCUGAAGAUCCGUCAGAAAAAAGGAAACACUGUCUCUGUGUACUUGCUACAAGUCUCUCUGUAUGUCGUCGUCAACGAAACUUCACCGCGUAAGCUUGAUGGACGUGAUUCAACUGCUUCUUCUAUCCGACGGUCAAACCGCGUAAGCUCUAUUUUCCCUCUUUUUUAUUUUUAUUUUUUAUUUUAUUCGUUUGGUGAACUGUAAGCUCCAUUAUUUUAUUUUUGCGUGGCUCCAUUAUUAUUUUUUGGCCAAAUUGGAUUGUUCAUCCCGUAGCCAUAAGACACUUGCAUGAUGACAUCCGUGGUGAAAAAAUUAGGAAUUAAACCUAUGUGGUCUAGAAUGUUAGCAAAUUUAGUCCAAAAGUAAGAUUUCUGUUAAAGGACUGUUAAAAGUUGGGGUAAAACUGUAUUUUCAGUUCCAAUUGACAUUUAAAAUAAAUAAUUUUUUUAUAACAAUUAACAAAAAAAAUAAUGCUUAAUUUUUUAAAUAAAAAAAAAUACAGUUUCUAAAACUGUAUUGGAACUGAAAAUACAGUUUUACCCAUACUUUUAACAGUCAUUUAACAGAAAUCUUACUUUUGGACUAAAUUUGCUAACAUUCUUAACCACAGGGGUUUAAUUCCUAGUUUUUUCACCACAGAGAUCAUCAUGCAAGUUUCCUAUGACCACAGGAAUGAACAAUCCAAUUUGGCCUUAUUUUUUAUACUAAUGCAGAGCACACCAUAGUUGAAUGUUUCUAACAAACACAAAAUUUAAUUGCAAGCACUUCUUUUUCUUCCAGAAACACAAAAUUUAAUUUUCUUUAAGUUGACCCAGUGCGUUCACUUAGACAACAGUGUUGUUUGAAUAAAAAUAACUCUUAACAAAAACUUUUUUAUGGCAAACCAGAAAUACACCUGAAGCUUCUUGAACUACAUUAUGUGGAAUCAACACACUUAAAUUUAUUUAGAGUGUUAUAAACUCCUUUAAAAUAUUGAUUGUUCAAACCGAUCAUUUUGAAGCGCUAACUUAUUAGUAAGCAAAUACGUUUCUAGCUACACGUUUGAGCACAUUUGCAAGAUUCAUGAUUAUCCAAACCGAUCAUUUUGAAGGCCACCAUUGAAUAAGGAUUAUUCGUGUAAAAUCUCACUCAAAUUGAGCAUUGCUUAGCUAUCUAGCUAAUGGCAACACUAUAAGCAAACGAACAUGGUAAAUAAUAAAGAAAAUCAAAGGGCUCAAUCAUUCCAAUUUAGGUAAUUUUUGCAAGAAUGAUUUUGUAUUGAUUUUUAUUUUUUUUCUUCAGAAAACUAUUAAUCAUCAAAGUCCCAAGGGAGGGCGAACAAGAAACCAAAUCAGCAGGCCAAACAAAGGACCGUGGGCACUGCCGUUACACACUUCUAACAGAACGCAAAGAACCUUCCGACGUAUGCCUCAGCCUUCACCCGGCAACGAUUUCUGGCGAGCAACCGGGCAAGAAGAGAGAUGCUACAUCUCCAGAGACAAUGCUACUUGUAAAGAGGAGAGGACUAACCCACAAGUUAUGACAAACCUACCAAUAUUAAAUUUCAACAUCUCGAGUCCAUGUGGUUGGUACGACAAUUUGAUCCAUACAUACAUACAUACAUACAUACAUACAACAAAGACACACAAGAAAGAAAAAUUUGGCCAACCGUUAAAAACAAACCGAGAUCAAAGAAAUCAAACAAUAAGGUACAUCAAUACAUUAAAUUAUAUGCAAUGCCUGCUGACAUCUCGGAAAUAUACCAACUAAACAGCAUAGACAAACCAAAACUGAAAAAGUUCCUACCAAUAUUUAUUUAGCAACAGGUAAUCUCAUGAUCUCAUGUGUAAGUGAGGAACAAGGUCCAGAGCCAGACUGACCGAUACGCUGAUGGGCACAACUCAAAAUGACCUAUUCGGGUUUGAAGAAGAUGACUUGGCUUUUGCAAAAUCAACUAGAUCCUUGAAAAGAGCAUCUUCCUGUUUUACUUGUUUUGUUGGGGUAGACGAAUUAAGGGAGAGAUUCUGAGUCUGUCCCACUAAGUUGUCAUAAGAUGAACCAGAUCCACUGCCUGGAACGCCUUGUUUCUCAAAAAACUGUUGUCUCUGGUUAUACCUGGAAGGCGGAGGUGGAAGGCUGACAGGAGAUUGACCAUUGCCAGGAGACUGAGGAUUCCCCAGAGACUGAGUAUCCCAAGGGGCAGGAGGGAGCCCAUCUAUAGAUUUGCUUCUAGGAGCCGGUUCAUCAUAUACAGGCUUUCCAGUGAAUAUAGGUGAUGGAGUUGUGUUUUGGGAAGAAGGGGGUGAGGGUGAUAGUGGAGUCAAUCGUGAGGUGGAGCUGGAAUGAACUGGAGCUGCAAAGGAUGUGGAUUCUGAUGUUGCAGAGGAUCCUUCAGAUUUGUAGGCUUCUCCACUGAGAUAAUCAAUCACACCAGGACCUAGAGUGAUUGGCCUUUGCGAAGACGGUGGAGGAGGAAGAAGUGGGCUGACUUGCACAGGUUCAGCCUUGGCAUUGGCUGAUCUCUGGCCCUGUCCUUGUGAAUUAUCUCUUGAUGACCUGCAAUGCAUCUUACCGAAUUUUACUAAGAGGAUAAGAAUAUUAAAAGUAAAAAACUAACAGAACUUGCAAUAUUCAUAUUCUGAAGCGCACACAUACAAGUAAAAUUGGUAGAAACAAAAACAAGUGAGAAUGAAAUGACAAUGCAAAAUAAAACUUAGAAGUGCUCCUCUAACAAUCACCUGUGCGCUAGUUGGGAAAAUUCAUCCUCAGACUCAUCAUCCUCAUGGUUCACAUUCACAAGUGGCACAACUGAAGAUUCUGCUCCUCUUACUACAGUUGUAGUUCCUUUCACAAUAUCGUCAUGCCGAGAAAUUACACACGCUGCAGAUCAUCGUUCAGUGCCA
rnacentral:lncRNA from 1 species